rnacentral:lncRNA from 1 species
GGUAUUUUAGUAUUUUAUUCUUGAGAAAUUUGAUUUAUGUAGAAACUUGAACAUGUAAAUGAGAGAAAAAAAAAUAAAUAUAUAUAUAUAUUAUAUAUUGUAUAUGCUGUUAAUGAGUUAAUAUGGUGCUUGCUCCUAGUUGGAAAUUUAUGUAGUCAUCUACCUAUGAUCAAAUAAAGAUGAAAAAUAAAAUAAAAUUGAGAGCAUCUUCCUCUCCCCUGCUUUGCUCAUCCCUUGUUCUUCCACUUCAGCCCCACUAUUACACCAUUUUUUUCAGCCACAAUUAUAAUAGCUCCAUGAGCAUUAAGUCCCUUUCAAAUUCUGCUGACAUUCAAAAUUGGAAUCUGCUGGUGAUAUAUGAUAGCGUUAACAUAUUGUACCAUUUUGGCCAGUGUACGCAAUAUUAUUGCAUCCAACUUUGCAUAUUAACAUCAGUGGCCACAGUUACACGAUUUGAGUGCACAGAAAGGUUUCAAAAGUUGUCCCACAGAGAACAGUCGUUCAAAGUGAGAGAGUUUUGAAAGCUUAAUUACAAGUUCAUGUUGUUUACAACCUCAAAAAGCUUUCAUACUUGCUUACAAACCUGUAUUUCCAAGUUCUGCAAACCUUGGAAUAUCACUUCAUCCAAAUCCCCUUCCAAAGCAGGAAAAAAUGGCAGCAGCUUUGAUUGGAGAGGCUCUCAUCUCUGCUUCUAUCGAGGUGUUGUGUGACAGAGUUACUUCAGCCGAGUUCAUAGACUUAUUUCAGCAGAAGAAACUUGAUGAAACACUCCUCAUGAACCUGAAGACGACACUGUUGAUUUUGUUUGCGGCGCUCAAUGAUGCAGAGGAGAAGCAAAUUGUGAACCCUGCUGUGAUAGAGUGGCUUAACAGCUCAAGCAUGCUGUCUUUGAUGCAGAGGACUUACUUGAUGAGAUUGACACUGAAGCUUUGCGAUGCAAGCUGGAAGGUGAGGAUCAAACCCACAAUAAUUAACCAACAAGGAUCUUUUUGAUUGUUUGAAAGGAGGGUCUUUGAUGAUUUGAAAGGAGAGGGUUGCUUCAUUUCUGUUGGAUGCUUAAUUAAAUCUUAUCUGGACUUGAACAAGGAUUAGGUUAGCUGUAUAAUUCGUGGUAAACACCUUUUUCUAAGGUUCAUUUAGACUCCUAUUACGAUUAAUUUGUUGUUUCUAAUUUGGACUUGUAGGAACAGACCAAAUAUGUUCACACGUGGCAUCGUUCAAGUCAUCAUCAUUUCAGACAAAAUCAGCCUUCAAGUGUCUGCUGACUCAAUGAACCUUUCUAGAUAUAUCAAGUGCAAUGGAAAUUCAAGAGUUACAUAGAGAUUUGUAAACAUUUUGAAGAUUGCAACACCUGCAAGUGAGAUAGGUGGUGACGAAAUCAGAGCUGAUCUUGAAGCCUCUGAUGCCCCUGUCGUUGCAAGUUGCACCUGAGAACAUGGUUUUUUUUUGGGUAAAAAACCAGCAACAUGUUCGGGGCUGGCAAUUCAAUCCCUGAUGAACUUGAGAAGCAAAGCUCCAGUAAGGAAAUUGGUCGAGGUCACGACAGGGAUAAUUGAUGGUGAAAUGGAUGCUAUUUCUUAUUGCAGCCUGUUCUCAAAGUUCUUGUUGGCAAAAGCAAGAGAUGGAGUAUUUUGAUUGGGAGGAGAGAUAAUGACAUGUGUUGACAAUUCUAGAACAGCCCAUCUGAGUUCUUUUGUCAGGCUGCAUCAUUUAAUCCCAGCAAAAAUCCAGUUUUUGCUAAACAAUCAAAUUGUACACAUUUUUUCUUUUCGAGGAAUUUAACAUUACACAUUUUUUCAUUUUUUCAUCAAACAGUUUUCUAAUGCAUUUGUUGUCCCAAGUUACAAUGAGGAAUUUGGAUUGAGUUUCUUGUGUUAAUAACAUUAUACUUUCAUGGAAUGGUUUAUCUUCUUUUUCUGGACAAAAAUAUUUAGAUUAAUUUCUUGGAAUAAUUUUUUAAUAAUUUUUUAAUUGCAGUAGCGAAAAAAGGAAAAUUGUAUUUUUCAAAACCAAUCUUAAGUCCAGUUUCCUCUUCUUGGUCGUCACACUUGGAAAUUGCUAACCAUAUAUAACUUGGGGUAACAAUCUUAGUCCGAAUGUGUACGAUCUUAGUCCGAUCAAUGGCUACGCGUAUUGGCUCGGCCUUGGGGUCUACCAUUCCAGUGUACAAGCUUCCUGGGUCUUGGGGCAAUUCCUUCAAAUUGUACACAUGUUUUCUUUGAGAAGCAAGGCUCUAGUAAGGAAAUUGGUUAUGUAACAAAUUUUGGUCCCUUUGGAUGGAAUGAUUUACAAUGAGGAAUUUUAUUAUUAUUAUUUUGUUUUUGUUGUUAGUGUAAUGAAAAUGAUCUAGGUUCAUACACUGGGUAUAGCUCUAAUUUGGCCAAUUUCAUUAUUUUAGUUUCUUCAUAUUUUCAAUUAUUAUAAUUUGGUGCGUUGUUUUUUAAAAACAUUCAUGAGAAUCUCCAUUUUUUAGGUGUUUAAGUUAUUCAUCCACAACGGUUUUAUAAUACCGUCAUCUUUUCAAACACAACGAUGAUUUUUUAAUCUAUCGUCGUUGUUUUCUGAUCGUCUUUUUCACUUUUUGUAGUAGUGUCAAUAAGUAAGAUGAAAUAAUACAUUCACAAUCUGUUUAAAUUUUAAAUUAAAAAAAACACAAGAAAAUUUUAAAUAAGUAAGUAAUUUUAAAUAUAUAUUUCCAUUGUUUUGGUUUUCUUUUCAUAUUAGUUUUCUACUAGCUGCUAAUUUCAUUUAAAUUGUUUUUCUUACUUCAUUUAACUUUUAAGCAUGCAGAUGCAAUCAUGACUUCUUCUUUUUUUCAAUAGACUGAUUCUCUUCCCACAUAUAUAAUGCUCUCUAAGUAUUCGUAAUAUGAGUAGGAAUUUAUUUUCAUUUCACAAGAAUUGUCCAUCAAAUUCUGAUAGGUUUGUCGAUAGCACAAGCAUGCACAUAUAGACACUACAAGAACUUUGUUUCUUCAUUUUGUUUCCUAAAGAUUUGUUGGCUUCGUGCAGAUGAAUAACAAGUCUCUCUGUCCUCUAUUUCUUCUUUUUCUUUUUUAACAAUUCAUAUUCUACUUUCUGUUUUCACCCAGUAAAAAUUGAUUUUAGACAUGGGCUUCUAAAUUAUGUGCGGAUAAUGGUUGCAUUUAUAGAAUAUCCAUGGGCUUCUAGUCACCGUGGUUGUUGAUUCAGCAUGUCAUAUUACUCUUGGACUAGCUGUUGACACUACUACAUUUUACACUUUGCGCGACGAAGAACAAAACGUCGCGCAAAGUCGCAUUUAGUCGCCCCAAUUUCAGCGCGACAAAAACGUCGUCGCGCAUAUUCCGUCGCGCGAAGAUCGUGAAGAAAGCCUUUGCACGACGAGGUACAACCCUUCGUCGCGCAAAAGUGUGCGACGGGUAAACCAUCGUUGCACCAACGGUGUGGAGACGAAACAACCCUUCGUCGCAAAAAUAUUUGCGCGACGAUAAAUUAUGCGGCGCACGUAUAUUUGCGAGACGACGGGAAUUGCGCGACAAAACAUUAUUCGUCGCGCAAAAUAUGUAUGGGAGACGUAUAUGUUCGUCGCAGAACAAUUCGCGCGAUGAGAAAGUUUUCGUCGCACAUAUAAUUGCGCGACGAAAAAUUAUGUCGUCGGCCAAAUAUUUUGCGCGACGAAACAUUUCGUCGCGCAAAACGUGUUAUGUGUUCGUCGCGCAUGAAUUAAAAGUGAUAAAAAAAUAUUUGAUUUUUUUUUGUUACAUGUUGGUUUGCGCGACGAAAGAUUUUCCGUCGCGCAAAAAUAAUAUUACAAUUUUUUUUUUAUUUAUAUUUUUUAUUUGAUAUAAAAUUGGUUUCUUUUUAUUGAUUAAACAAUGAAAUUGCAAUAAAAAUAAAUUAGAAUAAAAUUUUGUUAUAAAAUAAAAUAAAAUAAAUGUAUUACAAAUAAAAUAAAUACACUAAUCAAAUAAUGAAUCAAAAUCAACCGAGUCGUCGCCAGUAUGCGGCUCGGAGGGCGGGGCGUUCACCGGGGCAGUGGUCUGGUGGGGAUGCCCGGGAUGGACGGGCUCAGAGGUCGGCGCAUCAAAAUGCGGGACUGGAAUGCCGGACUGUGCGAGGGACUGCAGAAUGACCGACAUCUGGCUCUGAAGAGUGGCCACCUGUGCUGUCAAAGCAGUGACCUGACUGUUUGACUGCGCCGAUGAACGAGGUCGAGGUUCCCUCCGCCGGGCAUUCCCCAUCCCUCGACAAUAUGUCCCCGGCCUCCUCCCGAGAGUCUGAUCCAACGUCUCCGUCAAUAUCUGAAAUCCAGCAUCCUGUGGAGGAGCCACAGACUCGAUCGGAGUCUCGGGAGGAAGCUGGGAGGCGGACUCCUGAAGAACAAGCUGGCUCCUCUCCACCAUCGUCGUCUGUUGAACAUAACAUAAAAUAUAAAUUAAAACAUGCAUAUAAAUUGAAUGCGUAACAUAAGAAUUAAAAUUAAAUAAUACUUACAUGAAGGGACUCGGCCAACUCAUUCCCGGGUCGAACAUAAACGUCACCAAAGACGUCGAUCUCUGGGAACUUGGACCCCUCCUAAAUUGAACAAGAGAAGAAAAAUAUUAGUAUGAAAAAAAUAAAUUAAUAAAAAUGACAUUAAAAAUGAAAUAAAAAUUUUGUGAUUAUUACCCGACGCCGUGCAUCCAUCCUAUAAGAAAAGGGUCUGGAGCCGGAAUGGUGGAGAAGGGUCUUCUUCUUCCUAUUACCCUUAUUCACUUGGGCUUUAUUCUGUUAUACAAAAAAUGAAACGUAUUAGUUAAAAUAUAAAAAAUUAAAUAAUAAUGAAAUAAAAAAAUAAAAUAAACAUUAAUAAGUAAUAAGUAAUAAUUAAACAAAUAUAAUUAAAAAAAUACCGCAAAUUCGGGCGCUUGAAAAUGAGCGCAGAGCCACUCCCAACUAUCCUCCCGCCCCUCAAGCUCCUUCGGGCAACCCUCCUGAAGAGCGACUUGCGGAUCAUCAUAGGCCUGAAAAUGGUGGUGCAAGUCGCUCUUCCACUGCUUGUACCUCUCAGCGAAGAGUCGGUUGACGUACGUCAACGACUCUUCGUCGAGAUCCUCCAAGUUAUAGUUCGUCUGCAAUCAAUUAAUUAGAUACGUUAAGUAAUAGAAAUAUACACAAUUUUAAAGAAAAAUAAUGAAAAUGUAAGGUACAUACCGACAACUGGCCGUGAAUCUCCGCCUGGAUCUCGUCAGGCAUGACCCUCCAAGACUUCCAUUGCAUCGGGCAAUGGGUCCGCACGACGUGGCCAAUGUCGUGGGCCAAGGAGCUAUGCAACUUCGCCGUCGGUGCAGCACGAUGGCGCUCGUCGUAUCCGAUGCUGAUACGACUGUUGGUCACCCGGGUGACCUUCGCCGUCUUCAGCUGACGACACGGUCCUCGGGUGUUCCUCUUCGCUGCAAAGAAAUAAGGUAUUAAUGUUAAAUAAAAAAACAUUGUCAAAUUUCAAUAUAAAAUUAACAAUACAAAAGUGUAGUUAUACCUGGCUGUGAUCCCGAGGCACCAGUACCGUCGGUCGAUGUCGUGUCGAUGGUGUCGGUGGGCCGGUGCCGCCGCCUAGCACUAGCUGGUUGCGCCACGGAUGACGCAGAUGACACAGGCGCCUGGGGCGCCCCGGGACCAACCACCACGUGGUCCAACAAAGCAGGAGCAGUGGCAGCAGAUGCCGACUGAGCCAGGGGAUCCGAACUCGGUGCAGUCGUCAUCGACCUACCACGUCUAAUCAAGUCUGACAUCUGCACAUAUAAUUUCAUUCAGAAUGUAAACUAAUUAAUUAAAAGCAUAGCCUGACCUAGGGUUUGGAAUUUCGGAGUAUCCGGGACUCCGAUCAACGAUCGGUCGAAUCCUAAACGAUCCUAGAAACACAAAGGUACAACUACGCGAGUUUCAGUUCGAUCCAACGGUCCGAACAUAUCAAACCUGGAAAUCGCACAAUAGGCGAAAUUCGAUCAAGACUCAAACGGUAACCAAAUUCAAAUCCGAGCAAACCUACGCGCUCGUGACAAACAGGGGAUCGCUCUGGGACACAAUGCCCCACUGCCACAGCAUCCCACGCGCCGGCAGCGCGUGGGUGUCCAAAGCGAUAACAUUCGCCGGAAAAUUCUAAAAACUAACGGCCAAGGUUCCUACCCUAGGUUGAAAACAAUAUUUGGCGCCACUUUUGUUCUCGGACCUACCCCGAAAAAUGGCCGGAAGUGGCCGGAUUUGAAAUUGCCAAACCGGCCAAAACCUAGGGUUUUAAUUCCUAUUUCCUAUACCCAUCAGCUAGAGCACAAAAAAUAGUCGAGAAAUCAUACCUCAGGCGUCGGAAAUGGUGGCCGGAGGAGAGAGAAAACGGCCGGCGAGGAAUCGGUGAAAAACCGACGAUGUGCGACGGCAGGCUCGACGGCGAAGGCAGGGGAGGCUAUGGCAGGAGCGGCGGUGGCUGAGGUGACGGCGGAGAGAGAGGGCUGAGGUGACGGCGGAGAGAGAGGCAAACGGAGGAAAAAACCAGAAAUGGGGAAGAAGGAGGCAUCGCGACGUUUCUGCAAAUUUUUACGACUUUGCGCGACGAAUCACAUCAUUCGUCGCGCAAAAUGCUAUUAAUGAAUCUUGCGCGACGCUAUAUCCGUCGCGCAAGAUCUGUCAGAACGCCAAAUUCUGAAAGUGGAUUAGGGUCUGUAAGUUUUGCGCGACGAAAUAGACAUACUUCGUCGCGCAAAAGGCUGUCUUUCCGCCAAAAUUUUGGGAUUUAGGGUUUAGCGGGAGGCUGAAACUGAAGGGUUUGCGCUUUUGCGCGACGAAGACGGUAAACGUCGCGCAAUGGUAACCUUGCGCGACGGAACGUAUUAUAUUCGUCGCGCAAAAGGCUAUCUUUCCGCCCAAAUUUUGGGAUUCAGGGUUUAGCGGGAGGCUGAAGGGUUUGCGCUUUUGCGCGACGAAGACACUAAACGUCGCACAAAAGGCUGUCUGCUGAAAUGAAUGGUUUCUGCUUUUGCGCGACGAAGACAAUAAACGUCGCGCAAAACGUUGUCGUUCCGCCAACAAUUUGGGGUUUAGGGUUUAGUGUGAAAACUGGCGCCCAGAUUGCGCGACGAAGAGUACAUAUUUCCUUCGCGCAAUCUAUUUCACUUUCACUUUGCGCGACGGAUAUGUUGGUUCGUCGCGCAAUCUUCAAGAUUUUCAUUGAAAUUUUCACUAAGUGUUCAAAGGGGAUGGAGGUGUGAAAACUGGCGCCCAGAUUGCGCGACGAAGAGUACAUAUUUCCGUCGCACAAUCUAAUUCACUUUCACUUUGCGCGACGGUUAAAUUGUUCGUCGCGCAAAAUGUAGACCCUAAACCCCCUUGUAAACCCUAAACCCUGAACCCUAAGCCAUAAACCCUAAACCCUAAAAUAGUUUCAAUGAUCCAACCGGCAAACUUAUUGUUUGAAACUUGGAGAUCAUAUACGCCAAAAAUCAAGAAGACCAAACAUUCAGAUAUCAGGGAACGGGACUAAAUAUUUCGACGGUUAUAAAUGAAAAGUCAUGAUUUAACGGUUAUUGUAACUCCGAUUUUGAUCAAUUUUGACAGCAGCAUUUGUUGACCCUAUAUGAAUACAAUGACUGAAUUUGAUCUUCAAUUUCAGAUUUUUACACUAGGGGAUACCACAUAAACGUGAAGUUACAUUUGCACAAAUGUAUAAACAAAUUUUAGGGUUUUUGGUGAAUAUAUGAUUUUGAUAGCACAUGCAGUCUACGAAACAAGUUUCAGUCAUCCAGCCGUCAAACUUGUUUUUUUAGACUUCGAGAUCAUAGACAGCAAAAAUCGGACAAAAAAAACAUUCAGAGAUUAAGCAACGGGGUAAAACUUUUCGACGGUUCUAAAUAAAAAGUGAUGAUUGAACGGUUAAUUUAACUCCGAUGUUGAUGAUUUUUUGCAGCUACAGUCCUACACUCCAUAUGAAUACAAUGAACUACUUCGAUCGCCAAUUUUAAAUAUAUAUGUGUGUAUAUAUUAUACUAUAACGUUACCUAAUAUAUAUUUGCGCGACGAAAGUUUGCUUAUCGUCGCGCAAAAAUGCCAUACGCGACGCAUGUAUAUAUGCGUCGCGGAAACUAUGCGCGACCAGUUGUAUUCGUUGCGCAAACAUUACGCGACGCUUAUGUAUGCGUCGCGUAUGGUAUGUUUGCGCGACGAUAUGGAGCCCUUCGUCGCGCAUGGAUUUGGCGCCAUAAAUCCUCAUUGAUUUCAAAUUGUGUAUGCUUUGUAUUUUUUAGAAAGGUUUUGUAUUCAUCAUUUUUUAUGCUUUGUAUUUUGUGGAAAGGCUUUGAAAUAUUCAUUUCUUUUGUUAUUUUUAUUGAAGCUUUAACUUGUUCUGUUCCGCAGAAAAUUCCAAUGAAGUUUGUGAUGAAAUAUGGAGAAUGAAUACACAACUACAUAUGGACAACUACACAUAUUCAAAGAUUUGUAUUACACAAAAUUAAUACACUAACAUAAUAAAUUUACAAAUAAAUUCAUUAUUCAUCAUCUGAACUAUAAUAACUUUCGUUAUCGUCGCUAGCUUUAACUUGUUCUGUUCCGCAGAAAAUUCCAAUGAAGUUUGUGAUGAAAUCUGGAGAAUGAAUACACAACUACAUAUAGACAACUACACAUAUUCAAAGAUUUGUAUUACACAAAAUUAAUACACUACAUAAUAAAUUACAAAUAAAUUCAUUAUUCAUCAUCUGAACUAUAAUAACUUUCGUAUCGUCGCUAUCAUCACUCUCGGUCUCCCAAUCUUCUUCCUCCUCCUCCUCUAUAACUGCAUCAUCGGCGUUGCUAGGGCCCACUGCAACAUCGUAUCGGGGAAGAUCACCGAGGUCAAUUGUAAUUGACUGAAUCGGUAUUUCGACUGAAGACACUCCUUCUAUUUGAAACGGUUCUUGUAUAACAUUUGUAUCUCGAAGUGUUUCCGCAUCAUUUUCCAUUGAAGAUUCUAAACGAUGGUCAGCCACAUUGUCGACGUCGUUGUCACUUGGGUCUAGUUCUGGUAUAUUAUACACGUUCCUAUGAUCCAUCUUCUGCACAACUUUCCACCCGUUCCCGGCUUUAGGGUCAUCUAGAUACACAAUUUGGGACGCCAUGUUUGCCAAAAUGUACGGGUCGUCAUCAUACCAAGUUCUGUUAAUAUUCACAGACAGUACUCCAUGGUCGAUUUUAACACUUCCCGCCCUAUUUGGGUUGGUAUCGAACCAUCGACACUUAAACAUGAUGACUUGGUAUCGAUCUUUGUAAAGCAAUUGCACGACAGUUGUCAGUUUGCCAUAGAAAUCAAUGUCUGUACUUUCGCCUCCACCUGGGACAUGAACACCGCUAUUUUGCGUACACAACUUGUCAUCUCGUGCGGCCCCUAAAAAUUUGACGCCGUUAACAUUACAACCCGAGAACAAUUCAGCGCGAAUUGGGCCGAACGCCAAGUUAUAUAACUCAUCACUGUAAGUGGGGGAAUUCGAUGAUUUCAAUUUAUUCACCUAAUAGUAUACAAAACCAUUUACAUGUUAGUCUGACAAAAUUAAAUACUAAAAUUUAUAUUUGUCAAUUACAAAACACUUAUAACUUACAGAAUCCAAAAACCAUUGUGGAAAUAAUUCACGGUGUUUCCGGGCAACCAAAUGUGAUGGAUGUUCUCGCUUCAUCAUCUGUUCAUGCUCAUCUAAGUAGGCCAUUAUCUCAUCACAAUUGUUCAGUACGAACCAAUGCGCUACCUCCAUGUCAUUUCUAGAAAACGACUCUCCUCGUCCAGGAUCUCCAAAUGGUCGUGCGCUUUGGGCAAAAACAGAAAGUUUUUCAUUUCUCAUACCUCCGUCAUUAUUGCGGUGAGGACGAUUGAAAACCGUCUCCACAUCUUUUAAAUACAUUCCACAGAAAGUAAGCGACUCAUAUUGAACCCAAGCCUCUAUAAUUGAUCCUUCGGGCUUUGCCCUGUUGCGUACACUUUUUUUCAGCUCUCCGAGAAGCCUGCCAAAAUAAAACGAUAUGAUACAAAUUAGCAAAGUGUCGAUAAUGAUGCAUACACAAAUGAUAAAGAUUAUAUACCUUUCUAUUGGAUACAUCCAGCGAUAGUUGACAGGACCAGCAAGCAAUGCCUCUUCUGGCAAGUGAACCAUCACGUGCAUCAUACUUAUAAAGAAAGCUGGAGGAAAUAUCAUCUCAAACUUGCAUAGGACUUGGACAAUGUCAUGGCGCAACUGAAACAUGUCUGUCCUUCGCAAUGUUUUUGCCGUCAGUUGGGAAAAAAAUCUGGAUAACAACAUGAUUGGCUUCACCACAUCUUCCGGCAGUAAGUGUCGAAUACCCACAGGAAGUAGGCGUUGCAUGAACACAUGGCAGUCAUGGCUCUUAAGUCCAGUAAAUUUACCCCCAUCGACAUUCACGCAACGUGCGAUAUUAGAAGCAUACCCAUCGGGAAAUUUGACAGACGAUACAAACUUUAGAAACUCCUUUUUGUCAUUCGGUUUCAUAGAAAAGAAUGCAAGAUCCCUUCUAGCUUUAUCACUGUCCCUAUUCAUCCAUAAACCCCUUCGUAUGCCCAUUCUUUCCAAAUCAAGACGAGCUUUGAUCGUGUCCUUCGUCUUCCCCUCGAUAUCUAGAAUCGUGCCCACCAAUGUGUCGAAAACAUUUUUCUCAACAUGCAUCACAUCUAGAUUGUGCCUCAAUUUCAGUUUCGACCAAUAUGGGCGCUCAAAAAACAUAGACUUGUGCGUCCAGUUCAAAUGUGUAGAAGGUCGGGUCCGACUAACUGUUUUCCCGAACGGAGCAAAAUCCAAACGGUUCAGCUGUUCCAAGAUCUCAUCACCGGACCAUUCUCUAGGUCUGAGGCGACGCUCUGUGUUCCCGUCGAACUCUUUAUCUUUUUCUCGCCACUCGUGGUCCCAUGGCAACCAUCUCCGAUGACCAAGGUAACAAACUUUUCCCGCGUGCCAACCAGAAGUUACAUCUUCCUUGCAUACAGGACAUGCCAUAUAACCCUUUGUGCUCCACCCAGAAACCAUUGCAUAUGCUGGAAAAUCAUUCACAGUCCACAUAACUGCUGCUCGCAAAGUGAACAUCCUCCCAGUUGAUUUAUCGUACGUGCGAACACCGUUUGUCCAUAAAUCCUUCAGCUCAUCAACCAGAGGCCUUAAGUACACAUCAAUUGACCUGCCAGGAUCCUCAGUUAUCAAAACAGUCAUCAUCAUGUAUUCUUUUUUCAUGCAUUUCCAAGGCGGCAAAUUAUAUGGGAAUGCGAAAAUCGGCCAAGUGCUGUGGUGUUGGUUUAGAACCCCAUACGGAUUGAAUCCGUCAGUGGCAAGUCCCAAUCUAACAUUUCGGGGAUCAGCAGCAAAUUCGGGGAACGUUCGAUCGAACUCUUUCCAUGCCUCCCCAUCUGCAGGAUGCCGCAUCACAUCAUCGUCUACCCGUUUUUCCUUAUGCCAUCUCAUGUCUGUGGCAGUAUGCGUUGACAUAUACAAUCGCUGCAACCUAGGUUUAAGGGGCAGAUAACGCAUGACUUUUUGUGGUAUCUUAGUCGUUCUAUUCUGGGAUGUCAGUUUGAACCUCGACUCAUUGCAUAUAGGGCAUGUAUCCAACGUUUCAUGCUCUUUGUAGAAUAACAUGCAAUUGUUUUUGCAAGCGUGGAUUUUUUCAUAACCCAAUCCAAGACCGUGCAACACCUUCUGUGCAUGUUUAUGGUCUUUCGGCAAACAAUUGUCCGUCGGAAGCAUUCUCUUGAAAACCCCCAAAAAGUAAUCAAAACACAAGUUCGACAUACGAUACUUUAUUUUUCCGUGCAUUAGCUCCACAAUGGCAGUGAGAACGGAAAACCUCUCGCACCCCGGGUAUAACUCUUGGUUGGCAUUUUUUAACAGUUUUUCAUACUGUUCAAACUCCGCACUGUCUAUUGGUGUAGGCACGUCAUCUUCCCCUUCCUGAUUGAUGUUGGUCGAUGCGAAUGGAAAAGCAUCCUGUAUAAUACCCAUGACUUGAUCAUUAGGAUCCACAAUAGGUUCAACAUUGUCCACUCUCGGGGCAUUUGAAGACGAAGCAUGGUCUACUUGUUCGCCGUGAAGGUUCCAAAUGCUAUAUGUUUCAAUCAUUCCAUUCCUUACUAAAUGAAAUCCAACAUUUUCAAUUGUCUCCCACAACGUGUUGUUACACCUCCUACAAGGACAACGGAUUCUAGUUGCACCCGGGUUGUGUCUACGUGCAAACUCAAUAAAAUCCUCGAUUCCAUCCAAGUAUUCGUCUGCGCAUCUAUUCGGGUUCUGUAUCCACCUUCUGCUCAUAAUUCCUGAAACCACAAUCACGACACAACAAUCACAACAACUUCAUACGAAGUUAUAAUGUCACCUUAUGCCUCCGGUAAGGGCCCUAUCCCAUUCGGGAAUGCAUAGUCCUGUCACGUAACCUACGGCUACAUGAGAUUAGAUUUCGACGUGGAUUAAUUUCAGCAGCAUCUCGACACAGUUCUUGAAGUGGGCAUAGGUAUAAAUACCUACGUACCACCCGAAGAACGUACCGAGAUGACACCGAAAUCUCCACAAUCGAAACCUAAUCCUGUAGCCGAAGAUUAUGUGACAACACUAUGCAUUACCAAACUGUCCAAAUAAUGGGACAAUUCAAGAAUUAAUUGGACCGCAGUCAUGCAUUACGCAUCCAUGCACGAAAUUCAACUAAUCUCGAACGGGAAACUACGUGUUACUAAACAUAAAAAUAAAAGUACGAAGUUAAUUUCAAUUAACUUCGUACAUCACAACACAUUGUGCUAUGUCACGCACAAUUUCACAACAUUAUACACAUAUAACUUCACAAAAAAAUUACAAACAUAACAAACAAACUUUUACAAUAACAUACCUUCUCAAUCGUUCUCCACCAAUCACAAAUAUCCCUAACGAUAACAAAAUUAAUAGCGUUACUACGAAUUUACAUUAAUACAUUUAAACUAACGACAAAAAAUACAUACCCAAUGAACGUACUGAAUUCACAGUAGAGCAACGGCAGAGAGAGUGAGAGAGAGGUAGAAUGCAGUGGGAGAGUGAGAGAGAGGCAGAAUGCAGAAACUGCAUUCUGCCUCUGCAAUGGAACUGGCUAAAAUGAAGAAGAAGGACUUUGCGCGACUAACAAUCCAAUCCGUCGCGCAAAAUGCCGUCGCGAAAACCCACUUUUCCGUCGCACAAAAAAACAUUUCCGUCGCGCAAUUACCUGCCGACAUCAGGUUUUUUGCGCGACGAAUACAAUUAUCCGUCGCACAAACAUCCGUCGCGCAAAUAACAUUAUUCGUCGCGCAAGGUUUAUAUUACGUCGCGCAAAUAACACUUAUUUCGUCGCGCAAGAAAUUACACUUUACGCGACGAAGGUAAUUCCGUCGCGCAAAAAAGUUUUUUCCACCCUGCAUUUUGCCGCCAAAAUUAAGUAACCCUCGUUUUCUUACGCGACGGUACAUAUUUCCGUCGCGCUAAGGCGUCUUUUGCGACGAAAAUGUUCGUCGCGCAAGAUUCUGGCGCCAAAAACAUAAACUGGGGAUUUUUCCCCGACCUUUGCUCGACGAAAUUAGUUUUGGUCGCGCAUAGAUUGUUUGCGCAACGAAGAUUGUUCGUCGCGCUAGUGUUCUGCUGUUUGCGCUACGGUAUUUUUUUUUCGUCGCAAUAGUGAUUUUUGCGCGACGAAAAUAUAUUCGUCGCGCAAACGUCCGUCGCGCAAAUAGUAAAUCGUAGUAGUGUGAUUUGGUUUAGACUUGGUUUAAUUAUCAUUGUUGUGGUUGGUUCACCAAAAAGAUUUGGCUUAGAAUUACCAGUUUUGUUGUUGGUUUAGUUAUGCUUGGCAUUUGAGGAUCCUAUGCUUACUUGUAUGGGUAAUACAUUUUAUUGAUCGUUUCAUAUACUAAUUAUGAACUUUUAGUUCCAUUGUGCAUUUAAGAGUACACAUAUUUCAUAUGUAAUUCGAAAGUUUGUCGCUGAAAUUUCUGAGAAUUUGAAACUAGAUAAGCACACCUUGCACAAAGUUCAUAUAUUUUCUUCCAGCAAGUCUGUCUAUUAACCCCCCUUAUCUGAAAUUAAUUGUUAAAAGUUCUGAUUCAUCUUUAAUCAUUGUCUUACCCUUGUUGAAUAACACUCCUCAUUCUAAUUUAUAUUCGAAGUUUGAGGUUUCAAUUUCAAUUGUGGGCUUUGAUUUUACAGAUUUUGUUUGUCAAUUUCAAUUUGGACAAAGCAUAUGCAAACAAAGUAAGGCAUUAUCUAUUAUUUGGAUCAUUUCCAUAUGUUUAUAUGUUUUUAAUAUCAUUUGCCUAUGUAGUUGACAUGUUAUAACAUUUUCGUAGUGUUGAAUAUAUAUAUAUAAUAAUUUUAUUUUAGUGGAUGUGAGAUCUCAGUUUGUUGCUUUAUAUAAUUAUUUCUUUGCAAUUUAAUUUUUUUUAUCAGUCAUACUAUUGUUGACGGCUAAAAACCAUCAAGAAACAACUCUUAAGUUUUUUAAAAAAUAAAUAAAUAAAUAAAGAUUUGUUGAUGCUUAAAAAGCAUCAAGAAAAGAUAGUUUCUUGACGGUUUUGUGACGUUUCAUAACCGUCAUGAAACAUUACAUUUUGACGAACGUCUUUCUGAUAGUGGCAUCCGUGACGCUUUCCGAGCCAUCAAUUAAGGGCUAUCGUGAUGCUUUUUAGUUGUCAGCAAAAGGUGUUUUUCUUGUACUGUAUUCACUCAAAAUCGUUUUUCAUUUAGGGUUGCUAGUGUGGUUGAAUGCCAUUUGUUUUGUUAAUGAAUAUUAUACAUUAUGGAUUUUUGUAGAAAUGUCGCUUGAAAUUAUACCUCAGUUUCAAUUUGUCACCUUAAAGAAAAAUUUAAGAGAAAUGUCACCUUAAUUUUUCAAAAUCCACGAUUUGUCAUCUCACUUUAACAUCAUCCAAUUUUCCAUCUAUUUUAAGGGUAUUUUAGUCUUUUCAUUUUCAAGGGAAAAAAAGAGAGGAAGAAAAAGACCUCUCUCUUACUUUCUCCCCCAACCCAACCCCACCCGCCCCCCAAAACACAUCGCAUAGGACCGCCUCCCCCUUCCCCACAUUUCUUUUUUCUUUUUGGCCUACUUUUCCACUAUGUUUAUGUUGAAGGAUCUAAAGUUUUCUUGGUCACCAUCUAUUACGUAGGCUACCGACUUGUUGGUUUGGGUGGGUUGAGGGAAUUUGUGUGUGGAGGGCAGGUGUUCAUGUUGUGUGCACCAAGACCUUAUCGUUGAUGAACUAUGUGACGGCACACACACAAACUCGUUGAGAAUAAAACAAACAUACCACCAAGAGAGUAAAACAAACACACAAGGACACAAAGAUUUAUAGAGGUUCGGCCUCCUGCCUACGUCUUUUUGGUGAUUCACUCGAGAAAUUCACUAGUAUGUAAAAAUAACUUUGGUUACAACUGAACCCCCUUAGCCCUCACAAGAACCUUAGAUCUCUUUUCUCUCACCCUUGCUCAAACCCUUUGAUGCCCUUGUAGACACUCAAGAAUUCACCCUUGAAUUCUAUCUUGUGUUACAUCUUCUCUUCUCCCUUUUGUUAACCUAACCCUAAAAGUCCUAUUUAUAAUGCAUAGGACUUAAGUUACAAGUUAACUUGGAAUAGGAAACAUAAAAUACCCCAAAAAUUGGAGAAAAUCUGUCCAAAUCUAGCCUGCAAAAUCAUCCUUCUGCCGCUCGAGCUGCCGGUGGCGCUCAUGGGAUGGGGGAAUUGGAGAUUUUCUUUUCAAUUUUAAUUGUUUAAAAGAUAUACAAUUUUUUAUUAUAAUAAUUUUUCCAUUUUUAAAAUACACUUGAAAAUAGAAAGCUUAAAAUGCCCUUAAAAAUAGAUGGAAAAUUGGAUGGUGUUAAAGUCAGAUGACAAAUCAUGGAUUUUGAAAAAUUAAGGUGACAUUUCUCUGAAAUUUUUCUUUUAAAAGUGACAAAUUGAAACUGAGGUAUAAGUUCAGGCGACAUUUCUACAAAAAUCCCUAUACAUUACAAUAUUAUAACAAUAAAAUUGGCUAAAAUUGAUAUGUUCCCUCUUUUCUUUUCUUUUUCUCUUUUCCUUUUCAUUUUAUGCUUUGUUGCUAUUGCUAUGUUUAUCCUACAAAUAUAGCAACUUCUCCACCAUUCAUUUGUUAGUGACUACGAUGCUUAGUAACUUCUUCAGCUCCCCUUAUUUCCAUGUACUAACCAGGGACACCAGGUCAGCAUCUUCGGUAAGAAUCCUAACUCAAUCAAACAAUGACAUCUGUAAAUAUUCAAAAUUGGAAUUUGCAUUGUGAUAGUUGAAAGCAUCCUUGUCCCAAAAAAAGCCAAAAAAUAAAAUAAAAUUGAGAGCAUUAAGUCCUUUUCAAAUUAUGCUAAUAUGCAAAAUUGGAAUUUUGAUGGAGUUGCUUCCUUGACUUUUCCACCUUUGUAUCCAGUCCACUUUGCACAAGGAGCCAAGUUUGAGAGAUAGUUUUCUGUAUUUACACCAUCCAGGAGAAAAUUAAAAAACUAUUUCAUGCCAAACUAACUACGGAUUCUUGCAAAGGACCCAUUAGUGUAGUGGUUUGGAGUAUUUACUCCCUCAGGCAAGGUCUUGGGUUCGAGUCCUAGCAUUCAUGUUGUGUGUGUGAGUUUAAUAUGCUAUCACCCCUUCCAAUAGGAAAGGACCUCAAAAAAAAAAAAAAAACUACAGAUUCUUUAAUUGAAAGAAACCCCAUAUUAAUCAUCCUUUGGCACAUAAAUGUUUGGUAAUUGGCAUUAAAGUAUCUAAAGGUUACGAAAUUAAAGAUUUUAAUGCAAACCUAAAAUUGGAAAAGAGGGCACCAAUUCAUGUAAAAUAUGGUGUACUUAGUAGAUCCAACAUAUUUUUUUAGCAACCAAGGACAAUCAUCAUUUUUUUUUUUAAGAACCAAGGAUAGCUUACAUUCUAGUUUGUCCAUCAUGUCAACACAUUUAUAAUUAAAACUUCUUUUUUGGUGAGGUUUCAAUUUUUGUCACUGUAACAAGACCACAAUUGCCAUUCAGUAUGCUAACAUUGUCACUAUGUUUGCCAAUUGCAUAUUAUCUAGAACAUAAAGGCUUUGGUGUUUUGUAUAUCCUCGGGGUGCCAAACCUGUCUUUAUAAAAAUGGUCCUUAUGAUACUACUUUAACAACAAAAAAAUAUAAUAAACUAGGCCUUUGUAGUCACUGAACGAAUGUUUUCUCAUAGAUAUGACUAUUUAAAUGUAAUUACGGGAUUAAAACAUUAUAAUAAAUUGGAGUGAACCAUAACAUUAUAUAUGAUCCAAUCCUUUUCAUAUAUUUUUGUUCAAGACUUUGUUUUAGAAUGCUCUUUUACUAAUUUGGUACAGGUCCCUAAAAUCUACGCCUUUAUGAGGCAACGUCUUUAUUUCUUUGGUUAUUCCAGUUUAGAAUAUAUUUGUACAAAUGAGAUGACUCCCAACAUAAAGUCACAUUCAACCAAAAAGCAUGAAGUCACACACAAAAAGAACACGGACAAUUGCUAAGUUUAUCUUGUAUCCUUAUUUUAUUGAUCCAACCCAAUUGAAAAAUAAAAAAGAUGAUAUAAUAUAUUGUUCACUGCUUACAUCCAUGAGUAAAGUCCUCCAUUUGAAAUUGCGUGAUUAUACAAAAUUGGAAUGAAAAAAGAAAAUCCUACAACUAAAUUUGAUAUAUUCCUUUUCAUUUUAUGUUGGAUGUUAAGUUUUCUUGUUUCUUGUUGAAAAGAAAAAUGAAAAGAAAUAAAUAAAUUACACAGCUAGCAACUUCUCCACCUUCCCUUCUUCCCAUGUACUGACAACAAGGGAGGCCUUCAAUCCAAAAUAAAGACAAGGGAUGCCAGGUCAGCAUCUCAGAUAAGUAUCCCAACCAAAACCAAUCAAAUAAUGACAUAUGUAUCUCUUUUUGUGUUUUGUUCUAUUUCUCUUUGAAUUAACUGCGAAGUUUCAUAAGCGUGUCCUCCUUUUGAAAUUGUGUAUUAUUCAAAAUUGGAAUUUGCUGGUCAUACUUGAUAUAAGCUAAAACAGUUUCCAACAUCUUGUACCAUUUUUUUCCAGUGUGGGUCAUAACUUGAAGAAGCCCACCGACAAUUUCUCAAAAGCUAUUACCAUCCAACUUUGAAAAAUAAAAGUUUCAAAAGUUACCCCAAACAACAGCCCUUGAAAGAGAGUUUUCCAAGGCUAAAGAUUACAAGGAUGUUAUUGGCACAUGCAUUAACGUGUGACAAGAAGUUAGUUAUAUUUAUAAAGUAAAAGAACGAAGUACAUAACAUGUAAGUUGAUGCCAAAUAUUUGAUCAACAGAGCUAAACAUAAAACCACGACAAUAUAACGUUGUUCACCAAAAAUUGUGUUUCGUUGAGGGUCAGUAGUGUAGGUUUCAAGAUACGAUUUAUUUUGUUAAAGAAUAUUCUGAUAUUCUAACAAUAAAAUUGGCUCAAUUUGAUAUGUUUCUUUUUUUUUUUGUUUUUGUUUUCCCUUUCAUUUUAUGCUUUGUUGUGCUAUUGCUAAGUUUAUCCUAGAGACCAGGGAUGCUUAGCAAGUUUCUUCACCUGCCCUUCUUCCCAUGUACUAACUAGGGAUACCAUGUCAGAAUCUUAGAUAAGAAUCCCAACCCAAUCAAACUAUGACAUCUGUAAGUAUUCAAAAUUGGAAUUUGCAUUGUGAUAGUUGAGUGGAAGAAUCGAUUAAGGCUUGAGUGGAAGACAAACUUCAGUGGAGGAAAGUAAUUAAUCUCACAAGACAUAGCCCAUCAGUUGGCUCAUUUUUCUUGAGUGUGUAGUCCUGGCCUUGAGGCGAGGCCACAUUGCUUUGGAGAUUUCUUUCUACUUGGUGAAAUUAUAAUUUAGAAGAAGCAAACUGCGUUUUGCAAUUUGUGCGAUUCAAGCAUAUCUGACACUAGUAAUUAGACCAUAAUCUUUGUCCGACCAGAAAAUAAGAAAAGUUGUCUUGUACCAUUUCUGCCAGUGUGGGUCCCACCCACCCCAUACGAGUAAUUUGAAGAAGUCCACCGACAAUUUCCCAAAAGCUUUGGCGUCCAACUUUGCCGACCCCAUCCCCAUGUGAGGCCAUAGAAAAGUUUUCAGCCACAAUCAAAGAAGGGAACAGUCCUUGAAAAGAGAGGGUUUUCCAAGGCCAAGAUUACAAGUUCAUGUUAUUUACAGUCUCAAAAAGCUUCCAUACUUGUUUACAAACCUGUAUUUUCAAGUUGUGCUAGCCUAGCUAUUUGCAAAUCUUGGAAUAUUUUACUUCAUCCAAAUCCCUUGCAGUCUGCAGAGAAGAUAAAAGACAUGGCUUUGAUUGGAGAGGCUCUUAUCUCUGCUUCCGUCCAGGUGUUGUGCGACAGAAUUACUUCACCCGAGUUCGUUGACUUAUUUUGGCACAAGAAACUCGAUGAGCCACUCCUCAGGAAGCUGAGGACGACACUGUUGGCCUUGAACUUGGUGCUCAAUGAUGCAGAGGGGAAGCAACUUGUGAACCGAGAUGUGAAAAAGUGGCUUGACGAGCUCAGACAUGCUGUCUUUGAUGCGGAGGACUUACUGGAUGAGAUUGACACUGAAGCUUUGCGAUGCAAGCUGGAAGAAGGUGAAGAUCAAACUCACAAAUUUACCAAUAAGGUGCGGAACUUGCUCUUUUCUCCUCGUAGUCAUUUUUAUCAGAGCAUGAAUGAUAAGAUAAAAGAGUUACUAGCAAGGUUAGAAAACUUUGUACAACUGAAAAGUGCUCUUGGUCUGGGAGAAGUUGCUGGGAGGAAGGUUUCGCAAAGAACUCAAACAACCUCCUUGGUUCUUGAACCUUAUGUAUAUGGUAGAGAUGAAGUCAAAGAAAAGUUAUCAAAAGUGUUGCUAUCUGAUGAAGCAGGCAAGGAUCCUGUGUCUUUCCUCACCAUUGUUGGAAUGGGUGGGGUUGGCAAGACAACCCUUGCUCGAAUGCUUUACAAUGACGAUAAGGUGAAAGGGCAUUUUAAACUUAAAGCUUGGGCUUGUGUUUCAGACUACGAUGAUUAUAUUAAAAUUACUAAAACUCUCCUUGAGGCAGUCACUUCAAAGCCUUGUAACACGGCAAAUCUGAAUUUGCUUCAAAAAGAUCUAAGAGAGCAAUUGAGGGGAAGGAAAUUUUUAUUUGUGUUGACCUAUGGAAUGAGAAUAAUGAGGAUUUGAACUACCUUAGAGCUCUUUUUAUUACUUUAGGAACAAUGGGAAGUAAAGUCAUUGUAACAACACGGAACAAAAAUGCAGCAUCUGUCAUGCAAAAUGUUCAUAUUCAAUACUUAGAACCAUUGUCGUAGGAGGACUGCUGGUUAUUACUUGCAAAACAUGCAUUUGGAAAUGAAAAGUGUAGUGCACAUUCAAACUUGGAAGACAUUGGAAAGCAAAUUGCACUCAAGUGCAAAGGGUUGCCUUUAGCUGCACAAACACUUGGGAGUUUGUUACGUUGCAAUAUGGAUUUCGAGUACUGGAAUAGAAUACUAAAUGAUAGUUUUUGGGACCAACCCUAUGAUAAAACUAACAUUCUUCCGGCUCUAGGGUUGAGUUACCAUUAUCUUCCUACUCAGUUGAAACGAUGCUUUGCUUAUUGUUCAAUUUUUCCAAAGGAUUAUGAGUUUGAAAAGGAAGAUAUAGUUCAAUUAUGGAUUGCAGAAGGUAUAAUUCCACAAGCUGAGAAUGGAAAAAGGAUGGAAGCAUUGGCUAGAAUAUACUUUGAUGAGCUGUUAUCACGAUCGUUGUUUCAAAAGUCAAGUAAAUUCAGCUUCAUUAUGCAUGAUCUCAUUAAUGACUUGGCUAUGUUCAUGUCUCAGGGGUUUUGCCUUAGGCUCGAAGAUGGGGUAUCCCGUGAAGUUAAAAGAGCUCGUCAUUUGUCAUAUGCUAGGGGAGAAUUUGAUGCUGCUCCAAGAUUUGAACCAUUAUAUGAGGCUAAAUGUUUGCGGACCUUCCUACCUACCAUUUGUUGUGGGCAAAUCUACUGGAUCAGGCAUAAGAGAACUGAGGCAGUUCCCGCAACUUCGAGGAAAACUAUCAAUUUUGAAGCUACAAAAUGUAGUUGAUGCGAGGGAUGCACUGCACGCCAAUAUGAAGCACAAGAAAGAUCUCAAGGAGUUAGAGCUUUCAUGGGGUGCGGAGGAUGCUGAUGAUUCCCAAAAGGAGAAAGAUGUACUCGACAAGCUCCAGCCUUGCGUGAAUUUGGAGAAAUUAACCAUCAAAUUCUAUGGUGGAACUAAUUUUCCGAAUUGGUUAGGAGACUCGUCUUUUUCUAACAUACAAGUCAUGCAUCUCAGUGACUGUAGUUAUUGUUGGUCGCUCCCACCAGUUGGACCGCUACCGGCACUCAAACAGCUCUGUAUAAGAAGAAUGAAGUUUGUGAAGACGAUUGGCGUUGAAUUCUAUGGCAGAAAUGGAGCUUAUCUGACUCAGCCAUUUCGAUCUCUGGAGAAGCUAGAGUUUAGGGAGAUGCCAGAGUGGGAGGAAUGGGUACCAAGUGGAAGUGCAAGUGGAGGUGAAUAUGGUCCAGACUUUCCUCGUCUCCAGGAGCUGAUUCUAUACGAGUGUCCGAAGCUAAGAGGAAGUUUGCCUUGUGAGUUGCCUUGCUUGAAGAAGCUUACGGUGUAUGGGUGUAAGGUUUUACAUGAUGGAAGGGCCAUUACCGCAACUACCAAUAGUCUUAACUAUAAAUCUCUGGAAGAAUUGAAUAUAAGUGGUGGAUGCCAAACUCUGUUAUCAUUAUUAGAGACAAAGCUCCUGUCCGGACUUGAGAUUCGAAAUGUUGUUGACAUACAGUGCUUGCCCAACUGCAGUCGUCUUCAACAUUUGACUCUUUCGAAUUGUCCAACGCUGUCAUCAUUUCCCAAAGAUGGCCUACCCACUACAUUGACAUCACUUUAUAUAAACAAUUGUAGGAAAUUAGAAUUCCUACCUCAUGAGAUGUUGGCCAAAUUAACAUCGCUUGACUAUUUGUGCAUACAAAAUAGCUGUGAUUCAAUGAGGUCCUUCCCGUUGGGCAUUUUUCCCAAAUUGACGAGGCUUGAAAUUCGUGGUUGUGAGAAUCUGGAAUCCCUUUCCUUGAUUGAAGAAGAAGGAGCUGUUGAGAAUCUCAGCCAUCUCAAUUACUUGCAAGUCUAUAACUGUCCAAAAAUGGUGUGUUUUCACGAGGGAGAAUUGCCCACUCCCAACCUGAGUCACUUUGUAGUCGGUGGUUGCGAGAAUUUGAAGUCAUUGCCCAAAAGCCUUCACACCCUCACUGCCCUUCGAUCUUUGUCGAUAUGUAAUCUUCCGAAUCUGGAGUCAUUUGCAGAAGAUGGGGGUUUGCCUCCCAACCUCCGACAAGUAAGUAUUAGGAAUUGUGAGAGACUGAGGGCUUCAUCAGUGGGUUUGCAAGCACUUGACUCCCUUGAGAUCAGUGGAAGUGACCAUGUAUUCUCUAUCACACUCUUCACAUCUAUUCUCUAUCAACUCUGAAAUCUUUGGACGGAAAGGGUCUUGGACACCUCACUUCUCUUCAAGAGCUAGAUAUUAACAGGUGUCCAAGUCUGGAAUUCCUGCCAGGAGAGGAACUUCAACACCUCACUUCUCUUCAAAAUCUAUACAUUUGGAACUGUCCCAGUCUUCAAUGCUUGCCAGAAGAGGGUUUUCCAUCAUCUCUUUCUCAUCUGAGUAUCCGCCGGUGUCCUACCCUGGAGGAAAGGUAUAAGAAUAAAACGGGACGAGAUUGGGCCAAGAUAUCUCACAUUCCUUGCAUCGAGAUAGGCAACGAAGUGAUCAUAUAAUAUGAGCUAUUCCAUAUUUCACGCUCAACCCUCAACUCUCAAAUCAAAGUCAGGUGAGGUAUGUGCCUUCUCUUACUUUAAAAAACUGCUGCUCAAUAACACUCUUCGCACUCUAUAUAUUAUGGCCUGUCAGUCUAAAAUUCCUGCCAGGAGAGGAACUUGAACGCCUCUCUUCACUGCAAAGGCUACAUAUUUGUGGGUGUGACAAUAUCCAAUUCCUGCCAGAAGAGCGUUUGCUGCAAUCUCUUUCUUAUCUGUGCAUCGACCAUUGUUUUGCCAUGUAGAAAAGGUAUCUCACAUUCCUUGCGUCAAGAUAGGUGAAGAAGUGAUCAUAAGAUAUGAGCUCUCUCUCCCUCUCGCUCACAUACAAAGUACUUAAAACACUCAAUCUGAUUUCUAUUAUUAUUUUGCUCAGUAAAUUUUGUUUAAAUUUGCUUUGUUUCUCAUUGCGCUUGUUCUGCUUAUCACAACUUAUAUCCUAUUUAAAUCUCAAAUGCUGAAUAGUUAGCAGUCUUUUCGCAGGACAGCAUAUCUUCUCUUGGAGAGCUAUUCAUUUGCAAGGUUUCUUUAUGUGUCAUUUCCAGAGGAGGGUUUACUAUUUAAUAGAAAGGUUCACCUGGAAUAUCUCAAAUGACACAUUCCCAAAUACAGGCAUUGAAUGCACAACAUUUUGAGGUACUAUUUUUGUAAUAAAAAUGUACUUGAGUCUCAUUUGAGCUAGUUUAAAUUGUAUUCAAUGUCUAUGGAUAACCUGUGAGCUUAAGUUGUAAGAUAAAACUCACAGUAUAUUAUUAGGGUUUAGGGUUCAACAGGUGAGCUUAAGUUGUACUUUCCUAGGUACUGCAUGUAUAUUAUCUUAGUAUCAACACUUGGUCUUAUGUGGACGAGAGAGAACAUUUGAGGAAUUACAAAAUCUUCUUAGUGAAUUAAGCUUGUUUCAGCUCUGUUUGUCAUCCCUCACAUUUUCUUUGUUAAGCCUUGAUUUUUUAUUAGACAUACGAAAAAAUGCUUUUAUAAGACAGGAGAUGAAUGCUUUUAUAUGUUGAUGUCGUAGUCAGUCUUCAACCACACUCUGUUUUUAGAAUUCAUUUAUGUUACUAGUUGAGAGCUGCUGUAUUUUAUAUUUCGUUCCUGUAAUGUUUGGAUGUUUAGCUUGAGCAGUCUAGCUUAUCCAGUAGAUAACUUGUCCCCUGUUUUGUAAUGUUUUUGUUUCCUCUAAUGAAAGCAGGUUUUACUUAUCUUGAACUGCAGAAGCCUACUUUUUGACAUAGGUGGCAUGGCACAAACUCGCAUCCGCAUUUCCAUCCCCAUUGGCAUGCUGUCUCAUCUUUUCUAUUCUGUUACCAGCUUGAAGCUUGUGUGGACAUGUUAUGCUCUUGUAAUUCUGAUCACAAACAUCACUUGACAAAUGGAAAGUCACAAUCAGAUCUUUCAGGUGAUCUGGAGGUUUACUUUCUAACAUUUGUUUUCGUGGGGGGGAGACAACAAUACAGAAUUUAAAAUUUCUGAUAAUCAAUAGUAGUUUGCAUAUAUCAGCUGGGACCUGUAUGACUGUAUUAUGUAAUUAAUUAUUUCUCUUAUUGUUUGGGUACUGUUAAAAGGAGUUAGCCACACAACAUAAAAAAGGAGGUCUCUUAUUUCAUACAAUUUUUCAAAUGUGAUCAUUAAUCCGUUUCUUUUUCAACAAUAGAGGAAUGUAUACUAAUCGUCUGGUCCAUCUGCUGCUUCACUCCCUAGUAGCUUCAUCUCCUGUCCUUUGCUUUAUUUCUGUUGAUGAAUGUUUUGUCUGGGUUAUUUAUUUUCAUUUCAUGUCCAUUGCUUUAUUUCUGUUUGGAUUCUUAAUUAAAUCUGUCCUGGACUUGAACAAGGGUUAGGUUAGCUGUAUAAUUUGCGGUUUUAUAUACACAACUGUCUACAUUGAUUAAAACCAGCAUUAUUCUAAGGUUCAUUUAGAAUGUAUUAUCACCAAAAUUAUAAAGAAUACUUCUAUUACAAUUAAUUUGUUGAUUCUAAUUUGGACUUGUAGGAACAGACCAAACAUGUUCAUGCGUGGCAUUGCUCAAGUCAUCAUCAUUCGAGACAGAGAAUAAGCCUUCAAGUGUCUGCUGAGUCAAUGAACCUUUCUAGAUAUCUCAAGUGUAAUGGAAAUUGAUGAGUUACAAAGGAUUUGUAAACAUUUUCUACUGGAGGCUAGAAAUGCUUCAAAUAAAUGACCGUGUUGCAAUUAUUUUGUAGGAUCAAAGACUCUGCAAAGAGGUAAGAAAGUCAUCAUCAAGUAACUUUGCUCUUCAAACUUUUUAUUUUUAUUUUUAAAUAUCAGUAAUAACUGGGAAAGCUUGCAUCUCCUUAAAUUGCUCAUUCUUACAUCUUUUAUAGUUUGUUGAUCUUGGGCAAGUGGAGAGAGAGGCGUCAAGUGAUACGCAACAACCAUUUUCUGUGAGCUGAUUUGAUAAAGAGAAAUGGUAUGCUUUCUUGUCUUAAGCGGUGUGUUCUGCAAUUAUUUGAAACAAAGGAUGCCGCACUUCAAGUUCGAGAAAAUCAGGUAUUUUAGUAUUUUAUUCUUGAGAAAUUUGAUUUAUGUAGAAACUUGAACAUGUAAAUAAAAUAAAUAAAAUAUAUUAUAUGCUGUUAAUGAGUUAAUAUGGUGCUUGCUUCUAGUUGGAAAUUUAUGUAGUCAUCUACCUAUGAUCAAAUAAAGAUGAAGAAUAAAAUAUAAUUGAGAGCAUCUUCCUCUCCCCUGCUUUGCUCAUCCCUUGUUCUUCCACUUCAGCCCCACUAUUACACCAUUUUUUCAGCCACAAUUAUAAUAGCUCCAUGAGCAUUAAGUCCUUUUCAAAUUCUGCUGACAUUCAAAAUUGGAAUUUGCUGGUGAUAUAUGAUAGCAUCUUUGUCCGACCAAAAAGAGAAAAAAAAAAAGUUGAUAGCAUAUUGUACCAUUUUGGCCAGUGUACGCAAUAUUAUUGCAUCCAACUUUGCAUAUUAACAUCAGUGGCCACAGUUCCAUGAUUUGAGUGCACAGAAAAGUUUCAAAAGUUGUCCCACAAAGAACAGUCGUUCAAAGUGAAAGAGAGAUUUCAAAGCUUAAUUACAAGUUCAUGUUAUUUACAAUAUCAAAAAGCUUUCAUACUUGCUUACAAACCUGUAUUUCCAAGUUCUGCAAACCUUGGAAUAUCACUUCAUCCAAAUCCCCUUCCAAAGCAGGAAAAAAUGGCAGCAGCUUUGAUUGGAGAGGCUCUCAUCUCUGCUUCUAUCGUGGUGUUGUGUGACAGAGUUACUUCAGCCGAGUUCAUAGACUUAUUUCAGCAGAAGAAACUUGAUGAAACACUCCUCAUGAACCUGAAGACGACACUGUUGAUUUUGUUUGCGGUGCUCAAUGAUUCAGAGGAGAAGCAAAUUGUGAACCCUGAAGCUUUGCGAUGCAAGCUGGAAGGUGAGGAUCAAACCCACAAUAAUUAACCAAAAAGGAUCUUUUUGAUUGUUUGAAAGGAGGGUCUUGAUGAUUUGAAAGGAGAGGGUUGCUUUAUUUCUGUUGGAUGCUUAAUUAAAUCUUAUUUGGAGUUGAACAAGGAUUAGGUUAGCUGUAUAAUUAGUGGUAAACGCCUUUUUCUAAGGGUCAUUUAGACUCCUAUUACGAUUAAUUUGUUGUUUCUAAUUUGGACUUGUAGGAACAGACCAAAUAUGUUCACACGUGGCAUCGCUCAAGUCAUCAUCAUUUCAGACUGAAAAUCAGCCUUCGAGUGUCUGUUGAGUCAAUAAACCUUUCUAGAUAUAUCAAGUGCAAUGGAAAUUCAUGAGUUACAUAGAGAUUUUUAAACAUUUUGAAGAUUGCAACACCUGCAAGUGAGAUAGGCGGUGACGAAAUCAGAGCUGAUUUUGAAGCCUCUGAUGCCCCUGUUGUUGCAAGUUGCACCUGAGAACAAGUUUUUUUUUUCUUUGGGGUAAAAAACUGGCAACAUGUUCGGAGCUGACAAUUCAAUCCCUGAUGAACUAGAGAAGCAAAGCUCCGGUAAGGAAAUUGGUCAAGGUUGUGACAGGGAUGAUUGAUGGUGAAAUGGAUGCUAUUUCUUAUUGCAGCCUGUUCUCAAAGUUCUUGUUGGCAAAUGCAAUUGAUGGAGUAUUUUGAUUGGGAGGAGAGAUAAUGACAUGGCUUGACAAUUCUAGAACAGCCCAUCAUUAAUCCCAGAAAAAAUCCCGUUUCUGCUAAACAAUCACUUAUGGCAAGGCCAACUCUGUAAAUGGAAUUUGUGAUCCCUUCAAAUUGUACACAUUUUUUCUUUUUGAGGAAUUUAAUCAAACAGUAUUCUAAUGCAUUAUGAUAGCACUACACGCUUUUGUUGUAACAAAUUACAAGGAGGAAUUUGGAUUGAGUUUCUUGUAUAAGCACACCUUACACAAAUUUCGUAUAUUUUCUUCCAGCAAGUCUGUUUAUUAACCCCCUUAUCUGAAAUUAAUUGUUAAAAGUUUUGAUUCAUCUUUAAUCAGUGUCUUACCCUUGUUGAAUAACACUCCUCUUUCUAAUUUAUAUUUGAAGUUUGAGCUUUCAAUUUCAAUUGUGGGCUUUGAUUUUUCAGAUUUUGUUUGUCAAUUUCAGUUUGGACAAAGCAUAUAUGCAAACAAAGUAAGCAUUUUAUGUUAUACUUUUGAACUAGGUGUUGAUUUGAUUUAAUCAUAAGUUUUGCUGGUGCAUUUACUAGGCUAAUCAUUCAAUACUUUUGAUCAUAGAACUUCUUUGGUUGAUAUUAUCUUUGUUAAGUUUAACCAUAACUUUAGAGAGGGGACUUCAACAGAUUUAUAAUCUCAUCAUUAUAGUAUUAAAAAUUAGAGAUUAUUUAAGGCAUUGUCUAUUAUCUGAAUUCUGCUUACUUUUAGUUCAUAUGUUUACAUCUUAGCAUAUUCAUGUGAUUAGUGCGGCUCAUACCACAAAGGCAAUUUUAGGCUCAUCAAGUGCUAAGCAAUGUCAAGCUUCCAAAUGACAAGUUCUCUACAUAGUUUGAGACCUACACUUACUAGAUAUUAGAUCAUUUCGAUCAUUUCCAUAUGUUUAUAUGUAAUUGACAUGUUAUAACAUUUUUGUAGCGUUAUAUAAUUAUUUAGCAAUUUAAUUAUUUCUUUGCAACUUAAUUUUUUUUGUCAAUCAUACUAUUGUUGACUGCUAAAAACCAUCAAGAAAUAGUUCUCAAGUUAUAAAAAAAAAAAAAUUUUAAAAAAGAUUUGUUGAUGCUUAAAAAGCAUCAAGAACAGAUAGUUUCUUGACGGUUUUGUGACAUUUCAUAACUGUAGGGGGCUUUUUCUUCCGACAGCUGUAAAUGGGCUGGGCUGCCGUAAAGGGCAGACUGAUGAAAUUGUCCCCUUUUGUAUGAGCUCAAAAAUUAAGCCCCAAAAUACUUUGAAAGGGCAGCAGAGCCUUAGGAAGUAUUUUGGUUACCCUCACCAACUAAAACAACAACAACUUACAGGUAAUUACUUAAUGCUUAUGGAUGAACUCUUGAGCUUGGCAUGAGAGACAUAUGGCAUGGAAGCAAAAUCAACAUGAGUUUAGCACUGAGGGGAAAUUUAGGCUCUCUUGGGGGAAAAAGGGAAGUGUUAAGGUGAGAGAGGAGAAGUUUGUAGGAGAUUUAGCUAAGAAAGGAGAAAUAUAGAACAAUGCUCUUUUGGCAGCUUGACAGAUGCUCUGUUUGCCAGAAAAGGAAGAUGGAGAAGAAAUGUGAAUAGUGCAAGAGUUUGCUAGAUUUUUGCAGGUAAGAGAGGAAGCUUGCUCUCUGGGUCUGAGUUGAGUUUUUUUGUGUGGAAGAGACCUCAUUUUAUAGCCCUUGGAAACCAUCACUUCCCAAGAAACCCUAAUGGCUUCUACCCAUUUUGGCCAAGCUUUUCCCUUCCUUUCUCAUUUCCUUCCUUGACUUUACCCCUCUUGAUGAAAUCCCCUCUGCCUAUUUGCACCAUAUCAGAGUUUUUUGAAGCUCAAGGCCCCUUUUUCCCGCAGUUGUCUCAAUGGGAGACUUCCAUUCCCAGUCAUCUCCUUUAUUGCUUUCCUUUCUUUUUUUCAUGGCCAAGUUUGGUGGGGAAAGGAGUUGGGAUAUAUAUGCUGGUUUGAAGGGUGCUUCUCUUCCUGGCAUCUUACACACUAAUACCCCUUGGUUCCUUGAAUGUUUUGGCUUUGAAACUUGCUCUCCCCCCCCCCCCCCCCCCCCCCAUGUACUGGAACCUACCAGCAGCUCUAUUCAAUGAAUCUUCAGACCUUCUCUUCGUGGCUUUUAUUUUUUAUCAACGGGCUGGGGCUUUUGUGGCUCAUUGUGGCAAUUGUAUGGGCUAAGGUGGUUCAUUAAGUAAGUGGGCUAUUUUUAUUAAACAUUAGGCUUUUUGGUUGAGUCACUAGGCUAUUUUGAUUGGGCUAUUGGGCUAUUUUUUUCCUCUCUUGUGCUCACCCACAUGUUUGGACCAAAGAAAUGAGCUUGAGUCCUGAGGCUCCCAAGCGACCCGAGACUUUCCAUUUCUGGCCCAUCAAUGGGCCUCAUGUUGAUUUAUUACCAUCCAUACCACAACCCACUCAAGCAGGCUCCGGGCAUUUGAAUGACUUGGGCGCACUUAGGCUUGUAGUGUGGUUGGGUGCGAAAUAACGAUUUCGUGCUUGGCAUGUUUUAAUUUUAUCAUCCUUGGGAAAGGCUGCGAUGUUUGAUUUCGGCAUGGGCUUGUAGAGCUGGUAUGCUUUAUUUCAACUCCUAGCAUGACGAAUUAUUUAUUUAGCAUGGCACGUGAAUUACAACUCGCAUGUGGUGGGUUUUUGUGUACUACACCUUACGCCUCUUCUUAAUAGAACAUCGUUUUGGGCUGAUAAUUUAUUCGGGCCAAACCGUGAAUUUUUUGGGUCUCAAUAAUAACCAUCAUGAAACAUUACAUUUUGACUGACGUCAAGAAAUGGGGUAUCCCUUUCCUGAUAGUGGCAUCCAUGAUGCCUUCCAAGCAGUCAAUUAAGGGCUAUCGUGAUGCAUUUUAGUUGUCAGCAAAAGGUGUUUUUCUUGUACUGUAUUCACUCAAAGUCGUGUUUCAUUUAAGAUUAGUAGUAUGGUUGAAUACCAUUUGUUUUGUUAAAGAAUAUUAUACAUUAGGGAUUUUUGUAGAAAUGUCAUUUGAACUUAUACCUUAGUUUCAAUUUGUCACCUUGAAGAAAAAUUUAAGAGAAAUGUCACCUUAAUUUUUAAAAAUCCAUGAUUUGUCAUAUGACUUUAAAAUCAUCCAAUUUUCCAUCCAUUUUAAGGGUAUUUUAGUCUUUUCAUUUUGAAGGAAAAAAAAGAGAUGAAAAAAGAGACCUCUCUCUUACUUUGUCCCUCAACCCAACCCCACCCGCCCCCCAAAACACAUCACAUAGGAUUGCCUCCCCCUUCCCCACUUUUCUUUUUUCUUUUUGUCCUACUUUUCCACUAUGUUUAUGUUGAAGGAUCUAAAGUUUGCUUGGUCACCAUCUGUUACGUAGGCUUCCCAAUUGUUAGUUUGGGUGGGUUGUGGGAAUUUGUGUGCUCGAAACCCGAGACGAAUCUUGUGGAAUUCCCGACAUCACACCGAUGCCGGGCCCACUUCUGAACUAAAUUCUCUUUUCCAAAAUUAAGGAAAAAGAGUACGAGGCUUUCUGCCGAAAUUUCGACAGAGUAUUCCCUAUAAAUUUAACAUUUCAGCUUUGGUGGCCGUUCUCUCAUUUCAGCUUUGGUGGCCGGAUGAGAGAACGGUCGGCUAAAACGUGGCCAGCUGGCACUGCCGUCGCGAGAGAGAGAGAGAGAGAGAGAGAGAGAGAUUUUUAUCAAAUCAUUUUUGCCAAAAUUACGAUUAUGCAACUGAGGGUAUUUUGAUCGUAUCUUUUUCAUUAUAACUCUGAUUCAAGCCCACUACGUGUUUACGGACUCAUCUCGCCGUGCUCUAUGCAAUUGUAUAGUUGAAAUUCCCAAAUUCCACCCCAGUCAAAAAUUCAACUUUAAACCCUACAAAAUAUUAUAGGGGCAAAAUGGUCUUUUAUCUAAUUAAAUUAAUAAUUGAAAAUUUAUUUAGGACCGGGUUGUUACACUGUCGUUGAUGGACUGUGCGAUGACACUCACACAAAGUCCUUGAGAAUAAAACACACACACACCAUGAAGAGAGUAAAACAAAUACACAAGUACACAAAGAUUUAUAAAGGUUUGGCCUUCUGCCUACGUCCUCUUGGUGAUCCACCCGAGAAAUUCACUAGUACGUAAGAACAACUUUGGUUACAACUAAACCCCCUUAGCUUUCAUAAGAACCCUAGAUCUCUUUUCUCCCACCCUUGCUCCAACCCUUUGAUGCCCUUGUAAACACUCAAGAAUUCACCCUUGAAUUCUGUCAUGUGUUACAUCUUCUCUUCUCCCCUUUGUUAACCUAACCCUAAAAGUUAUAUUUAUAAUUCAUAGGACUUUAAGUACAAGUUAACUAGGAAUAGGAAACAUAAUAGACCUCAAAAAUUGGAGAAAAUAUGUUUAGAUCUCGUUAGGAAAUUGCACAACACGUGCGAUCCGCUCGAGCGCCUGCAAAAUGAUCCCUUUGUCGCUCAAGCUGCCGAUAGCUCAUGGGAUGGGGGAAUUAGAGAUUUUUUUUUUUUUCAAUUUUAAUUGUUUAAAAGAUAUACAAUUUUUUAAUAAUAAUUUUUCCAUUUUUAAAAUACCCUUGAAAAUAGAAAGAUUAAAAUGCCCUUAAAAAUGGAUGGAAAAUUGGAUUGCGUUAAGGUCAGUUGACAAAUCAUGGAUUUUGAAAAAUUAAGGUAACAUUUCUCUUAAAUUUUUCUUUAAAGUGACAAAUUAAAAUUGAGGUAUAAGUUCAAGUUACAUUUAUGCAAAAAUCCUUAUACAUUAUGAUAUUCUAACAAUAAAAUUGGCUAAAAUUGAUAUGUUCCCUCUUUAUUUUCUUUUUCUCUUUUCCUUUUCAUUUUAUGAUCCAAUCCUUUUCAUAUAUUUUUGUUCAAGACUUUGUUUUAGAAUGCUCUAUUACUAAUUUGGUACAGGUCCCUAAAAUCUCGGAGCCGCCUUAGUACAUUCAUAAUGUACAUGUUCAGAGUUCAAGAAUAAUGUAUAGAAUGUGAAAUUGACGAUGCCGGCCUUUAUGAGGCAACGUCUUUAUUUCUUUGGUUAUUACAGUUUAGAAUAUUUGCACAAAUGAGAUGAUUCCAAGCAUAAAGUCACAUUCGACCAAAAAGCAUGAAGUCACACACAAAAAGAACACGGACAAUUGCUAAGUUUAUCCUUGUACCCUUAUUUUAUUGAUCCGACCCAAUUGAAAAUUAAAAAAAGAUGAUAAAAAAUAUUGUUCACUACUUUAAAAUCUAUGAGUAGAGUCCUCCAUUUGAAAUUUCGUCAUUAUACAAAAUUGGAAUGAAAAAAGAAAAUCCUACAGCUAAAUUUGAUAUAUUUCCUUUUCAUUUUAUGCUGGGUGUUAGGGCUUGUCAAUGGGCCGGGCUAGGCUAGCCCGGCUCAAAUUUAAUGGGCUUGGGCUAGGCCGGGCCAAGCUUUAAAGAGGAGAGAGAAAAUAUCCGGCCGAGUUUUUUAAGAAAAUUCAAAGCCCAAGCCCGAAUCACUGCUGUCUAGCCCGGCCCAAAUUUAAUGAGCUUGGGCCAGGCCGAGCCAAGCUUUAAAGAGGAGAGAGAAAAUAUCCGGCCGAGUUUUUUAAGAAAAUUCAAAGCCCAAGCCCGAAUCACUGCUGUCAUUUCAUUGAUUUGUGACGAGCACAACCACCAAAUCAGAAUUUACUCACGAAAAUAUCAAGUAUGUCUAGCAAAUUUCAAUUUUGAAUAAUACACAAUUUCAAAAGGAGGACAUGUUGCAAGACAGCAUACCUUCUCUUGGGGUGCUUUUCAUUUUGCAACAUUUCUUUACGUGUAAUUUCCAGAGGAGGGUUUAUCAUUGUAUAUAGCUUUUCGGGUGGUUUGUCUACAAAACAAAUGUCACAAAGAAGGAGGAGAAACGGAAAAGAUUUACUUGGAAUGUCUCAAGUCUCCUUUGAGAUAAAGGCAUCGAAUGCACAACAUUGCUUUUGUGCUAUUUCAUAAUUAAAGUGUGCUUCCCAAGUCUCCUUUGUGUUUUGUAACUUGUAAUGUUUGUUUUUUUGUUUCCCCUGUUUUCCCUCUUAUAAAAGAAAUACAGGUCCAAACCACACGGAUCUACUUGCAUAAUAAUGGACCAAAUUUAUGAUUUUUAGAAAGAACCUUCUGCCGGUGGAAUCUUGGGCUACUGUUGUGGCUCUCCUCUGUGUGCCUCCUUUUUAGAACGGUAAAAUAUUCAAAAUACUAGAAAAUGUUCGUGAUUAAUAUAAAUAUUAAGAAUUGAAAUUAUUAAUUAAAUGAGGAUAAUAUGGUAAAUUCACACUUUUUUAUAUUAAAAAAAUUAAAAUUAAAAGAAAAAUCAGAUAAUUGAUAUUAUUUUUAUGGAACACAGCUACUCAUUAUCUUUUUUAAUUCUAAAAUAAAUUUAAAUUAAAGAAAAAAACCCCUCUCACAGGCACGGAAGCGCGUGCUCAGAGGCUAGUUAAAAAUAAUGAACUUUGCUUCUGAAGACGUCUAUACCAGACCCACUCAACCUGCUUUAUGAUUAUACAAAGAACAAACUCGUCCUUAGACUCAUUUGGUUAAACUUAGAAAAUAAUGAAACAAAAAUAUGCACUCCCACAAGUAACACAGCCAGGAUUGAAAACAACUGGACAAAGAAAGGCAUGUUAAAACAGAAUUUUCAACAACUCAUCACCAUUAGACAAGAAAAAGAAAAAUCAAUACAAAAACAGAAAGAACAGAGAAUAAAUGUGGUGGAAGAAAAACGUUGAAGCCAUUUGUGAAUCCAACAACACUACCACUCUGUUUCUCUCCUUUUGUUCAGGCGGAUCUGCAUAUAUCCUAAGGCGUAUUACGGAAACAACUUCUUGCCGUUAUACUUGAAUGUUGUGGAUGCUUCAACGUUGCCAUCUGGGUGGAGUGGAUUUGUCCAAUUCACCUUCACUAUGGUAUAUACGUCCAAAUUGUUGUUAUUUGAAAGGCUUCUAAAUUUUAACAUUUUGAUUUUUAAAUUUUGUUUAAAUAUUUCGGCCCACUUAGUUCUUCUCAAAAUAUGUCAUCAAUAUCGUUGAAAGGUUGAACUUAGUGAAUUAUUAUAGUGCAGUACUGUAGAAUAGACACAUGAUAUAAUUUGUCCACAUGUUAUAAUAUAAGUAAAUAUUUAUUGAUAUUAUUUCUAAAAAUAAGAAAUAUCAACCAUUAUAUCCUCCCAUAUUAUAAUACAUAUACAAAUUAUACCACAUUAUCAUACUCUAAUACCAUUUUAUAAUUUCUCGUACUUAGAGCGAGUCAAUGACAUUACAUAAUAUAUAAUUGUUCAUAUAAUGGGGCAACUAACGUGAUCAACAAGUUGUGGUGAUUAAUUUAACAUAAUAAAAAAUAUACCAUUUACUUGAGUGAUGUAACAAUUUGUUCUUUUAAAUUGGAUUGCCAUCACUUUAAUAUGAUAUGUUUCUUAUUAUAGUGUCCCAUGUUAAGUGCUUCAGCAUUGUUUGUGGUGUGUACACAAAUUUUCUUAUAAAAUGUUUUAAUGCUUCUCACAUGUAUAUCAGAUAUAGACAGUUGAUGUGACUUAGAAAUCAAAUUGUCAAUAAAGCAAAAAAAUAUAAUUGGUGAUUGAGGUCCAAUUUAAUAGAAAAUAGUCUUAACUUGUAUAUUAGAGGUUUCAGAUUCGAAUCCUCACUGCAUUAUUGUUGUAUACGUACACGAGAAAUCCUCUUCUCCAAUAAUUUAGACUAUCACUUAUACUAAAAAAAUAUAUAUAUAUAAUGACUUUUACGGAUGCAAACAUAAAAUUACACCAAACAAUAAUGGAAUAGAAAGAUGCAAGUUAUUUUUUUUUUUUUUACAUCUAAAGUAUACUUUAUAUAUAUAUUUAUUAUGGGUGUUAUAACCGUUUAAUUUUCAGUUUUUAUUUUCUAUUUAUUGUUUUAAUUUUUAUGGUUUAAUGUGUAUGAAGAUUACAAGUAUUGGAUGUCUACCACUCCUCCUUCACAUCUGAAACAAACCACCAUCUCAUUUCUGUAUUUUCAUACUUUCAUAUAUUUUCUACUUUCCAGAUUAUUAUUUUUGGGCAACGGUUCUGUGACUUGCAGAUUUCUAUCCGAUUGUUAACAUGCUCAUAGCGGACCUUGAGCUUGCGUAUUGGGGAUCGUAUCUUGGAGCCUUAUAGACCUUUAUUACCUGCAUGUAGGGAGGUUAUAAAUGCUUUAGGUCAGCAUCUUUGACGUGCUUUUGCUUUCUUUUUUUUUUUACUUAUUUCUUCGUUUCUUUAUUUUUACUUUACUUUUAAAUUUUUAUUUUAUGUAUUAUUUAUAUUUAAAAGUUUUGAAUAAGAGUUUUACAGAAAAGGAAAAACACAAUUUCAAAUAACACAAAUUUCUCGUUUUUGGUUCUUAAAAUAAAUGAAUUUUUUACUUAUUUGUGAACUGAAAUGCCUCUAAAAAAAUAAUGAUAGUUUGAAGAAUUUGAUAGAAAUUAAAAAAUAUCCUCAAAUUACUUGGAAUUGAAGACCACAUAGGCAAAAACACCAUUUUGGACAAAGGCUGGUGAUAAUAGUCGAUAUCAUCUUUAAGUACUUUAAUAUGAUAUGUUUCUUAUUAUAGUGUCCCAUGUUAAGUGUUUCAGCAUUGUUUGUGGUGUGUACACAAAUUUUCUUAUAAAAUGUUUUAAUGCUUCUCACAUGUAUAUCAGAUAUAGACAGUUGAUGUGACUUAGAAAUCAAAUUGUCAAUAAAGCAAAAAAAUAUAAUUGGUGAUCGAGGUCCAAUUUAAUAGAAAAUAGUCUUAACUUGUAUAUUAGAGGUCUCAUAUUCGAAUCCUCACUGCAUUAUUAUUGUAUGCGUACAUGAGAAAUCCUCUUUCCUAAUAAUUUAGACUAUCACUUAUACUAAAAUAUAUAUAUAAUGACUUUUACGAAUGCAAACAUAAAAUUACACCAAACAAUAAUGGAAUAGAAAGAUGGAAGUUUUUUUUUUUUUUCCUACGUCUAAAGUAUACUUUAUACAGUCCCGAUCUCUUGGACCACAGGAGUCCAAGAGAUUGUGGUCACCCACCGUUGGAUAUUAAUCCAAUGGUUCAAAAUGAUAUAUAUAAAUGCAAUAUGACAUAAAUGAUUAUUACCCGAUCCAAGUCAACCGUUGAAUUUACAUUCAACGGUGGGUGACCAUAAAUCUCUUGGACUACAGGGGUCCAAGAGAUCAGGACUGAUACUUUAUAUAUAUAUAUAUAUAUAUUUAUUUAUUAUGGGAGUUAUAACUGUUUAGUUUUCAGUUUUUAUUUUCUAUUUAUUGUUUUAAUUUUUAUGGUUUAAUGUGUAUGGAGAUUACAAAUAUUGGAUGUCUAUAAAGGGCCACUCCUCCUUCACAUCUGAAACAAACUACCAUCUCAUUUCUGUAUUUUCAUACUUUCAUAUAUUUUCUACUGUCCAGAUUAUUAUUUUUGGGCAACGGUUCUGUGACUUGGAGAUUUCUAUCCGAUUGUUAACAUGCUCAUAGCGGACCUUGAGCUUGCGUAUUAGGGAUCGUAUCUUGGAGCCUUGUAGACCUUUAUUACCUGCAUGUAGGGAGGGUACAAAUGCUUUAGGUCAGCGUCUUCGACGUACUUUUGCUUUCUUAUUUCUUCGUUUCUUUAUUUUUGCUUUACUUUUAAAUCUUUAUUUUAUGUAUUAUUUAUAUUUAAAAGUUUGAAUAAGAGUUUUACAGAAAAGGAAAAAUACAAUUUCAAAUAACACAAAUUUCUCGUUUUUUGUUCUUAAAAAAGAAGAAGCAUUGAUUGGGGAGUUAUGGUAAACUCAAUUUCAAUGGUUGCGAUGAGAGGCGGUGGCGGCGAGGAGAGGACGAAGGCUUUGCUGCCGACGGGGUGGUGUGGGUGGGUGGAGACCUCGGCUGGCUGCUUGGUCCUGGGUUCUCCUUUAAUUCUCUGUUUUCUUUUUUCUUUUUCUUUUUCUCUUAGAGUUAUUGAUGUUAAGUGAAUGGACAGAUGCCAAAAUAGGGACAGAAGUAGGGGUGGGCAUCAAUCCGGCCGAUCCGGUCAAUCCGGCCGAACCGAUUAUAUUGGAUUGGUUUGGUUUGGUUUUGACCAAAGAAAAAGUCAACAUUUUGAAAAACCGAACCGAACCGGUUUGGUUUGGUUCAGCUGUGGUUUGAGAGUUUUAAAAACUGUCCUAAACCGAACCGGACCGAUUAUAAAUCAAUUUAUUAUUUAUUUAAUUUAGUUUACAUGUGGCAAGGUUUGUGUGCGUUUUGUGAGUCCGCGUAUCUGAAUGUUGGUGCACGUUUUGAUCUUCUAAUUUGCAUAUCCCAGUUAUUUGUGUGUGCUUGUAUUUCCCUCUCUUUCUAUCUCUACUAUGUGUGUUUGCUCUUUGUGUUGUGUGGCUCUUCUUACUCUAUCUAUCUUAAUUAAUGGGUCCAUUUCAUAAUUUCAUACGCAUUCAAACUCCACCUCUGUGAUAAAAACAUUUACCUCUUUGUGAUAAAAGCUUUUCAUUUGUUUGUAUUUCUCUUUGGCUUUUUGACUCACUCACUGUCUUUCUUUCUUUUAAUGCUACUUGUGAUGAAUGCAAUGAGUAAAUUUAAUGCUACUUGGUUAAUGCAAAUUUUGUAUAUGUUUGUUUUGAUGGAAAUUGUGAACUUAGAUGCAUGCUAGACAUUGGACAACCUUUGAAUAAAUGGAAUGAUGUUGUAUUAGCCUUUGAUGGAAUGAAAUGAAAUGAUAUAAUGGCAAAAUGUUAGCAUUAUAAUGUAAGAGCAGGUUGAAAAAUGCAUGGUUUUGUGUUAGGCACAAACCGGCCGAACCAAUCCGAACCAAACCGAUUACAAGUGGUUUGGAUUGGUUCGGUUUCCAUUAUGAUUUUAGGCUAAUCCGAACCAAACCGGACCGUUAUUUUCUUAUUGGUUCAGCUGUGGUUUGAGAGUAAAACCGAACCAAUCCGGACCGUGCCCACCCCUAGACAGAAGAUGUGAACCCAAUUAUAUACAGCUGAUUACAUAAAGUAACAAAUUAAUUAAUACUUGAGUGGAGGACAGGCUUGAGUGGAAGAAUUGAUUAAGGCUUGAGUGGAAGACCAACUUCAGUGGAGGAAAGUAUAGAUAAGGAAAGCAUGCCUCGUUUAACGGCUUUAUCUAAUAAAGAUUAGUUGUUGGCACUUGGAGUUUCUUAGGAAUGCUGGUUUUGUUUCCUUGGUGGACUUGAAAGGUGGUGCGUUGGCUCGGACAUCUCCCUAGUAAUUAAUCGAAGGUGGAAUCUUACAAGACAUACAGCUGCUCAUUAGCUGAAUAUCUCGCUCUCUUUAAAGAGAUCGAAGCAAACUGCAAUUUGCAAUUUGUGUGAUUCAAGCAUGAAUAUCUGAUAUAGUAACUAUACCAUUUGUUGGUUUGAUAAGAAAAGUUUGGUUAGCGAGGAUGAAACCAUAAAGUUCUCCAAAACACACAAAAAACACGAACAAUUGCUAAGUUUAUUCUUGAGUUCACACAUAUUUGUACAAAUGAGAUUACUCCAAGCAUGACUAUACCAUUUGUUGGUUUGAUAUGAAAAGUACGGGCAACGAGGAUAAAACCAUACAAACACACACAAAGAACGUGGACAAUAUACUAAGUUUAUCUUUGCGUUAUUGAUCCGACCUAACUGUAAAAUAAAAAAGAUAAAAAUAUAUAAUGUUCACUACUUAGAUCUAUGAGCACUAAAGUCCUCCUUUUGAAAUUGCACAAAACAUCACUUUUGGUCUUUGGUAAAUUUUUAAAAUAAAUGAAUUUUUUACUUAUUUGUGAACUGAAAUGCCUCUAAAAAAAUAAUGAUAGUUUGAAGAAUUUGAUAGAAAUAAAAAAAUAUCCUCAAAUUACUUGGAAUUGAAGACCACAUAGGCAAAAACACCAAAUUGCAACCUCACUUUAAUGAUAAAAAUGGUAAACUACAAAGACAAAAAUGACGUUUUGCCUUAUACAUAAUUGGAAUUUGCUGGUGAUAAUAGUCUACCAUCUUUUGUCGAUUUGCUGGUGAUAAUAGUCUAUCAUCUUUUGUCGGUCCGACCUAAAAAGAAGAAAAAGUUGAUGGCAUCUUGUACCAUUUUUGCCAAUGUGGGCCCAAACAAUUUGAAGAAGUCCACCGGCAAUUUCUCAAAAGCUAUUGUGUGAGUGUGAAGCUAAACCAAUAUUAUUUUGCAUAUACGACUCCACAUCCCCAUGUGAUGUGAGGCUACAAAAGUGUUUCCAAAACGAAAUAUGAUAUUUCAAAACGAAGCUAUGUAUAGAGUCAUUUGUAUUUGCUUUCACAAUAACAUUUGAUUUGUGAAAGCAUUUUAUAUUUAUACAUUCUGAUAUUCUAACAAAUAAAUUGACUAAAUUUGGCCAACAGGAUUUAGCCGAAUAGAAAAGUCCUUAUUUAUAGACUAGUGGUUUCAAAUUUAAAGUUUAGACUAUCGCAUGUAUUUAAAAAAAAAAAAACAAUUGGCUUAAUUUGAUAUAUUUCCUUUUUUUCCUUUUUCAUUUUAUACUGGGUGCCGUUAUUAAGUUUUAUCCUUAUUUUUUGUUGAAAAGAAAAUUGAAAAAAAAUAAUAAUUCCUACAGCUAGCAACUUCUCCACCUUCCCUUCUUCGCAACUAGGGAUGCCAUUGCAAGGUCACCAUCUCAGAUUAAGUCCUCCUUUUAAAAUUGUGUCGUUAUUCAGAAUUGGAAUAUAAUCCUGUACCACUUUGGCCACUUUUGAAGAUGUUCACCGACAAUUUCUCAAAAGCUAUUAAGCUGUACAUCCACAAUAUUAUUGCAUCCAUCCCCAUGUGAGGCUACAGAAAAAUUUUGAAAACGAAACUGGAUAUUUUAUCUCUAACAACAGCUUUCAUACUUCGUUUACCCUGUGUUUCCAAGUUGUGCUAGCUAUUUGCAAACCUUGGAAUAUUACUUCAUCCAAAUCCCUUGCAGAGAAGAGCAAGAUAUGGCUUUGAUCGGAGAAGCCCUCAUCUCCGCUACCAUCCAGACGUUUUGUGACAAAAUUGCUUCGCCUGAGUUCACCGACUUAUUUCGGCAGAAAAAGCUCGAUGAACAACUCCUCAACAAGCUGAAGACGACGCUGUUGACCUUGUCCGUAGUGCUUAAUGAUGCAGAGGAGAAGCAAAUUAAGGAACCUUUAGUGAGAGACUGGCUUGACAAUCUCAGACAUAAUGUCUUGGCUGCGGAGGACUUACUGGAUGAGAUCGACACUGAAGCUUUGCGAUGCAAGCUGGAAGAAGGUGAAGGUCAAACCCACAAUUUAACCAAGAAGGUACGUGAUUUUUAUCAACGCAUGAAUGUUGAGAUGAAAGAUUUAUUAGAAAGAUUAGAACAAUUUGUACAAGAGAAAAGUGCUCUUGGUUUGAGAGAAGGUGCUGGGAGGAAGGUUUCACAAAGAAGAACAACUUCCUUGGUUCAUGAACCUUGUGUCUAUGGUAGAGAUGAAGUCAAAGAAAAUCUGUUACAAAGAAGAGGAUUUGCCGUCAUCUCUUUCUCAUCUGAGUAUCUCGCGGUGUCCUGCCCUGGAGAAAAGGUAUAAGAAUAAGACGGGACAAGAUUGGGCAAAGAUAUCUCACAUUCCUUGCAUCAAGAUAGGAUACGAACUGAUCAUAUAAUAUGAGCUAUUCCAUAUUUCACUCUCAACCCUCAACUCUCAAAUCAAAGUCAGGUGAGGUAUGUGCCUUCUCUUACUUUAAAAAACUGCUUCUCUUCUUCUAAUUGAAUACAAAAACCAAAACACAUAUUCUCUUUCUCUUCCAAAAACCCAAAUACAUGUUGAACAUUGCCAAAUUUGAUCUCCAAAUUCCUAAUUAUUUCACGCUUUUUGUUAUUUUGUUGCUUAGUAAAUUAUGGUUGCUGGUCACAAAUUAUAGUCUGUUAAUAGGUUCAUGCCAUGAAUUAAUCUUUGGACUUUCCCAGGUACUGCAGGUUUGUUAUUAAUGUUGUGGCCUGAUAUUCGUCGUAUCAAUAGGUUGUCUUACGUUGAGGAGAGAGAUCGAUCAGCAAUUACAAAAUUGUUAGUGAAUUUAGCUUGUUUAUCAUCUCUCUCCUUUUGUUUGUUAAGUUUGGUUGUUCUAGGUUAAACCCUUGUCCCCGCAUUUCACAGCAACUCUAUGUUAUUCCACUCUGUUUAGUUUCAUUUAUGUUGUGAUUCGACUGCUGCUGUAUUUUAGAUUUCGUUCAUGUAAUGCUAGGAUGUUUAAUCUCUUAUCUGUGGUGGUAGUUGAGUAGUCUAGCUAAUCCAAUGAUAACUUGUCCCCUGUUUUGUAUUGUUUUUAUUUCUCUGGUAAUGAAAGCACGUUUCUUAUAAAUAAAUAAAAAAUAUUUCAUUGAUAUUCAUUGCUUAUUUUGAACUGCAGAAGCCUACUUUUGUCAGAGUCAGUAGAUGCCAGAAUGAAGUCAUUGCCUAAACACAUUGGCACCCUCACAGCCUUCGACAUUUUGGGAUAUAUGAUCUUCAAAAUCUUGUGUCAUUUGCCUCCCAACCUGCAAUAUUUUCAUAUUUUAAAUUGUGACAGACUGAGCCCUUUGGUGGGAGAUUACUGGGGUUUGCAAGGACUUGGUGGCAAUAUCUUGUAGACGUUUCUCAAGGAACAGCUGCUCAAUACCACUCUUCACACUCUAUAUAUUAUGGCCUGUCAGUCUAUAAUUCCUGCCAGGAGAGGAACUUGAACGCCUCUCUUCGCUGCAAAGGCUACAUAUUUGUGGGUGUGACAAUAUCCAAUUCCUGCCAGAAGAGUGUUUGCUGCCAUCUCUUUCUUAUCUGUGCAUCAACCAUUGUUUUGCCAUGUAGAAAAGGUAUCUCACAUUCCUUGCGUCAAGAUAGGCGAAGAAGUGAUCAUAAGAUAUGAGCUCUCUCUCCCUCUCGCUCACAUACAAUGUACUUAACACAAACACUCAAUCUGAUUUCUAUUAUUAUUUUGCUCAGUAAAUUUUGUUUAAAUUUGCUUUAUUUCUCAUUGCACUUGUUCUGCUGAUCACAACUUAUAUCCUAUUUAAAUCUCAAAUGCUGAAUAAUGAGCAGUCUUUUCGCAGGACAACAUAUCUUCUCUUGGAGAGCUAUUCAUUUGCAAGGUUUCUUUAUGGGUCAUUUCCAGAGGAGGGUUUACUAUUUAAUAGAAAGGUUCACCUGGAAUAUCUCAACUGACACAUUCCCAAAUACAGGCAUUGAAUGCACAACAUUUUGAGGUACUAUUUUUGUAAUAAAAAUGUACUUGAGUCUCAUUUGAGCUAGUUUAAAUUGUAUUCAAUGUCUAUGGAUAACCUGUGAGCUUAAGUUGUAAGAUAAAACUCACAGUAUAUUAUUAGGGUUUAGGGUUCAACUGUUCAACAGGUGAGCUUAAGUUGUACUUUCCUAGGUACUGCAUGUAUAUAAUCUUAGUAUCAACACUUGGUCUUAUGUGGACAAGAGAGAACAUUUGAGGAAUUACAAAAUCUUCUUAGUGAAUUAAUGUUGUUUCAGCUCUGUUUGUCAUCCCUCACAUUUUCUUUGUUAAGCCUUGAUUUUUUAUUAGACAUAAGAAAAAAUGCUUUUAUAAGACAGGAGAUGAAUGCUUUUAUAUGUUGAUGUCGUAGUCAGUCUUCAACCACACUCUGUUUUUAGAAUUCAUUUAUGUUACUAGUUGAGUGCUGCUGUAUUUUAUAUUUCGUUCCUGUAAUGUUUGGAUGUUUAGCUUGAGCAGUCUAGCUUAUCCAGUAGAUAACUUGUUCCCUGUUUUGUAAUGUUUUUGUUUCCUCUAAUGAAAGCAGGUUUUACUUAUCUUGAACUGCAGAAGCCUACUUUUUGACAUAGGUGGCAUGGCACAAACUCGCAUCCGCAUUUCCUUCCCCAUUGGCAUGCUGUCUCAUCUUUUGUAUUCUGUUACCAGCUUGAAGCUUGUGUAGACAUGUUAUGCUCUUGUAAUUCUGAUCACAAACAUCACUUGACAAAUGGAAAGUCACAAUCAGAUCUUUCAGGUGAUCGGGAGGUUUACUUUCUAACAUUUGUUUUCAUUGGGGGGAGGACAACAAUACAGAAUUUAAAAUUUCUGAUAAUCAAUAGUAGUUUGCAUAUAUCAGCUGGGACCUGUAUGACUGUAUUAUGUAAUUAAUUAUUUCUCUUAUUGUUUUGGUACUGUUAAAAGGAGUUAGCCACAAAAUAAAAAAGGAGGCCUCUUAUUUCAUACAAUUUUUCAAAAGUGAUCAUUCAUCCGUUUCUUUUUCAACAAUAGAGGAAUGUAUACUAAUCGUCUGGUCCAUCUGCUGCUUCACUCCCUAGUAGCUUCAUCUCCUGUCCUUUGCUUUAUUUCUGUUGAUGAAUGUUUUGUCUGGGUUAUUUAUUUUCAUUUCAUGUCCAUUGCUUCAUUUCUGUUUGGAUUCUGUCCUGGACUUGAACAAGGGUUAGGUUAGCUGUAUAAUUUGCGGUUUUAUAUACACAACUGUCUACAUUGAUUAAAACCAGCAUUAUUCUAAGGUUCAUUUAGAAUGUAUUAUCACCAAAAUUAUAAAGUAUACUUCUAUUACAAUUAAUUUGUUGAUUCUAAUUUGGACUUGUAGGAACAGACCAAACAUGUUCAUACGUGGCAUUGCUCAAGUCAUCAUCAUUCGGGACAGAGAAUAAGCCUUCAAAUGUCUGCUGAGUCAAUGAACCUUUCUAGAUAUCUCAAGUGUAGUGGAAAUUGAUGAGUUACAAAGGAUUUUUAAACAUUUUCUACUGGAGGCUAGAAAUGCUUCAAAUAAAUGACUGUGUUGCAAUUAUUUUGUAGGAUCAAAGACUCUGCAAAGAGGUAAGAAAGUCAUCAUCAAGUAACUUUGCUCUUCAAACUUUUUAAUUUUAUUUUUAAAUAUCAGUAAUAACUGGGAAAGUUUGCAUUUCCUUAAAUUGCUCAUUCUUACAUCUUUUAUAGUUUGUUGAUCUUGGGCAAGUGGAGAGAGAGGCGUCAAGUGAUACACAACAACCAUUUUCUGUGAGCUGAUUUGAUAAAGAGAAAUGGUAUGCUUUCUUGUCUUAAGCGGUGUGUUCUGCAAUUAUUUGAAACAAAGGAUGCCGCACUUCAAGUUCGAGAAAAUCAGGUAUUUUAGUAUUUUAUUCUGGAGAAAUUUGAUUUAUGUAGAAACUUGAACAUGUAAAUGAGAGAAAAAAAAAUUUAUAUAUAUAUAUAUUAUAUUGUAUAUGCUCUUAAUGAGUUAAUAUGGUGCUUGCUCCUGGUUGGAAAUUUAUGUAGUCAUCUACCUAUGAUCAAAUAAAGAUGAAAAAUAAAAUAAAAUUGAGAGCAUCUUCCUCUCCCCUGCUUUGCUCAUCCCUUGUUCUUCCACUUCAGCCCCACUAUUACACCAUUUUUUCAGCCACAAUUAUAAUAGCUCCAUGAGCAUUAAGUCCUUUUCAAAUUCUGCUGACAUUCAAAAUUGGAAUUGCUGGUGAUAUAUGAUAGCAUCCUUGUCCGACCAAAAAGAAAAAAAAAAAAAGUUGAUAGCAUAUUGUACCAUUUUGGCCAGUGUACGCAAUAUUAUUGCAUCCAACUUUGCAUAUUAACAUCAGUGGCCACAGUUCCAUGAUUUGAGUGCACAGAAAGGUUUCAAAAGUUGUCCCACAAAGAACAGUCGUUCAAAGUGAAAGAGAGUUUUCAAAGCUUAGUUACAAGUUCAUGUUAUUUACAAUAUCAAAAAGCUUUCAUACUUGCUUACAAACCUGUAUUUCCAAGUUCUGCAAACCUUGGAAUAUCACUUCAUCCAAAUCCCCUUCCAAAGCAGGAAAAAUGGCAGCAGCUUUGAUUGGAGAGGCUCUCAUCUCUGCUUCUAUCGAGUUGUUGUGUGACAGAGUUACUUCAGCCGAGUUCAUAGACUUAUUUCAGCAGAAGAAACUUGAUGAAACACUCCUCAUGAACCUGAAGACGACACUGUUGAUUUUGUUUGCGGUGCUCAAUGAUUCAGAGGAGAAGCAAAUUGUGAACCCUGCUGUGAGAGAGUGGCUUAACAGCUCAAGCAUGCUGUCUUUGAUGCAGAGGACUUACUUGAUGAGAUUGACACUGAAGCUUUGCGAUGCAAGCUGGAAGGUGAGGAUGAAACCCACAAUAAUUAACCAAAAAGGAUCUUUUUGAUUGUUUGAAAGGAGGGUCUUGAUGAUUUGAAAGGAGAGGGUUGCUUUAUUUCUGUUGGAUGCUUAAUUAAAUCUUAUUUGGAGUUGAACAAGGAUUAGGUUAGCUGUAUAAUUAGUGGUAAACGCCUUUUUCUAAGGGUCAUUUAGACUCAUAUUACGAUUAAUUUGUUGUUUCUAAUUUGGACUUGUAGGAACAGACCAAAUAUGUUCACACGUGGCAUCGCUCAAGUCAUCAUCAUUUCAGACUGAAAAUCAGCCUUCAAGUGUCUGUUGAGUCAAUAAAACUUUCUAGAUAUAUCAAGUGCAAUGGAAAUUCAUGAGUUACAUAGAGAUUUGUAAACAUUUUGAAGAUUGCAACACCUGCAAGUGAGAUAGGCGGUGACGAAAUCAGAGAUGAAGCCUCUGAUGCCCCUGUUGUUGCAAGUUGCACCUGAGAACAUGUUUUUUUUUCUUCUUUGGGGUAAAAAACUGGCAACAUGUUCGGAGCUGACAAUUCAAUCCCUGAUGAACUAGAGAAGCAAAGCUCCGGUAAGGAAAUUGGUCAAGGUUGUGACAGGGAUGAUUGAUGGUGAAAUGGAUGCUAUUUCUUAUUGCAGCCUGUUCUUAAAGUUCUUGUUGGCAAAUGCAAGAGAUGGAGUAUUUUGAUUGGGAGGAGAGAUAAUGACAUGGCUUGACAAUUCUAGAACAGCCCAUCAUUAAUCCCAGAAAAAAUCCAGUUUCUGCUAAACAAUCACUUAUGGCAAGGCCAACUCUGUAAAUGGAAUUUGUGAUCCCUUCAAAUUGUACACAUUUUUUCUUUUUGAGGAAUUUAAUCAAACAGUAUUCUAAUGCAUUAUGAUGGCACUACACGCUUUUGUUGUAACAAAUUACAAGGAGGAAUUUGGAUUGAGUUUCUUGUAUAAGCACACCUUACACAAAUUUCGUAUAUUUUCUUCCAGCAAGUCUGUCUAUUAAACCCCUUAUUUGAAAUUAAUUGUUAUAAGUUUUGAUUCAUCUUUAAUCAGUGUCUUCCCCUUGUUGAAUAACACUCCUCUUUCUAAUUUAUAUUUGAAGUUUGAGGUUUCAAUUUCAAUUGUGGGUUUUGAUUUUACAGAUUUUGUUUGUCAAUUUCAGUUUGGACAAAGCAUAUGCAAUCAAAGUAAGCAUUUUAUGUUAUACUUUUGAACUAGGUGUUGAUUUGAUUUAAUCAUAAGUUUUGCUGGUGCAUUUACUAGGCUAAUCAUUCAAUACUUUUGAUCAUAGAACUUCUUUGGUUGAUAUUAUCUUUGUUAAGUUUAACCAUAACUUUAGAGAGGGGACUUAACAGAUUUAUAAUCUCAUCAUUAUAGUAUUAAAAAUUAGAGAUUAUUUAAGGCAUUGUCUAUUAUCUGAAUUCUGCUUACUUUUAGUUCAUAUGUUUACAUCUUAGCAUAUUCAUGUGAUUAGUGCGGCUCAUACCACAAAGGCAAUUUUAGGCUCAUCAAGUGCUAAGCAAUGUCAAGCUUCCAAGUGACAAGUUCUCUACAUAGUUUGAGACCUACACUUACUAGAUAUUAGAUCAUUUGGAUCAUUUCCAUAUGUGUAUAUGUAAUUGACAUGUUAUAACAUUUUUGUAGCGUUAUAUAAUUAUUUAGCAAUUUAAUUAUUUCUUUGCAACUUUAUUUUUUUUGUCAGUCAUACUAUUGUUGACUGCUAAAAACCAUCAAGAAAUAGUUCUUAAGUUAUAAAAAAAAAUUAUAAAAAAAAAGAUUUGUUGAUGCUUAAAAAGCAUCAAGAACAGAUAGUUUCUUGACGGUUUUGUGACGUUUCAUAACUGUAAGGGGCUUUUUCUUUCGACAGCUGUAAAUGGGCUGGGCUGCCGUAAAGGUCAAGACUGAUGAAAUUGUCCCUUUUUGUCUGAGCUCGAAAAUUAUGCCCCAAAAUACUUUGAAAGGGCAGCAGAGCCUUAGGAAGUAUUUUGGUUACCCUCACCAACUAAAACAACAACAACUUACAGGUAAUUUCUUAAUGCUUACAGAUGAACUCUUGUGCUUGGCAUGAGUGACAUGUGGCAUGGAAGCAAAAUCAACAUGAGUUUAGCACUGAGGCGAAAUUUAGGCUCUCUUGGGGGAAAAAGGGAAGUGUUAAGGUGAGAGAGGAGAAGUUUGUAGGAGAUUUAGCUAAGAAAGGAGAAAUAUAGAACAAUGCUCUUCUGGCAACUUGACAGAUGCUCUGUCUGCCAAAAAAGGAAGAUGGAGAAGAAAUGUGAAUAGUGCACGAAUUUGCUAGAUUUUUGCAGGUAAGAGAGGAAGCUUGCCCUAUGGGUCUGAGUUGAGUUUUGUUGGGUGGAAGAGACCUCAUUUUAUAGCCCCUGGAAACCAUCACUUCCCAAGAAACCCUAAUGGCUUCUACCUAUUUUGGCCAAGCUUUUCCCUUCCUUUCUCAUUUCCUUCCUUGAGUUUACCCCUUUUGAUGAAAUCCCAUCUGCCUAUUUGCACCAGAUCAAAGUUUUUUGAAGCUCAAGGCCCCCAUUUUCUUGCAGUUGUCUCAAUGGGAGACUUCCAUUCCCAGUCAUUCUCCUUUAUUGCUUUCCUUUCUUUUUUUCAUGGCCUAGUCUGGUGGGGAAAGGAGUUGGGAUAUAUAUGCUGGUUUGAAGGGUGCUUCUCUUCCUGACAUCUUACACACUAAUACCCCUUGGUUCCUUGAAUGUUUUGGCUUUGAAACUUGCUCCCCCCCUCCCCCCAUGUACUGGAACCUCCCAGCAGCUCUGUUCAAUGAAUUUUCAGACCUUUUCUUCAUGGCUUUUAUUUUUUUAUUAACUGGCUGGAGCUUUUGUGGCUCAUUGUGGCAAUUGUAUGGGCUAAGGUGGUUCAUUAAGUAAGUGAGCUAUUUUUAUUAAACAUUGGGCUUUUUGGUUGAGUCACUAGGCUAUUUUGAUUGGGCUAUUGGGCUAUUUUUUCCUUUCUUGUACUCACCCACAUGUUUGGACCAAAGAAAUGAGCUUGAGUCCUGAGGCUCCCAAGCGACCCGAGACUUUCCAUUUCUCGGCCCAUCAAUGGGCCUCAUGUUGAUUUAUUACCAUCCAUACCACAACCCACUCAAGCAAGCCCCGGGCAUUUGAGUGGCUUGGGCCCACUUAGGCUUGUAGUGUGGUUGGGUGCGAAAUGACGAUUUCGUGCUUGGCAUGUUUUAAUUUUAUCAUCCUUGGGAAAGGCUGCGAUGUUUGAUUUCGGCAUGGGCUUGUAGAGCUGGUAUGCUUUAUUUCAACUCUAGCAUGACGAAUUAUUUAUUUAGCAUGGCACGUGAAUUACAACUCGCAUGGGGUGGGUUUUUGUGUACUACACCUUACGCCUCUUCUUAAUAGAACAUCGUUUUGGGCUGAUAAUUUAUUCGGGCCCAACUGUGAAUUUUUUGGGUCUCAAUAAUAACCAUCAUAAAAUAUUACAUUUUGACUGACGUCAAGAAAUGGGGUAUCCCUUUCCUGAUAGUGGCAUCCAUGAUGCCUUCCAAGCCGUCAAUUAAGGGCUAUCGUGAUGCAUUUUAGUUGUCAGCAAAAGGUGUUUUUCUUGUAUUGUAUUCACUCAAAAUCAUGUUUCAUUUAAGACUAGUAGUAUGGUUGAAUACCAUUUGUUUUGUUAAAGAAUAUUAUACAUUAGGGAUUUUUGUAGAAAUGUCAUUUGAACUUAUACCUUAGUUUCAAUUUGUUACCUUGAAGAAAAAUUUAAGAGAAAUGUCACCUUAAUUUUUAAAAAUCCAUGAUUUGUUAUAUGACUUUAAGAUCAUCCAAUUUUCCAUCCAUUUUAAGGGGAUUUUAGUCUUUUCAUUUUCAAGGAAAAAAAAGAGAUGAAAAAAGAGACAUCUCUCUUACUUUGUUGCCCAACCCAACCCAACCCCACCCGCCCCCCAAAACCACAUAGGAUUGCCUCCCCUUUCCCCACUUUUCUUUUUUCUUUUUGUCCUACUUUUCCACUGUGUUUAUGUUGAAGGAUCUAAAGUUUGCUUGGUCACCAUCUGUUACGUAGGCUUCCCAAUUGUUGGUUUGGGUGGGUUGUGGGAAUUUGUGUGUGGAGGGCAAGACCCUAUCUGACAGGACCUGCCUCGAAUUCCUCGAAACCCGAGACGAAUCUUGUGGAAUUCCCGACAUUACACCGAUGUCGGGCCCACUUAUGAACUAAAUCCUCCUUUCCAAAAUUAAGGAAAAAGAGUACGAGGCUUUCUGCCGAAAUUGCGGCAGUGUCUUCCUUAUAAAUUUAACAUUUCAGCUUUGGUGGCCAUUCUCUCAUUUUAGCUUUGGUGGCCGGAUGAGAGAACGGCCGGCUAAAACGUGGCCAACUGGCAUUGCCGUCGCGAGAGAGGAGAGAGAGAGAGAGAUUUUUAUCAAACCAUUUUUGCCAAAAUUACGAUUAUGCAACUGAGGGUAUUUUGAUCGUAUCUUUUUUGUUAUAACUCCGAUUCAAGCUCACUACAUGCCUAUGGAUUCAUCUCGCCGUGCUUUAUGCAAUUGUAUAGUUGAAAUUCCCAAAUUCCAUCCCAGUCAAAAGUCAACUUUAAACCCUAUAAAAUAUUCUAGGGGAAGAAUGGUCUUUUAUCUAAUUAAAUUAAUAAUUGAAAAUUUAUUUAGGAUCGGGUCGUUACACUGUCGUUGAUGGACUGUGCGAUGACACUCACACAAAGUCCUUGAGAAUAAAACACACACACACCGUGAAGAGAGUAAAACAAAUACACAAGUACACAAAGAUUUAUAAAGGUUUGGCCUCCUGCCUACGUCCUUUUGGUGAUCCACCCGAGAAAUUCACUAGUAUGUAAGAACAACUUUGGUUACAACUAAACCCCCUUAGCUUUCAUAAGAACCCUAGAUCUCUUUUCUCCCACCCUUGCUCCAACCCUUUGAUGCCCUUGUAAACACUCAAGAAUUCACCCUUGAAUUCUGUCAUGUGUUACAUCUUCUCUUCUCCCCUUUGUUAACCUAACCCUAAAAGUUAUAUUUAUAAUUCAUAGGACUUUAAGUACAAGUUAACUAGGAAUAGGAAACAUAAAAGACCCCCAAAAUUGGAGAAAAUAUGUCUAGAUCUCGUUAGGAAAUUGCACAACACGUGCGAUCCGCUCGAGCGCCUGCAAAAUCAUCCCUUUGCCGCUCGAUCUGCCGAUAGCUCAUGGGAUGGGGGAAUUAGAGAUUUUUUUUUUUUCAAUUUUAAUUGUUUAAAAGAUAUACAAUUUUUUAAUAAUAAUUUUUCCAUUUUUAAAAUACCCUUGAAAAUAGAAAGAUUAAAAUGCCCUUAAAAAUGGAUGGAAAAUUGGAUGGUGUUAAGAUCAGAUGACAAAUCAUGGAUUUUGAAAAAUUAAGGUAACAUUUCUCUUAAAUUUUUCUUUAAAGUGACAAAUUGAAAUUGAGGUAUAAGUUCAAGUUACAUUUCUGCAAAAAUCCUUAUACAUUAUGAUAUUCUAACAAUAAAAUUGGCUAAAAUUGAUAUGUUCCCUCUUUUAUUUUCUUUUUCUCUUUUCCUUUUCAUUUUAUGAUCCAAUCCUUUUCAUAUAUUUUUGUUCAAGACUUUGUUUUAGAAUGCUCUAUUACUAAUUUGGUACAGGUCCCUAAAAUCUCAGAGCCGCCUUAGUACAUUCAUAACGUACAUGUUCAGAGUUCAAGAAUAAUGUAUAGAAUGUGAAAUUGACGAUGCCGGCCUUUAUGAGGCAACGUCUUUAUUUCUUUGGUUAUUCCAGUUUAGAAUAUUUGCACAAAUGAGAUGACUCCAAGCAUAAAGUCACAUUCGACCAAAAAGCAUGAAGUCACACACAAAAAGAACACGGACAAUUGCUAAGUUUAUCCUUGUACCCUUAUUAUCCGACCCAAUUGAAAAAUAAAAAAAGAUGAUAAAAAAUAUUGUUCACUGCUUUAAAAUCUAUGAGUAGAGUCCUCCAUUUGAAAUUUCGUCAUUAUACAAAAUUGGAAUGAAAAAAGAAAAUCCUACAGCUAAAUUUGAUAUAUUUCCUUUUCAUUUUAUGCUGGGUGUUAGGGCUCGUCAAUGGGCCGGGCCAGGCUAGCCCGGCCCAAAUUUAAUGGGCUUGGGCCAGGCUGGGCCAGGCUUUAAAGAGGAGAGAGAAAAUAUCAGGCCGAGUUUUUUAAGAAAAUUCAAAGCCCAAGCCCGACCCAUGAGCCCGGCUUGAGAAAGCCCAUCGGGCCGGCCCGGGCCUAAACAGGCCCUACUUCGUUAAAAAAAAAUCAUAAACUUAAUCAUAAGGUCAUUUUAGUCCAAAUUUGAGAUUAAACUCACUUAAUUCCAAUAUUUUCACUUCAAACCAAAUUCAUAAAACACCCAAUAAAGUCACACAGCUUGUAAGAUUUUCCACAAAAAUAAUAAAACCAAGUACUAUUUUUGAGGUUAUUACAUAAUUAGAUCGUAAUAUGUUUUAAGAAAUAAUUUUAAAAAAUAAUAUUAAUAAGUAUCAAAAAAAUAAUUUUUUAAAGGAUGGUAUGAAUAAAUAUGCAAAUAUUUGGUGAUGUGUUCAAGAAAAGGAUGAUUAUAUUUGGUGGUACGAUUAUGUUUCGUGAUAUGAUUAUAAUUAGUGAUGUGAUAUGUUGUUCAUCUUAUAUAUAUAUAUAAUUGUUGAAUUAAUAAUUGACACAAAUUAAUGUGUUAAUCAUCCAAUUAUAAACUAGGAAUGAAUAAAGAAAAGUAAAUGAAAUGAAACAAAUUAUAUAUGUGAUUUAAGUGAUAUAAUCCUAAACCUAAACUCUUAUUUAUACAUAAUUAUAUAUGUAUGCGGGCCUAACGAGCCGGACUUUUGUGGGCGGGUAGGGCCGGGCUUUAUUGGGCUUAAUCGGGCUUUAUUGGACUUAAUCGGGCUGGGCCUAUAGGUCGGACCGAGCUUCAGACAUCCAAGCCCACGCCUAGCCUCGCCCGCCUUGGGCCGGGCCAUUCUUUUUUUGGGGUUCUAUUUCUCUUUGAAUUAACUGCUGAGUUUCAUGAACAUGUCCUCCUUUUGAAAUUGUGUAUUAUUCAAAAUUGGAAUUUGCUGGACAUACUUGAUAUUUUCGUGAGUAAAUUCUGAUUUGGUGGUUGUGCUCGUCACAAAUCAAUGAAAUGACAGCAGUGAUUUUGCAAGACAGCGUACCUUCUCUUGGGGUGCUUUUCAUUUUGCAACAUUUCUUUACGUGUAAUUUCCAGAGGAGGGUUUAUCAUUGUAUACAGCUCUUCGGGUGGUUUUUCUACAAAACAAAUGUCACAAAGAAGGAGGAGAAGCGGAAAAGAUUUACUUGGAAUGUCUCAAGUCUCCUUUGAGAUAAAGGCAUCGAAUGCACAACAUUGUUUUUGUGCUAUUUCAUAAUUAAAGUGUGCUUCCCAAGUCUCCUUUGUGUUUUGUAACUUGUAAUGUUUGUUUUUUUGUUUCCCAUGUUUUGUCUCUUAUAAAAGAAAGGCUUUUUAUCACAAAUGGUCCUUCAGGUUUACAAAAUUAUCACAAAUCGUCCUUCAAGUUUUUUUGUGACACUAAUAGUCCUUCAGGUUAUCAUUUACCCAUCAAAAUGGUCCUUCUGUCAGUUUCUGUCAAAACUGACGUUAAAUUCCUGUGCUCAGCCUGCUUUUGAAAUGAUAAUCUCAUCUUUUCCACUCAACCUUCAACCAAACUCAACUGUCAGAACCCUUUCCCUCCAUUUCCUCAUGGUCCUUCCAGUUUGGCGCCCCUGUAAUAUAUAACCAAUCUUAAAAAUUAAACUUCUGAAGAAAUUGAAACAAUCCAAGCUCAAGAGAAAGACCAACAAUUGAGAACUGCAGAGAAAGAUCAAACUCAUGGAUCAAUAUGGUAAAGCCAAAUUGAAAAACAUAAUUUGCUAAAGAUAAAGCCAAACUGAAAAACCAAACUGAAAAACAUAAAGAUAUCAUUGACAAAUAUAAAAAGUUAAAAAAUAUUGCACAAUCAAAAUACAACCACAUGUUUCACAAAACAAAACAAAACAACCACAUUUGCAGACAAGCUGUAGUUUACACUUUAACAAAGAUUAAAAAACUAACCUGUAUACUUUGGUUGUUUCCCCCCCUUUCGAAAGAACUCCUCGGACUCAUCCAUCUAGUCACUUUUGUAAGAAGAAUAAUGCGUAUUUGACUCUUACGAACCCAGAUAUUCCUUUUGCAGACCAGCUUUAUCAAUUAAAAACCCAAAAAACCUUAAUUGUGCAGGGCCCGAGGAUGAAAUGGAGGGAAAAGGUUAUAUAUGCGGUUUAGAGCGCCAAAAUGGAAGGCCCGAUGAAGAAAUGGAGGGAAAGGGUUAUUUCAGUUGGGUUUGGUCGAAGGUUGAGUGGAAUGAUGCGAUUAUCAUUUCAAAAGGCAGGCUGAGCACGCGACUUUAACGUCAGUUUUGACAGAAACUAACAGAAGGACUAUUUUGAUGGAUAGAUGUUAAACUAAAGGACUAUUAGUGACACAAAAAAACCUAAAGGAUGAUUUGUGAUAAUUUUGUAAACCUGAAGGACCAUUUGUGAUAAAAAGCCUAAAAGAAAUACAGGUCCAAACCACACGGAUCUACUUGCAUAAUAAUGGACCAAAUUUAUGAUUUUUAGAAAGAACCUUCUACUGGUGGAAUCUUGGGCUACUGUUGUGGCUCUCCUCUGUGUGCCUCCUUUUUAGAACGAUAAAAUAUUCAAAAUACCAGAAAAUGUUCAUGAUUAAUGCAAAUAUUAAGAAUUGAAAUUAUUAAUUAAAUGAAGAUAAUAUGGUAAAUUCACACUUUUUCAUAUUAAAAAAAUUAAAAUUAAAAGAAAUAUCAGAUAAUUACUCUUAUUUUUAUGGAACACAGCUACCCAUUAUCUUUUUUAAUUAUAAAAUAAAUUUAAAUUAAAAAAAAAAUCUCUCUCACAGACACGGAAGCGCGUGCUCAGAGGCUAGUUAAAAAUAAUGAACUUUGCUUUUGAAGACGUCUAUACCAGACCCACUCAACCUGCUUUAUGAUUAUGCAAAGAACAAACUCGUCCUUAGACUCAUUUGGUUAAACUUAGAAAAUAAUGAAACAAAAAUAUACACACCCACAAGUAACACAGCCAGGAUUGAAAACAACUGGAAAAAGAAAGGCAUGUCAAAACAAAAUUUUCAACAACUCAUCACCAUUAGACAAGAAAAAGAAAAAUCAAUACAGAAACAGAAAGAACAGAGAAUAAAUGUGGUGGAAGAAAAACGUUGAAGCCAUUUGUGAAUCCAACAACACUACCACUCUGUUUCUCUCCUUUUGUUCAGGCGGAUCUGCAUAUAUCCUAAGGCGUAUUACGGAAACAACUUCUUGCGGUUAUACUUGAAUGUUGUGGAUGCUUCAACGUUGCCAUCUGGGUGGAGUGGAUUUGUCCAAUUCACCUUCACUAUGGUUAAUCAACUAGACAGACAUAAGUCAGAAACAAUAGGUAUAUACGUCCAAAUUGUUGUUAUUUGAAAGGUUCUAAAUUUUAACAUUUUGUUGUAAAUGUGGAGAGAAAAAGUAGAGAAUUGGAAUAGAGAGGAGAGACUGAUUUUCUCAUUCAUAUGUUCAGAUGAAUGUCUUCAGUGUAUAUUUUACAAGUAGGGGGAGGUAUCUAUUUAUAGGCUAAGGUUUUGGUAAAAUACAGGGAAGGAAAGUUCCUGGAAGAUGCAAGGAAACUUCCUCUGUGGGCUCCACCUUCAAACUUUUACAACACUCCCCCUUGGAGACCACAAAUGAUAUGGAAUAUGCCUCGUUAAAAACCUUGCCAGUAAAAACCCAGUGGGACAAAAACUGGUCAAAGGGAAAAAGAGUACAUAAUGAUGUGUAACAUAAAAUUCUGUGUAUAUUGACGCGCGUGCGACACUGCCUCGUUAAAACCUUGCCAGGAAAAACCCAGUGGGAUGAAAACCUGGACGAAGGAAAAAGAGUACAGUGUUUGAAGAUCUUUAUUGAUAGCAUGCUCCCCCUGAUGCUUGGUAAAAUAUCUUUAAGUCAUACUGUUGAUCACCUUUCUGAAUAUCGUAGUUGACACUGCUGCUGUGAGUCAAUCUUGAGCGACACUGCCUCGUUAAAACCUUACCAGGAAAAACCCAGUGGGAUAAAAACCUGGAUGAAGGAAAAAGAGUACAGUGUAUGGAGGUCUUUAUGAAAAACCACGCUCCCCCUGAAAAAUAUCUCCCCCUAAAAAAUUUCAUGACUAGCUUUUCCAGUAUGCGACCAUAGAAAUUUUCAUAGUAUACUCUAAACCCUUGAGCGACACUGCCUCGUUAAAACCUUACCAGGUAAAACCCAAUGGGAUAAAAACCUGGAUGAAGGAAAAAGAGUACAGUGUGGAGCUGACCUCUAUCUGGUCUAGUAUACUUCCGGAAAAACAUUUAAGGUGUCCAACGGAUAAUCCUCAUAAAAAUGCUUCAAUACUUUCUUAGUAUAAGCAAGAAUCUCGUUGGCAUAAUGCUCGAUCUUUAAGUCGAGACAAAUAUUUCGUGACUUCUGCAGAAGCUUUAAUGUGUUGCAAACACAUUAUAAACAAUGUACUCACUGAGGUAAUUUAUGCAUAUUAAUAUUGAGUACAAAUUUUGUGCUUCAAGCACAUGUCCUUUAGGGACUUGCUUUAUGCAAUGUCAAUCCUCUCAACGGAUUUUGUUUAAAAGGGGAUUAAACUUUAUGACACAUUAUAUAGCUUUAACCCAGCUAUUUAUACAUCUUUAGGGAAUCACUUCAAGUGAUAUGCUCUGUGCAUUUAAUAACCCUUAAAGAUAACAUGUUGGUCUCCGUAAUUGUGCAGUAAGGGGGGAGGCACAAUUGAAUCUGUAAAUAUGGAAAAGACCCAACAUUCAUUGUUUCUGCCAGAAACAUUGUGUCAUACAAAGUAGGUAUAUUCCCUUUUAUUCCGAACACCCAAGUAUAAGUUUCAAUAUUAACAUCUUUUGGGGUUCGUACUGUGGGUUUGUUCUUUCACGUUCAUUCUCAUCUAUAAUGGAAUUACCUCUUUCCAUUUUGGCCAAUGAUAUUGUCGACAUCUAAUAAUUGAACGUGGUUCCAAUCAACACAGCCCAUUGAUGAUUUGAGUAGCUACUCCAAAACCAAAAAUUGUCAUUCAUCAAUUCAUUAUCCCACCAUUCUCAUGUGCAUGCGCAUGCAUCAAUUAUAAGCAUUUCUUUGCUUUUGGGUACCCAAGCCACUUCAGGGGGCUUUUAUUAUGUGAGAAUGUGGAUUAUAACCUCCAAUGGAGCGUUAUUUUGCAGUAGGGCGUGGAUAAUCUCCAUUUAGGGAGUUGGAACAUUUAGAACCCAUAUAUCUGUCAUGCUGCAGGCAUGCCACAGAUUAAUACAUACAUGUCAAUUAGUUUAUGGGACUUUAACCCAUAUGAUGGGACUUUAACCCAUGUAAUUUGCUACGCAUUCGGCGUGCAUAAUCUCAAUAUUGACAUGUCAAAGGAUUGUCCAUUCGGGACUUCAAUCCACAUCAUUUGCUACGCAAUAGGCGUGCAUCAUAUUGAUCACUGCUAUACCCAUAUUCUGUUCUUAUGGGACUUUAAUCUGUGCAAUGUAUUAUCAAUGUAUCCAACUUGCAAUCUGUAAAAUUUGCAUUAAUAAUACAUGGAUACAUACAAGCCAUUCUUUUGGGACGGACUUAUCUCCCCAUUUGGUUACCUUUCAAUAUAAAAUAUCAAAUAGGUAUAUAAGCAUAAAAUAACACAAGUAUUGCUUACAUCCUUAGGUGGGAGAAACUUUUCUCAAGUAUCGCUUGAUGAUCUUGUUAUAUCCUGCAAGAGCAAAAAUCACAAUUCCUUUCUCUGUCAAAAACAAAUAAGAGGAAUAGGUAGAACCGGUGAAUUUCAAAUUAACCAUAGGAAAAUUGCGAGAUUCUCGGGAUGCUUUUGAAAAAGUAGCUCCGUGAAAUCCGUAAAGCAAGAUUGGCUUUGAAAAUAAUACUUGAAAACGCCGAAAGUGCCGACAGGCAUUAUUAGAGGCCACGUGAAGUUUUGGACUUCUAGGAAAGAAAAAGAUAAUAUGGGGAUUCGAGAAGAUAUUGGGGUCUUGAAAAACAGUAGCCAUAUUUCCUCCUAUAGAUAUGGCCUUUGCAACAAUUGCGCACCUUCUUAAACUUGCACCUGUGGUUUUUACGCCUUUUCAAAAUGACGGUUUGGAACCUUGUGCCUUAUAGGUUCAAAUAACCACAUUGUUUCUCCCAAAUUUCAUAUUUUAUCGCAUGGUAGCCCGAAACUUUUGGCCUGGGCACAAAUUCAGAAUUUAUUUGCCCUUUUCAAAUGGACAUGAAAUAUGAAUUGAGUAAAAGCCAUGAUAAUAUCGCAAUAUAGUAGUGAAGAGCAUUAACUACUAUAUACCCACAACUUCAAGUUCAGGAUCUCUCAUAUAUUUGGAUCCAUGGGUUUCCGGCCCAGAUAUAACAAAAUAUGUGGGGAGCCUCAAUUCAUCAUUUGAGGUUCAUACUGAUAUUAUCCAUUUCACGGUGUAUUCUUGACAACCGGAAUUCACAAAAUAUAUUUCUUCCUUGAAGUGUCGAUUAUAACAAAAUCGAACUUUAAAUUCAUCAUCUUCUUAUGCCAAAGAAAUAUGUGGCAUACCACAAUUUGCAAUAAUACCUCAAGGGUUGUCCAUUUAAUUGUUGGAACUUCAGGUUCUCAACACUGUUAGAUUUUGAACUUCUGGCCAAAAUCACAUAUUCUCAUGGUAUGGACAUUCAAUCCCCUUAGAUUUUGAACUUCGGGCCAAAAUCACAUAUUCUCAUGGUAUGGACAUUUUUACAAUUUUCUGUACAUAUUUCUGGACUUCAAGCCCUUACAUAAUUGUCCAUAUUUUGAGGAACUUCUGGCAUCUCAUUUAAUUGCUCAUCCAUGAGUUUAAGGAACUGCAGGUUCCCUUUUGAAUGGUGAUGGUUUACCCAAAAUGGUAAAUACUUAUGCAUACAUCACUAUUCAUGUAUACGGCACUAUUUAUGUAUACAGUACAUUUGCCAGUACAGUUAUCAUCCAUGUGUACGGCAUUAUGAACAAAUACGGUACUGUUACAUCAUUAAGGAACCCCAUGUCCUUAUUUACAUGUCAGGGAUCAAGGACCCUCAAGUCCGAUCACAUGUUUACAAAUAUAGUACCGGAGAGACUGCCAGCUCUCAUAUUAACAUCAUCAUCAAGGAUCUUCAAGUCCUGAUGUAAUUGUAUGAUGAGGAUCAAAGAACUUCUGGUCCUGAUCUGUAUACUGUAAAAACUCAUCAUACAGCACAUUUAAUCCAUAGAAUAAAUUGCUGGUAAAUAAAUUACUGGUAUGGACGAUAAACUCGCACCAUACUUUAAAUAAAUAUUGCCUUACAUACACUUACAGCAUCAAUAAUUGAUAUCCAUCCAUGAUCCACCUGUAUAAAUGUAUAUAUAUAUAUGUAUAUAUAUAUAUAUUAUUUUUAUUUGGACUUAAACAGAAACAGGCAUUUUCUAUAGCUGUAAGUAUAAUUGUACCUGCCUACGCUGAAGAUUCCUUUCAUUGUUGCAGGAUGGUGGGCAUUCAGUUUAAAUAAAGCAAACACACACAUUUCAAAUUUUAAUUGAAUUUCAAAUUAGCAGUUUACUUACAUGCCCAUCCAUGACGUAAAAAGCAGAGACAAGUGAUUGUCUUUCGACAAUGACAUGAUAUCACAGUAGUGGGGAUAACGCUAUGAUAUUGGCCGAUCGGCUUCGCUGUAUCCCUGCACACCUUUAAUAAUUAUAUAAUAUUAAAAUAAUAUAAUUAUGUACCUGCACUAUAGACCUGCAUCUUAAGCUUCUUCCCUUUAUGGGGUCUGCCGCUUUGCCUUUUGUUUCCUUUGCUUUGCUUUCCACUGAAGCAAGUUGGCCAGCACCAAUAAUGCCGCCCACAAUGCAAAAAUCAAGUUGGCCAGCACCAAUAAUGCCGCCCACAAUGCAAAAAUCAAGUUGGCUACUUUUGCCUGUUGCUUUCUCAAUUUCCUCCACCCUUUCAUUGUCUUUUCUUCUUUCACUACUUCUCAUCUUCUGCCUCUCUCUUGCCUUUUUUUUUUCUUUUUUUUUUUUUGUAUUCGAUUUUCUGGCAAGCCUCCAAAGACAGCAACGACCAAGUUGCCUUGUCAUGGCUGGCGGCCAUUGCAAAAGCCUUUUCCAUGAAGAAAUGGACUUGGACACGAGGCUGGUUGAUUAUGUAGUUGGAGAUGAAGAAAGCAGCUGACAGUCUAGGGAGGGAGCGAACCAGAGAGUUUGUUACUCCACUGGUGUGGUUGGGAGGUAGGGAUCGUCUGUGGUUGGUACAGAGUUUUCUUCCUCAGCUCAAGCAAGGCAAUAGAGGUAGGUUUGUUUGCUCAGCUCAGCUCAACCUGUGCUCUCUGUGUUUGUUUGCUGGGUUAUCUGGGAGAGUAAUUUUCUUCGGGUUCGGUUCUGGUAUGCUUUUGCAUAUAGAAAACAGAGAACCCAGAAAGGAAAUCCAAGAGAGAGACUUUGGUUGAGAAAAUGGCAAUUUUUGAGAAAAAUGGAGAUGCUGAGGUUGGUUGGACAACACCGAAUGGAAGUUGUUGGGCUCGGAGCAGAGAAUUGGUUCUCUAGAUCGGAGGUUUUGUGUGAAAUUUUACUGGCAAGCAAUCCGUGUGGCUCUGUACAAAACUGGGUUGGUUUUGGGUGGGCAAUCUGGGCUUGGUUUCGAACUGGGUGUCUUGAUCAAUUUCUGGGAUCAAGAAAUCAGAGAUUUCAGCCGGUUAAAGACUCGUGCUGAUAUCGUGUUGUAAAUGUGGAGAGAAAAAGUAGAGAAUUGGAAUAGAGAGGAGAGACUGAUUUUCUCAUUCAUAUGUUCUGAUGAAUGUCUUCAGUGUAUAUUUUACAAGUAGGGGGAGGUAUCUAUUUAUAGGCUAAGGUUUUGGUAAAAUACAGGGAAGGAAAGUUCCUGGAAGAUGCAAGGAAACUUCCUCUGUGGGCUCCACCUUCAAACUUUUACAACACAUUUUGAUUUUUAAAUUUUGUUUUAAUAUUUCGGCCCACUUAGUUCUUCUCAAAAUAUGUCAUCAAUAUCGUUGAAAGGUUGAACUUAGUGAAUUAUUAUAGUGCAGUACGGUAGAAUAAGCACAUGAUAUAAUUUGUCCACAUGUUAUAAUAUAAGUGAAUAUUUAUUGAUAUUAUUUCCAAAAAUAAGAAAUAUCAACAAUUAUAUCCUCCUAUAUUAUAAUACAUAUACAAAUUAUACCACAUUAUCAUACUCUAAUACCAUUUUAUAAUUUCUCGUACUUAGGAGGUAUAGAGCGAGUCAAUGACAUUACAUAAUAUAUAAUUGUUCAUAUAAUGGGGCAACUAACGUGAUCAACAAGUUGUGGUGAUUAAUUUAACAUAAUAAAAAAUAUACCAUUUACUUGAGUGAUGUAACAAUUUGUUCUUUUAAAUUGGAUUGCCAUCACUUUAAUAUGUUAUGUUUCUUAUUAUAGUCUCCCAUGUUAAGUGCUUCAGCAUUGUUUGUGGUGUGUACACAAAUUUUCUUAUAAAAUGUUUUAAUGCUUCUCACAUGUAUAUCAGAUAUAGACAGUUGAUGUGACUUAGAAAUCAAAUUGUCAAUAAAACAAAAAAAUAUAAUUGGUGAUCGAGGUCCAAUUUAAUAGAAAAUAGUCUUAACUUGCAUAUUAAAGGUCUUAUAUUCGAAUCCUCACUGCAUUAUUGUUGUAUGCGUACACAAGAAAUUCUCUUCCCCAAUAAUUUAGACUAUCACUUAUACUAAAAAUAUAUAUAUAUAAUGACUUUUACGAAUGCAAACAUAAAAUUACAUCAAACAAUAAUCACUACUACAAAAAAGCAAAAAGACGACGGUAAAUCACCGUCGUGUAUUGGGGUUUUCAAUGGUCGUGGAAUCCACCGUCAUCUUUUCCCUCAUAAACCACGACGCUAAAUAACCGUCGUUGUUAAAAUAUACAACGUCAUCAACAAAUACAAAACGACGUCUUUGUACUGCAAAAAGAUCUAAAAAAAGCAAUCGAGGAUGAUAAUAGACGACCAACUCUCUAAAAAAACCGUCGUUAAAAAGAAAAAAUAUGACACAUAUUAAGAGAACAAGGCCGCAAGAUAGACAUACAACGACGAAAAUAAAAAUACGACGACGUUAAAUAUAAUUUUCACGACAAUAAAAAAUAUGACGUCUUUAAAUACAUUAGAAGACGACGUUAUUGAUACAUACUACGUCGCAUAUAUAAAAACAACCGUCGUAAAAUUAAUUUUCCACUUCGAUUUUUCGAUAAAAGAUGACGUGGAAAUAGUUGUCAGUGUCAUUAUUUACGACGUAUGUGUUUAUAGAUUAGACGUUGAAAAACUAAACAACGUCGGUUACAAAUAUAUGAGAGUCGUAUUACAAAAUUUAUACGUCCUAUUUUCAGAAACAAACAACGACGAUAAAUAUUAGACGUUGUUAAACAAAACAACGUCGGAAAAAUAAAAACAGACGUGUUUAGUCUGCUAAAGUUCUAGAAAAUAGUCGAGGAUGAGAAUAGACAACCAACUCAAAAAAAUCACCGUCGUUAAAAAGGAAAAAUCUGACACAUAUUAAAAGAACAAGGCCGCAAGAUAUACAUACAACGACGACAACUAAAAUACUACGCCGUUAAAUAUAAUUUACACGACAAGAAAAAAUAUGACGUCUUUAAAUACAUGAGAAGACGACGUUAUUGAAAUCUACUACGUCUCUUAUUUACAAAAAACCGUCGUGAAAUAAAUUUUCCACUUCGAUUUUUCUAAAAAAGAUGACGUGGAAAUAGUUGUCAGUGUCAUUAUUUACGACGUACACAUUUAUAUAGUCGACGUUGUAUUUAUAUGUAUUCAUUACUCACGACGCACUUAAUAAUAUAGACGACGUUGAACUUCUAAACAACGUCGGUUCCAAAUAAAUGAGAGCCGUAUUACAGAACAUAUAGACGGCGUAGAUUAUGAUGAGAGCCGUAUUACAAAUAACGUCGUUUAAUUGUUAUUAGACGGCGGUUAUAAUGAAUUUCCGUCGGAAUUCAUUUCGUUCCUCUUCGUUUAUAAAAGAACUUGCGACGUGGAAAAUGUAUGAUGACGUCGUAUUUUUUAACGUUCAGAUUAUAUAUCUCGUUUUUAGACGUCGGUAUUAUGGGAUUGGAGUCGUGUUAUUUUGAAUUACAUGGCGGUUCUUAAUCCUUCACCGACGUGAUAUCCUGAAUAAUUGCUUCACAAUAGCGUCGUGGUUCUUCAUUGUUACGUUGCUUUAAGACGUCGGUAAAUAUGCUGAAUAACUGAUUCACAAUAACGUCGUGUUUUAUUUGAACGUAGAAAGUGAAGAAAUCACAUUACAAUAUAUUACAAAAUUAAUGUCAUACACUGCCAAUUACAUAAGCAUCAUUCAAUCCAUAUAUCUUCACACCCAUCUCGAAUAUUUUGACCGCCUAACUCACCCACCAGUUCAUCAAAUGUGUCAACAUUUGGCAUCCCUCUAGUAAAUGGCUCACACUCAAUUAUCACAUCACCUAAGACUUCAUCACCAAUAACAUCAUUAUAUUCUCUAUUAGGCAUUGAUAACACUACCGACCAACCACGAUGCAUCGGGUCGUCAACAAAAAAUAUUUGUUUGACUUGAGAAGCCAAAACAAAUUGGUCAUUCCUAUGUCCAAUUUUACUCAAAUCUACAAGGGUAAAUCCAAGUUCGUCGACUACAAGACCAGAACUAUCUAUCCAAUCACACCUAAAGACUGGGAUUGUAAACUUUUGGUAGUCAAGGUCCCAAAUUUCUUGAAUGACACCAUAGAAACCCAUAUUUGAGAGAAUUGGGUUUUUAUCCUUGGCACUAGCAACUUGCAUGGUAUGUGCAAGUAAAUAAACUCCACUAUUUUGAGUUGUCCGCACAUCAUCUUGUGCCUUGAUAUUGAAUUUAAUACCUUUAAUAAGAUAGCUCCUAUAUAAUGGCACUGACAUGUUUGGACCAGCUGCUAGCCACCUUAAAUUUUCUGAUACGCCAUGAUUGUCUUCCUCAAGUUCACUUUGAACCUGCAAAUUAAUCAUAUCUUAAUUCAAUCUAACAUAUAAAUAAGAAGAAAAUUAAAAGAGAAAUAUGUUAUUCAACAACAUAUACCUUGAAGCGUAGCCAUUGAAUGAAAGUGCUAUUGUGCUUAUCCUGCAGCCACUUUGUUCUCUUUCUAAAUUUUGGAUAAGCAGUCUUGAUGUGGAUCAUAUGUUGCCCACAUGACACGAAAAAUUCAAGCAUUACGAUCCUAAAUAUAGAAGAUAAACAUAAGAAAUAAUUUAAAAUGGAAACUUAAAGAAUAAAGCUCAUACGUACUCGAUAUAAGGUAGGACUUCCUCCGUAUUCUCCAAGACAUAUAGAUGUGCUUGAUUCAACAGGUCCUGAUCAACUACGCUCACUGUGCAACCUGAUAAUGGCUUUGAAAGCCCCAUCUUUUGGCUUGAAGGCACUCCAACUGUACUAACAUCAGAUAAAUGCUGAGUACAACACUCUACCGCUUCUUCAGCUAUAUACCGCUCAGCAAUGCAACCUUCGGGACGAGUACGAUUCUGAACAUACCCCUUCAGCACUUUCAUAUAUCUUUCAAACGGAUACAUCCACCGAAAAUAUACUGGCCCACAUAGACGAACUUCUCUGACAAGAUGUACUACUAGAUGAACCAUGAUAUCAAAGAAUGAAGGGGGAAAGUACUUCUCAAGCAAACACAGAGUAACUACUACAUCUUCUUCCAACUUAUCUAGCUUGGAAACAUCAACAGUCUUUGCACAUAUAGCAUUGAAGAAGAAGCACAAACGAGUUAUUGCAUACCUUGCAGGCUUCUCCAAAACAGAACGAAUUGCCACAGGGAGCAAUUGUUGCAUUAAGGUAUGACAAUCAUGUGAUUUAAGGCCAAGAAGUCUUGAAUCUUGUAAAGAUACAAGAUUUUUAAUAUUUGAAGAAUAACCUUCAGGGACCUUCAUACCAUAGAAAGAAUUGCAAACCUCUCUCUUCUCUACUCUUGACAAAUUCCAAGGCCCAGGAGGCAAACGAGUACGUCUUUCUCCAUACUCGGGUUGCAAAUCAGUUUUGACCCCCAUGUUCAAUAAAUCUAAUCGAGCAGCAAUCCCAUCUUUAUUUUUUCCAGGGAUCUCCAGCAAUGUACCAAUGAUACUAUCACAAACAUUCUUCUCAAUGUGCAUAACAUCUAGGGCAUGCCUUACAGGAAGGUAUUUCCAAUACUCGAGAUCAAAGAAUAUUGAUUUCUUCUUCCAACAAACUCUGUCACCAUUUUCAACCAUAUGCAGCACUUCUUCUCCGGUUAAUGGCUCGGGAGGUAUGCCAUAUUCAGGUUUCCCAUUAAAAGCUGCACGUUGCCUCCUAUAUGGAUGAUUGAUUGGUAACCAUUUUCUAUGCCCAAUGUAACAAAUUUUGUGGCCAUUUUUCAACCUGUGACUAGGUGUAUCAUCGCCGCAUAUUGGACAAGCUUUAUAUCCUUUAACAACACAACCAGAUAAGUUUCCAUAGGCGGGGAAAUCAUUAAUUGUCCACAUUAAUGCAGCUCUGAGUGUAAAGUAUUCUCCAUUAUGUGCAUCAUACACUCCUCUAAUCCCAUCCCACAAAGAUUUUAAAUCAUCAAUCAAAGGCUCCAAGUAGACGUCUAUAUCAUUUCCGGGUUGUUUAGGACCGAAAAUCAAUAAGGUUAACAUCAUGAACUUUCGUUUCAUGCACAGCCAUGGAGGGAGAUUAUAUGUAACUAAGAUAACCGGCCAACAACUAUAUCUGCUACUUAGAGAACUGUGGGGAUUGAAUCCAUCAGAUGAAAGAGCCAAUCUCAAGUUUCUCGGCUCAUUACCAAACUCAGGCCAUUUAUCAUCAAGAAGUUUCCAAGACGGGGAAUCCGCCGGAUGAGACAUCUGACCGUCAAUUGAUUUUCUAGGAGCAUGCCAAGUCAAACUCUUAGCUGUCUCAUGUGAUUGAAACAUCCUUUUAAACCUUGGAAUUGGAGGAAAAUACCACACCACCUUCGCUGGCACACCCUCUUUCAAGAUUGAAUCUUUGCCUUCCUUCCACCUUGAGAUACCACAAGUAGGACAAUUAGUUGAAUCCUCAUACUCCUUCCUAUACAAGAUGCAAUCAUUGGGGCAUGCGUGCAUUUUCUCAUAACUCAGCCCCAAUGCACACAAAGUCUUUUUAGCCUCAUACAUAGAGGUUGGUAUUGUAUUUCCUUAUGGAAGCAAAUCGCCUUGAAGUAUCAAUAAUUCUGUAAAACAGACAUCACUCAUCCCAUGUUUUGCCUUCAAAUUAUACAACUUCACUAAUGCCGAUAACUUCGUGUACUUUCUACAACCAGGGUACACUGGUUGAUCUCCAUCCCCAAUCACAUUGGCAAACUCAUACGGAUCGGAACCAAAAUCAUUAUCAUCCAUAUCAAUUUCUUCAGACACAAAACUGUACCUACUAUGGCCAUCAUCUUCUUCAACAUUUCUACUAGCAUUAGUAGUUGCUUCCCAAGGUUCUCCGUGAAAUGUCCAAUUCUUAUAGCUUUGGUCAAUUCCAUUAAAGUAUAAGUGAUCCCUUAUAAUUCCAACCCCAAACAACUUCAAAUUAACACAUUUAACACAUGGACAACGGAUAUGUGUUGUAGUUAGAAGAUUUUCUACAGCAAAGUUCAAAAAUGCUUCCACCCCAAACUCAUAUGCCUUCGAUCUUCUAUCCGAGUGCAUCAUUGACUUAUCCAUCUCCGACACUAUAACCUAUUAUCUAUAAUAAAGUGAAAAUACAGGCAAUGACCAUCACUAUAGCAGAUUAUACAAAGAUCUAAUAGCAAGUAAUACACAACAAAGACGACGGGUUUUAAACAAAAACAGACGUAUUUGGCAUAUAUAGACGACGGAUUUUCAACAGACGUCGUCUAAUAUAAGUAAUACAAACGACGGUUUAUGAAAAAACCGUCGUGUAUAAGUAAUACAACGACGGUUUUUUCAUAAACCGUCGUGUAAUCGUCGGCGUAUGCCUAAAAAGGCGUCGUGUCUCAGUUUAUUUUCAAGAACCCAAAACCCAUUAAGAACACAACAUAUAUAUGAAACCAAGCAAGAAAACAACAUAUACAUGAAACCAAGCAUGAAAACAAUAAAUCCAUUCCCAAUUCAACAUAACAUAGGGUGAUUAAAAGAUCCGACAAAAUUAAAUCCAUUCCCAAUUCAACAUAACAGAUAAUGUAAUCCAUGAACCCAUUAAACAGAAAAUCCAUGAACCCAUACUUAUAAGCACAUUAUUAACAGAUCGCAAAGCAUAUACCUAAAACCCUUUAACAAAACAACCUAAUAUCAUUCAAUGAAUUUACAAGGGGAAGAUAGGGUUUGUACUUACAGGUUGGACGAGCUCACAGAUUCGACGGAGCAGAAGUGAGAGAGCAACUUUUAAUUAGAGCAGAAGUGAGAGAGCGAAAUGUUAUGUUGCGCGAAAUCUGAAAAUUUUAGGGUUCAGGGUUAGAAGAAUAAGAAUAAGAGCCAAAUAUAAAAAAAUUUAGGACGCGUGAAAAUUUUUAGAGCGCGCGCUCUUUAAAACUUCGAAAGAAAAACCAUGGCGAAAGUUCUACAAGAACCGACAUAAAUGUAAUAUUCCACGACGGAAACACUGAACGUAACGCCGUUUAUUUUGACGCUUCAUUUUUCGGAUUAAUUUUAAAUUUAUUUUCAAUAUUUUGAUAUAAAGACGACUGAAAAACCACGUCGGGGUUAAGAAAUUGAAAACGUUGUAAAUUAUAAUAGACGACUUACAUAUUAAAAUGACGUCGUUUAAAGUAGAAACUAUGUCGGAUAAUUUACUGCACGACGUAACAUAUGUAUUCCACGACUCAACCACCGUCGUUAACAAUUAAUACCCUAAACCCUUAAAACUAAAUUAUAUAAUUUUAAAAAUUAACUUUAUAAAAGGGUUUAUGGUUUUACAGCCUAAUAUAUACCCUAGACUACCCAAAAAUUAUACUUUAAAAAUAAACCCCAAUAAAUAACAACCCUAAUCUCUAAACCCUAGACUCUAAACCCUAAACCAUAAAACUAGAAGUGAUUUUAUGACUCAUCAAAACAAUUUUGUUUUGGAUGUUCAUUUUAAAUUUUUGUAAUUCAAAAUGAAUUUUUUCAAGGUUUAGGGGGAAGAAAAUAUAUCAAUGACUUCAUAGGAGUUGACUUUGCAUUUUUCUGAUUUAUUUUAAAUUUAUUUUGAAUAUUUUGAUAUAAAAAUAAUAAAAUAUUCUUAUCACAACAACAAACCACGUCGGUGUUGAUAAAUUGUAGACGUUGUAAAUUGUAAUAGACGACUAAGUUGUUAAAAUGACGUCGUUUAAAUGAGAAACGAUGGCGGAUAUUUAACUAUCCGACGUAAAAUAUAUAUUCCUCGACUUAACCACUGUCGUUACAAAGUACUACCCUGAACCCUUAAGAAAUUGAAGACGUUGUAAACCAUAAACGACUCCAUUGUUCAAAGAACGUCGUCUAAAUAUCCUUUUACGCCGGAUUUGUUUAAAACGAAACCACAAAAAACGACGGCUUUUGACUUUAUUACGUCGUUGGAAAAUUAUUACACGUCGGUUACGCAUUUUGUAUGUUUGUUUUUGUUUUUACUUUAAGAAAACCUCAACAAAUUUUUACAUUAUAUAUUAUAGACAAAAUUUGUACAUUAUACAUAAAUAUCAAGUGUUCAAUAAUUCCCCUAUUCCAGUUGAAUGCAAACAAACUCUGCCCAUUCAUUCCGGACUUCAUCAAUUGCUUCUUGGGGGUAUGGCUCUUCCUGUUUUCCCUUCGCAUACUGCAUAAAAACAAUGACUAUUAGGGUUUAUAAAUAAAAGGAAAUUCAAUCACAGACGACCAUAACCGACGUAGUAUAUCUAUUCAACGACGGUAAUUUUACAUGACCGUCGUUGAUAAUACAAAAAACGACGUAAAAUGUUUGAAGGUUAUUUCUUCUUACCUUCUUCUCAAACCCCAAGGAAGGAUCCAUGAUGAUGUCCUUCAUGAAGCGCAUCACGUAAUACCCGCAUUCGACAUUGCUGGGUUGCUUUGGUGUGCCUGACAGGGUUUUCCAAAUGACUGCCUUACGGCCUGAUCUGGCUAUGUGGGAAUUAUAAAUUUUUAUGGCACUGUUCACGAUGUCUUUGGCCUCUUCAUCGACCACACGAUUUCCUGGCAGAGGAUCCAGAAAAUAGACUGUUUCCCUCUUUGCUCUUACAAUCAGCAAGAUCCAAUGACGGCUGCACAAAAUUAAUAUAAAAACGACGGUUAUUUACAAAAACGACGUAUUAUAAUAUUUCACACGACGAAAUAAAGUAGCAAUCGACGACAUUAUAUAUUUAUAACGACGAUAAAUAACUACCGACGUGGUUAGUCGUUUCAAACGACUCAAUAAAAUAAAACACCGACGUGGUUAGUUUAUACGCUGUCAUUUAUUGAAAAUCAUAAAAACAAAAUCCUGUUAAGGAGACUAACCCUGGAUUGUAAGGCAUGAGGAAAAUCUGUUCACCGUCAGUCUUCUGAAGUCGUGAUGCUACAAGCCGUGAUCUGUCAGCUAUUGUGCCAGAGCUGGCACUAACUGUAGCAGGGUCGAUAAAGCCAACCAUUGUGCACAUAUUUGCUUGUUUUAAAACAUCGUGUAAGUACCUAAAUAUAUAAAAUAAUAUAAACAAGUCAGCGCAAAAAAAACACACGACGGUUAUGUAUAACAAAACGACGUAUUAUAAGGUUUCACACGACGUACUGAAAUAGACAACGACGUUAUAAUAAAUUUAUCACGACGGUACAUACUAACGACGUGGUUAGUUAGUUAAGACGACGCAAUAAAUAAACCAACGACGUAUUAUUUUAGAAUGACAAACCUCAUAUAUACAGCAAUGACUGUAGCUCCUAUUUCCUCCAUGCCUGCAAAUUGUGUAAUAUCUUCAGGCAGGAGGAAGGUAUCGCGCUCUAGACCAAACACCUCCUUAUCAAUUGUAAAGUGCAGGGUCUUAUCUUGAGUUACGAGUGUCGUUUCCACAUAACGACAAAGGGUUUGUAAAGAAGAUGGCGCCUCCAUAUUUGAAUAAUCAACAACUUUAGUAACCUGUUUAAAGAAAUAAAAAAAUGACGUGGUAAUUCAAUAAAAACGACGGUUUAAGGAAUAAAAUGUCGUUUGAAAACAAUUUAAACGACGGUGAAAAAACCGUCGUGGUGAAUUAUUUAUUACGUCUUAGAAAACAAUUCCGCCGUCUAAGUUGUAAACAAACGACGGUUUAAAGAAAAAUAUCGACGUCUGGAAUUUUGAAAACAAAUAAAAAAGGUAAAGUUAUGUGAACAUACCUGGUCGUCAUCUUCUUUCUCCUUUUCAUCUUGUUUUUCUUCCUUAUUCUCUUCAUAUAUGACGUCGGGAAUGAUUAACUCCGUCAUCUAAAAACCACAAAGUUUUAAAAAUAACGACGUUUAAUGGCGUGUAAAACAAGUAAACUAAAUACGACGUGGUAUUGAAAUACAAACGACGGUUUAUUUUUAAAAUCGUCGUGGUAUGUAUUUCAAACGACGGUUUUAUUAAAAAUAACGACGUCUAAUGGUUUUUAAAAAAACAGAGAAUUCAAAGUUCAGAUAUGUUACCUUUUCUUCCUGAUGUUUCCCAUUUUUGGCAGUAUCAUCCUCAAAAUGCUGGGAUCUCACAUCACCUCCAGAGCAGCUUGCUUUGUCAGACAUUGGAUUUUUGGGACUUUGGCUAAUUCUGGGUUUAAGCAUGCUUGGAUCAAAAUUGGGAAUUAAUUGGGAAAGCUGACUCAGGAAAUGCUCCCUCUCAGCCUCUACCAAUUGUUUCGUUCUAGCCUCCAUUCUUAAAGCCUCUUCCCUUGCCUUAGCCUCCAUCUUUUUAGUCUCUUCUUGAAGGAGAACUCUUAAACUGUCCUUCAAACGGUCGUCAAAGCUCACUCUCUGUGGUUUGGGUAAAUUGAAAUAUUGCUUUGGUGAGAUCCCAGCACCUACUCCUCUGACUCUGCCUGGAUGCUCGGGGCCCAAAGCCAUGGUCAGCACAUCAUUGCUGCCAGAGACGGUGACUUUGCCUUCCGAGACUUGUUUUUGCAAAUCAUCCUAAAACAAAGAUAUAUAAAAAAGUAAGAACAAAAACACACGACGGUUAUUUAUAUACAAACGACGUAUUAUAUAAUUUCACACGACUCAAUAACAUAUAAAUCGACGUUAUUAUAAUUUAUCACGACGGUAGUUAUACCGACGUGGUUAGUUCUUUAAAACGACGAAAUUAAUAAACCACCAACGUCUUAUGUAACAGAGGGAUGAUUCAAUAUUCACACCUUUAACGACGUUGUUUAAAACAUUUCGACGUAGUAAUUUAAUACAGACGACGCGAAAUUGAACCACCGACAUCUUAUGCUAUAAUUACAGAAAACAGAGUUCUGAUUCCUAUUUAGACCUUUAACGACGUGUUUUAAAAAAUGUCGACGUGGUAAUAUCAUUCACACGACGCAAAAUAUAACAUAAGACGUAAUAAGAAUUAUUCACAGUUUAAUAAAAAUUUAAAACAGAGUGAGUAGGCUUACAAUUAAUUUUGCUUUCUCUGCCACCUUUGGAUCAGGGAUGUUACCAUGUUUGUCAUGUCUAGCUCUCUUCCAUAAGGUAGAUCGAUCAAUUUCUACCCCAGGCAUGGUUUCCUCUAAUUGAUCCUCCAAACCGGCAUAUCCUUUUCGAGACAAUCGAUGAUUGUACUCGAGUUUCUCCCUAAUCUGUGCAUGUUGAGAAUGCACAGACUCAAAAUCUUUGGAUAGCCUUGAAGCUACAAAGGCAUCCCAUUGUGCUUUCUCUAUGAAUUUAUAUGUUUCAGGGGGUUGGCUUAAUCUCUCCCUGUCAUUGGUGUAUGGAAGGAUAUAAUGCCUCGUUAGUGUAGACUUGAAAUCCUUCCAUUUCUUGGCAGCAGAAGCUAAGACAGAGUUCUUGCCCCCUUGACCUACUACAAAAGCAAUGUCAACUGCUUCCCAAAUCUGCUCCUUUAUAUCCUUGGGGAUUUGAGCCCAUUUCAAGUCCACAAGUGGAACUCUGGAGCGUGCCAACACACCAAUAUAGGACUGCAUCUCACUAUGAGCUUGGCCAAUUCCUUUCCCCCUUUUAUUGUACUCAACAAUUGGCCUCAGUUUCUGCAGUUUUCUCUUCACAACACGAGGCAUUGUGCUCAUACCUCGACCAGCCUUUGAAUCAUCAGAUAUUGUUGUCCCGCUGGUUGGUUCUGUAUCAGCAGAUGAUGAAGCAAACUUCAUCUUCUUCGAAGACUUCAUUAUCUUCGAAGACUUCUCUUGAGGAGGUACUUGCUCCUCACCUCCAUUUUUCUUGGAGCCAGAAUCCUUACUUUAGUCUUGUUGAGAAACCAUUUUUACAGACAAAACUGCAAGUGAAAAUAUUUCAAGAAAAGAUUAAGAACACAAACGACGGUUAUUAAUAAAAUACGACGUAUGAUAUGAUUUUAAACGACGCAAUGAAAUAAUAUCAGACGUAAUAAAUUUUUAAAACGAAGGUAAUUAAACAACGACGAAAUAAUUGACUACAAACGACGAGAUAAUUAACUAUAAACGACGGAAUAUUUAUAUAACGUCGUGGUAUUGAUGUUCACACGACGUCAGUAGUAAUAUACCGUCGUCUAUAUAAGGAUCCAAAACCCUUCUUUCUUUCUCUGUGAAUGUUUGAUUGCAGAUUUGAUUUUUCUGAACCAUGGUUUUUGUUUUCUAAUUUGAUAAAAUACAAGGCCAAGAAAGAAAGUUUUGGAAUCUUAUAUAGACGACGGUAUUUUAAUAUGACGUCGUGGUAUUAACAUUCACACGACGUAAAACAAUAAGAUACUGUCGUCUAUAUUAGAUACCAACCCUAAUUUCUUUUUCUUUAUAUUUUAUCAAAUUAGGGAAAAACAAAAACCAUUGUUCAGAAAAAUCAAACCUGCAAUUAAACAAGCAAAUAAAAAAAAGACUAAAAUUUUAAAAACAACUUUGUCAAUUUUCAGACGACGCUAGAACGACUGACGAACCGUCGUGGUCUACAUAUUUAACCACGUAAAUAAGAAGCUACCGUCGUCUUAUUUAGUUAAGGUAGUUGUCUUCAAAGUUGGAAACUUUCCCUCUUUGUCUGUAUAUUUUAUCGAACUUGGAAAGAAGUAAAAUGAUUUUGGCCAGAAAAAAGGUAAAAAGAUUUUUCAAACAAAAAACGUAUGAGCAUGCAAAACAGCAACCAAAAUAGUGAAAAUGAAAGCUUACCUUUUGUGUGCAAUGAAAGCAAGAGGAAGACGAUCGAUGUUUAAAUUCAGAGACGACGAAGAAGACGAGAGGAAGACGAUGAGAUACUCUGAAAGUGCUCUGACAAGGAAAAAAGUCUAAAAGUUUUCUCUGGGAGAUUGAAAUUUUUAAUCGGGUUUGGAAAAAGUGCAUGUGUAAGUCAGGUAGACGAAAAGUUGCUUAUAUAUAAAACCAUUUCAAAAAAAUAAUACGGCGGUUACAUAUAACUACGACGUAUAAAUUACAAAAUACGACAGUACGUUUAACUUCGGACGUGGUAAAUAAUUACGACAGUAGUGUUAUAGGUACCGUCGUAGUAAACUCAAAAUUAAAGUACAUAAGUAAUAACUCGCGUCAUGGUAGAUCAUUUAACACGUCGGUUUUAUUAAUGUACCGACGUGGAUUUAUGUAAUAUACGUCGGUAAUACCGACGUUGAUUUUACAAUUUAAACGGCGGUUUUUUUGUAAGGACCGCCGUUGGUUUUAAAAAUUUAUUCUAUAAAUUUGUUGCUUUCAUUCAUUUUCGGUUUACAUUUAGGGUUCCAAGUUCUUCCUCUCUCAGAGACACUAUCUCUCACAUCUCAAAGACAGUAAUUUGGAUGUCUUUCUCAAAGAGAAAUUGAGCUUACUCGCAUCAAAUCUAUGUCCACAAGAAGAAGCUUGUCAACUAGCCUUCUCACUUCCUUGAUCAAGCCUGAUAGGACACUUAGUGCUUCUGAAUACUCCUUGCUUUCCAUCAAAAGAGAUGCAAGCCUGGCCUCCACUCGCUGUCGAAGGAAAGUUCGCUUCUCAGGGAAAUCUGAAGAUCAGAUGUGCCUGAUCCUCUGCUUGAUUUUCUUGGCUAAGAAGAUCCGUCAGAUUUGUGAUAGCCUCUUCCUUUAUCCGUAGAGCUUCAGAAGAAGAAGAUGGGUUUCAAGAAUGCGAUAAAGAAUAGAAAUGGCUUCAGAUGGCCUCUAAAGCAUGAGCAAUCGAAUCAGUGCUUUGAACUAUACUUUGAACUAUACAAGUCAAUGCUUUGAACUAUACAAGUCCUGCAGAAAGAUAAAGGACCAAACUAUUAAAGAAACCCCAAACUAACACGACGCAAUAUUUGUUUUGCGACGUGGAAUCUUUUCAUUUAACGUCGUUAGGUUUAAUAUAACCGACGUGGAUUUGAAUUUUUAAAUUAUGAAUAGCAUUUUUUUUCCCGUGACCUUUCAGUUUAUUUUUCAAUUACAGUGCGUUAUAAAUAGAGUUUUUUUUCCGGAGGAAAUUUAAAAUGAAGGAAAUUAAUGUUCUGGAAUAUGUAAAAUUUCUUUUUUGGAUGACAGAUUUAAAUAAAAUAAGAAUAUAAAAACAACGACUGUUUUUGUAUUACUGUCGUCGUUUUUCGUCGUCUUAAGUAAGACUAAGACAACGUAAUAUAUUUGUUGAGCGACGUUGAUUUGUGUUUUAAACGUCCUUAGGUAUAAUAUAACCGUCGUUGAAAAUUGUCUCUCUGAUUGCAAAUUUGCAACGACGUUAGGUAUAAUAUUUGUAGAUACACAAACGCACACACAUCAUCAACUUCCAAAAAAUUGUCUCUCUGAUUGCAAAUCUGUGUCAUCUGUUAAGAUUAUGAUGUGGAACAAAGUUCCAUUUGGUAAGAUUUCGUAACCCUUGGGAUCUCAGAAAAAUCUGAUUAUGUCGGCGAUUUUCUAUAUAAACCGUCGUGGUUAUUUCAAUUCUUGUCAUUAAGUAGAUCUACCGACGUAGGAUAAGAAAAUCAAAGAAAAAAAUUGUUAACAAAAAUUCUUAUUAAGACGACGGUUUAAAUUAAAGGUAAGACGUAUAAAAUGAAUAAAUACGACGUUAAAUUUUAUAGUACGAUUUAAAGAUAACGUCGUAGAACUAUACCAGAAUGACGUCGAUAUAUUUAUAUUUUUCGUCGUUGUACAUUAAUUUAAUACGGCGAUAUUUUGUAUUUUAAAGUCGUGGAUUUGUUUGUAAUUAUACAGCGUCUUAUACGAAAACCUCGUCGUGUUAUUUUAUGAGUAAAAACGGCGGCUUUUAUUGAAAUCGUCGUCUUUACUUUCUACGUCGGUUGAUUCAUAACUUCUGUCGUUCUUUGUUGGCUUUGAUUUUACACUGCGGAAAUCUGUUUCAAAUAGACGUCGGUUGUUUAAUUAAGUACGUCGUUGUUUUUGAACAGCCAUUUGAAUCUCCAUUUUUUAGUUGUCUAAGGUGGUAUUACACGACGGUGUUUUUAGAACCGUCGUCUUUUUAAAAACCACGACGGUUUUCACUGAGACCGUCGUUGUUUUCUGGUCGUCUUUUUCACUUUUUGUAGUAGUGAAUGGAAUAGAAUGAUGGAAGUUAUUUUUUUUUUUUCCUACGUCUAAAGUAUACUUUAUAUAUAUAUAUAUAUAUUUAUAUUUAUUAUGGAAGUUAUAACCGUUUAAUUUUCAGUUUUUAUUUUCUAUUUAUUGUUUUAAUUUUUAUAGUUUAAUGUGUAUGGAGAUUUCAAGUAUUGGAUGUUUAUAAAGGGUCACUCCUCCUUCACAUCUGAAACAAACCACCAUCUCAUUUCUGUAUUUUCAUACUUUCAUAUAUUUUCUACUUUCCAGAUUAUUAUUUUUGGGCAACGGUUCUGUGACUUGGAGAUUUCUAUCCGAUUAUUAACAUGCUCAUAGCGGACCUUGAGCUUGCGUAUUGAGGAUAGUAUCUUGGAGCCUUGUAGACCUUUAUUACCUGCAUGUAGGGAGGCUAUAAAUGCUUUAAGUCAGCGUCUUUGACGUGCUUUUGCUUUCUUUUUUUUACUUAUUUCUUCGUUACUUUAUUUUUACUUUACUUUUAAAUCUUUAUUUUAUGUAUUAUUUAUAUUUAAAAAUUUUGAAUAAGAGUUUUACAGAAAAGGAAAAACACAAUUUCAAAUAACACAAAUUUCUCGUUUUUUGUUCUUAAAAAAGAAGAAGCAUUGAUUGGGGAGUUAUGGUAAACUCAGUUUCAAUGGUUGCGAUGAGAGGCGGUGGCGGCGAGGAGAGGACGAAGGCUUUGCUGCCGACGGGGUGGUGUGGGUGGGUGGAGACCUCGGCUGGCUGCUUGGUCCUGGGUUCUCCUUUAAUUCUCUGUUUUCUUUUUUCAUAUUUUUCUUUUUCUCUUAGAGUUAUUGAUGUUAAGUGAAUGGACAGAUGCCAAGAGAAGAUGUGAACCCAAUUAUAUACAGCUGAUUACAUAAAGUAACAAAUUAAUUAAUACUUGAGUGGAGGACAGGCUCGAGUGGAAGAAUUGAUUAAGGCUUGAGUGGAAGACAAACUUCAGUGGAGGAAAGUACAGAUAAGGAAAGCAUGCCACGUUUAACGGCUUUAUCUCAACAAAUUAGGAAUGCUGGUUUUGUUUCCUCGGUGGUUGAAAGGUGGUGCCUUGGCUCGGACAUCUCCCUAGUAAUUAAUCGAAGGUGGAAUCUUACAAGACAUUCAGCUGCUCAUUAGCUGAAUAUCUCGCUCUCUUUAAAGAGAUCGAAGCAAACUGCAAUUUGCAAUUUGUGUGAUUCAAGCAUGAAUAUCUGACAUAGUAACUAUACCAUUUGUUGGUUUGAUGAGAAAAGUUUGGUUAGCGAGGAUGAAACCAUAAAGUUCCCCAAAACACACAAAGAGCACGGACAAUUGCUAAGUUUAUCUUUGAGUUCACGCAUAUUUGCACAAAUGAGAUUACUCCAAGUAUGACUAUACCAUUUGUUGGUUUGAUGUGAAAAAUAUGGGCAACGAGGGUAAAACUAUACAAACACACACAAAGAAAGUGGACAAUUACUAAGUUUAUCUUUGCGUUAUUCAUCCGACCUAACUGUAAAAUAAAAAAGAUGAAAAUAUAUAAUGUUCACUACUUAGAUCUAUGAGCACUAAAGUCCUCCUUUUGGAAUUGCACAAAACGUCACUUUUGGUCUUUGACAAAUUUUUAAAAUAAAUGAAUUUUUUACUUAUUUGUGGACUGAAAUGCCUCAAAAAAAAUAAUGAUAAUUUGAAGAAUUUGAUAGAAAUUAAAAAAUAUCCUCAAAUUACUUGGAAUUGAAGACCACAUAGGCAAAAACACCACUUUGGACAAAGGCUGGUGAUAAUAGUCGAUAUCAUCUUUUGUCGGUCCGACCUAAAAAGAAGAAAAAGUUGAAAGCAUCUUGUUACCAUUUUUGCCAAUGUGGGUCCAGACAAUUUGAAGAAGUCCACCGACAAUUUCUCAAAAGCUAUUGUGUGAGUGUUUUGAAGCUAAACCAAUAUUAUUUUGCACAUACGACCCCACAUCCCCAUGUGAGGCUACAGAAGUGUUUCCAAAACGAAACAUGAUAUUUCAAAACAAAGCUAUGUAUAGAAUAGAGUCAUUUGUAUUUGCUUUCACAAUAACAUUUUAUUUGUGAAAGCAUUUUAUAUUUUUACAUUAUGAUGUUCUAACAAAUAAAUUGACUAUAUUUGGCCAACAGGGUUUAACCGAGUAAAAAAGUCCUUAUUUAUAAACUACUGGUUUCAUAUUUGAACUCUAUGACAUUCUCUUUACCCUUAAAGUUUAGACUAUCGCAUGUAUUAUAAAUAAAAAAAAACAAUUGGCUUAAUUUGAUAUAUUUCAUUUUAUGCUGGGUGCCGUUAUUAAGUUUUAUCCUUGUUUCUUGUUGAAAAAAAAUUGAUAAAAAAUAAGAAUUCCUAUAGCUAGCAACUUCUCCACCUUCCCUUCUUCGCAACUAGGGAUGCCAUUGCAAGGUCACCAUCUCAGAUUAAGUCCUCCUUUUAAAAUUGUGUUGUUAUUCAAAAUUGGAAUAUGCUGGUCAUUCUUGAUAUAAUCUGUUCCACAAAAAGAAAAAGAAAAAAGUUGAUAGCAUCUUUUACCACUUUGGCCACUUUUGAAGAUAUUCACCGACAAUUUCUCAAAAGCUAUUAAGCUGUACGUCCACAAUAUUAUUGCAUCCAACUUUGCAUAUACGACCCCAUCCCCAUGUGAGGCUACAAUAUUGUUAAAAAAAUAUGCUAACAUUGUCAUUCAGUAUGCUAACAUUGUCACUAUGUUUGCGAAUUGCAUAUUAUCUAGAACAUAAAGGCUUUGGUGUUUUGUAGAUCCUCAGGGAGCCAAACCCGUCUUUAUAAAAAUGGUCCUUAUGAUACUACUUUAACAACAAUAAAGUAUAAUAAACUAGGCCUUUGUAGUCACUGAACGAAUGUUUUGUCAUAUAUAUGACUAUUUAAAUGUAAUUACGGGAUUAAAACAUUAUAAUAAAUUGGAGUGAACCAUAACAUUAUAUAUGAUCCAAUCCUUUGCAUAUAUUUUUGUUCAAGACUUUGUUUUAGAAUGCUCUAUUACUAAUUUGGUACAGGUCUCUAAAAUCUAUGCCUUUAUGAGGCAACGUCUUUAUUUCUUUGGUUAUUCCAGUUUAGAAUAUUUGCACAAAUGAGAUGACUCCCAGCAUAAAGUCACAUUCAACCAAAAAGCAUGAAGUCACACACAAAAAGAAUACGGACAAUUGCUAAGUUUAUCUUGUAUCCUUAUUUUAUUGAUCCAACCCAAUUGAAAAAUUAAAAAGAUGAUAUAAUAUACUGUUCACUGCUUACAUCCAUGAGUAAAGUCCUCCAUUUGAAAUUGCGUGAUGAUAUAAAAUUGGAAUGAAAAAAGAAAAUCCUACAGCUAAAUUUGAUAUAUUUCCUUUUCAUUUUAUGCUGGGUGUUAAGUUUUCUUAUUUCUUGUUGAAAAGAAAAAUGAAAAGAAAUAAAUAAAUUCCACAGCUAGCCACUUAUCCACCUUCCCUUCUUCCCAUGUAGUGACAACAAGGGAGGCCUUCAAUCCAAAAUAAAGACAAGGGAUGCCAGAUCAGCAUCUCAGAUAAGUAUCCCAACCAAAACCAAUCAAAUAAUGACAUAUGUAUCUCUUUUUGUGUUUUGUUCUAUUUCUCUUUGAAUUAACUGCAUAGUUUCAUAAGCGUGUCCUCCUUUUGAAAUUGUGUAUUAUUCAAAAUUGGAAUUUGCUGAUCAUACUUGAUAUCAGCUAAAAAAGUUUCCAACAUCUUGUACCAUUUUUUUCCAGUGUGGGUCAUAACUUGAAGAAGCCCACCGACAAUUUCUCAAAAGCUAUUACCAUCCAACUUUGAAAAAUAAAAGUUUUCAAAAGUUACCCCAAACAACAGUCCUUGAAAGAGAGAGUUUUCCAAGGCUAAAGAUUACAAGGAUGUUAUUUACAGUCUCGACAACGACAAGCUUCAUAUUUGUUUACAAACCUGUAUUUUCAAGUUGUGCUAGCCUAGCUACUUGCAAAAAAUAUCCAGUUGGCACAUGCAUUAACGUGUGACAAGAAGUUAGUUAUAUUUGUAAAGUAAAAGAACGAAGUACAUAGCAUGUAAGUUGAUGCUAAAUAUUUGAUCAACAGAGUUAAACAUAAAACCACUGACAAUAUAACGUUGUUCACCAAAAAUUGCAUUUCGUUGAGGGUCAGUAGUGUAGGUUUCAAGAUACGAUUUAUUUUGUUAAAGAAUAUUCUGAUAUUCUAACAAUAAAAUUGGCUCAAUUUGAUAUGUUUCUCUCUCUUUUUUUGUUUCUGUUUUCCCUUUCAUUUGAUGCUUUGUUGUGCUAUUGCUAAGUUUAUCUUAGAGACCAGGGAUGCUUAGCAAGUUUCUUCACCUGCCCUUCUUCCCAUGUACUAACUAGGGAUACCAUGUCAGAAUCUUAGAUAAGAAUCCCAUGCUUUGUUGUGCUAUUGCUAAGUUUAUCUUAGAGACCAGGGAUGCUUAGCAAGUUUCUUCACCUGCCCUUCUUCCCAUGUACUAACUAGGGAUACCAUGUCAGAAUCUUAGAUAAGAAUCCCAACCCAAUCAAACUAUGACAUCUGUAAGUAUUCAAAAUUGGAAUUUGCAUUGUGAUAGUUGAGUGGAAGAAUCGAUUAAGGCUUGAGUGGAAGACAAACUUCAGUGGAGGAAAGUAAUUAAUUAGACCAUUAUUUGUUGGUUUGAUGAGAAAAGUUUGCUGGUGAUAGUCCAUAAUCUUUGUCCGACCAGAAAAUAAGAAAAGUUGUCUUGUACCAUUUCUGCCAGUGUGGGUCCCACCCACCCCAUGCGAGUAAUUUGAAGAAGUCCACCGACAAUUUCCCAAAAGCUUUGGCGUCCAACUUUGCCGACCCCAUCCCCAUGUGAGGCCAUAGAAAAGUUUUCAGCCACAAUCAAAUAAGGAACAGUCCUUGAAAAGAGAGGGUUUUCCAAGGCCAAGAUUACAAGUUCAUGUUAUUUACAGUCUCAAAAAGCUUCCAUACUUGUUUACAAACCUGUAUUUUCAAGUUGUGCUAGCCUAGCUAUUUGCAAAUCUUGGAAUAUUUUACUUCAUCCAAAUCCCUUGAAGUCUGCAGAGAAGAUAAAAGACAUGGCUUUGAUUGGAGAGGCUCUUAUCUCUGCUUCCGUCCAGGUGUUGUGCGACAGAAUUACUUCACCCGAGUUCGUUGACUUAUUUCGGCACAAGAAACUCGAUGAGCCACUCCUCAGGAAGCUGAGGACGACACUGUUGGCCUUGAACUUGGUGCUCAAUGAUGCAGAGGAGAAGCAACUUGUGAACCGAGAUGUGAAAAAGUGGCUUGACGAGCUCAAACAUGCUGUCUUUGAUGCGGAGGACUUACUGGAUGAGAUUGACACUGAAGCUUUGAGAUGCAAGCUGGAAGAAGGUGAAGAUCAAACUCACAAAUUUACCAAUAAGGUGCGGAACUUGCUCUUUUCUUCUCGUAGUCAUUUUUAUCAGAGCAUGAAUGAUAAGAUAAAAGAGUUACUAGCAAGGUUAGAAAACUUUGUACAACUGAAAAGUGCUCUUGGUCUGGGAGAAGUUGCUGGGAGGAAGGUUUCGCAAAGAACUCAAACAACCUCCUUGGUUCUUGAACCUUAUGUAUAUGGUAGAGAUGAAGUCAAAGAAAAGUUAUCAAAAGUUUUGCUAUCUGAUGAAGCAGGCAAGGAUCCUGUGUCUUUCCUCACCAUUGUUGGAAUGGGUGGGGUUGGCAAGACAACCCUUGCUCGAAUGCUUUACAAUGACGAUAAGGUGAAAGGGCAUUUUAAACUUAAAGCUUGGGCUUGUGUUUCAGACUACGAUGAUUAUAUUAAAAUUACUAAAACUCUCCUUGAGGCAGUCACUUCAAAGCCUUGUAACACGGCAAAUCUGAAUUUGCUUCAAGAAGAUCUAAGAGAGCAAUUGAAGGGAAGGAAAUUUUUAUUUGUGUUGGAUGACCUAUGGAAUGAGAAUAAUGAGGAUUUGAACUACCUUAGAGCUCUUUUUAUUACUUUAGGAACAAUGGGAAGUAAAGUCAUUGUAACAACACGGAGCAAAAAUGCAGCAUCUGUCAUGCAAAAUGUUCAUAUUCAAUACUUAGAACCAUUGUCGCAGGAGGACUGCUGGUUAUUACUUGCAAAACAUGCAUUUGGAAAUGUAAAGUGUAGUGCACAUUCAAACUUGGAAGAUAUUGGAAACCAAAUUGCACGCAAGUGCAAAGGGUUGCCUUUAGCUGCACAAACACUUGGGAGUUUGUUACGUUGCAAUAUGAAUUUCGAGUACUGGAAUAGAAUACUAAAUGAUAGUUUUUGGGACCACCCCUAUGAUAAAACUAACAUUCUUCCGGCUCUAGGGUUGAGUUACCAUUAUCUUCCUACUCAGUUGAAACGAUGCUUUGCUUAUUGUUCAAUUUUUCCAAAGGAUUAUGAGUUUGAAAAGGAAGAUAUAGUUCAAUUAUGGAUUGCAGAAGGUAUAAUUCCACAAGCUGAGAAUGGAAAUAGGAUGGAAGCAUUGGCUAGAAUAUACUUUGAUGAGCUGUUAUCACGAUCGUUGUUUCAAAAGUCAAGUAAAUUCAGCUUCAUUAUGCAUGAUCUCAUUAAUGACUUGGCUAUGUUCAUGUCUCAGGGGUUUUGCCUUAGGCUCGAAUAUGGGGUAUCCCAUGAAGUUAAAAGAGCUCGUCAUUUGUCAUAUGCUAGGGGAGCAUUUGAUGCUGCUCCAAGAUUUGAACCAUUAUAUGAGGCUAAAUGUUUGCGGACCUUCCUACCUACCUCUUUAAAUCCAUAUAGAUUUUAUGAAAGAUUUUUUGUAAGUAAAAAAGUUCUACAAGAUUUGUUGCCAUCACUAAGAUGUUUACGGGUGUUAUCAUUGUCACGUUAUCAAAAUGUUACUGUGUUACCUGAUUCUAUUGCAAACCUCAUUCACUUGCACUACUUGGAUCUUUCCCAUACCGCAAUUAAAAGGUUACCUGGGGUACUUUGCAAUCUCUUCAACUUGCAGACAUUACUAUUGUCAAAUUGUUCCUCACUCCAUGAAUUGCCUGCAGACAUUAGAAAAUUGAUUAAUUUACAGAAAUUGACAUUGGGCGGUUGUAGUUCUCUUAAUAAAUUGCCUGCAGGCAUGAAGGAGUUGACUAAUUUGCAUCAUCUUGAUGUCAGUGGAACUGAAAUAGUAGAGAUGCCGGUGCAAAUGGGUAGACUGAAAAAUUUGAGAACAUUGACUGCAUUUGUUGUGGGCAAAUCUACUGGGUCAGGCAUAAGAGAACUGAGCGAGUUCCCGCAACUUCAAGGAAAACUAUCAAUUUUGAAGCUACAAAAUGUAGUUGAUGCGAGGGAUGCACUGCACGCCAAUAUGAAGCUCAAGACAGAUCUCAAGGAGUUAGAGUUUUCAUGGGGUGCGCAGGAUGCUGAUGAUUCCCAAAAGGAGAAAGAUGUACUUGACAAGCUCCAGCCUUGCGUGAAUUUGGAGAAAUUAACCAUUGGAUUCUAUGGUGGAACCAAUUUUCCGAAUUGGUUAGGAGACUCGUCUUUUUCUAACAUACAAGUCAUGCAUCUCAGUGACUGUAGUUAUUGUUGGUCGCUCCCACCAGUUGGACGGCUGUCGGCACUCAAAGAGCUCUGUAUAAAAAGAAUGAAGUCUUUGAGGACGAUUGGCGUUGAAUUCUAUGGCAGAGAUGGAGCUUAUCUGACUCAGCCAUUUCGAUCUCUGGAGAAGCUAGAGUUUAUAGAGAUGCCGGAGUGGGAGGAAUGGGUACCAAGUGGAAGUGCAAGUGGUAGUGAAUAUGGUCCAGACUUUCCUCAUCUCCAGGAGCUGAUUCUAAACGAGUGUCCGAAGCUAAGAGGAAGUUUGCCUUGUGAGUUGCCUUGCUUGAAGAAGCUUACGGUGUAUGGGUGUAAGGUUUUACAUGAUGGAAGGGCCGCUACCGCAACUACCAAUAGUCUUAACUAUAAAUCUCUGGAAGAAUUGGAUAUAAGGGGUGGAUGCCAAACUCUGUUAUCAUUAUUAGAGACAAAGCUCCUGUCCCGACUUAAGAUUGAAAAUGUUGACGUACAGUGCUUGCCCAACUGCAAUCGUCUUCAACGUUUGACUCUUUUGAAUUGUCCAACGCUGUCGUCAUUCCCUAAAGAUGGCCUACCCACUACAUUGACAUCACUUACUAUACUCAAUUGUAGGAGAUUAGAAUUCCUACCUCAUGAGAUGUUGGCCAAAUUAACAUCGCUUGACUAUUUGGGCAUACAAAGUAGCUGUGAUUCAAUGAGGUCCUUACCGUUGGGCAUUUUUCCCAAAUUGACGACGCUUCAAAUUCUUGGUUGUGAGAAUCUGGAAUCUUUUUCCUUGAUUGAAGAAGAAGGAGCUGUUGAGAAUCUCAGCCAUCUCAAUUCCUUGCAAGUCAUUAACUGUCCAAAAAUGGUGUGUUUUCACGAGGGAGAAUUGCCCUUUCCCAACCUGAGUCACUUUGUAGUCAUUGACUGCGAGAAUUUGAAGUCAUUGCCCGAACGCCUUCACACCCUCACUGCCCUUCGAUCUUUGAAUAUAUGGAAUCUUCCGAAUCUGGAGUCAUUUGCAGAAGAUGGGGGUUUGCCUCCCAACCUCCGAUCUUUUAUCAUUAGGAAUUGUAAGAGACUGAGGGCACUUGACUCAGUGGGUUUGCAAGCACUUGUCUACCUUCAGAUCGAUGGAAGUGACCAUGUCUUGGAGACGUUGCUGCUCCCUACCACUCUUCACACUCUCUGCAUCUCUGAUCUAUCAACUCUGAAAUCUUUGGACGGAAAGGGUCUUGGACACCUCACUUCUCUUCAAACUCUAAAAAUUUACAGCUGUCCAAGUCUUCAAUGCCUGCCAGAAGAGGGUUUGCCGCCAUCUCUUUCUCAUCUGAGUAUCCGCUGUUGUCCUACCCUGGAGGAAAGGUAUAAGAAUAAAACGGGACAAGAUUGGGCAAAGAUAUCUCACAUUCCUUGCAUCGAGAUAGGGGAAGAAGUGAUCAUAUAAUAUGAGCUAUUCCAUAUUUCACGCUCAACCCUCAACUCUCAAAUCAAAGUCAGGUGAGGUAUGUGCCUUCUCUUACUUUAAAAAACUGCUUCUCUUCUUCUAAUUGAAUACAAAAACCAAAACACAUAUUCUCUUUCUCUUCCAAAAACCCAAAUACAUGUUGGACAUAGCCCAACGCUGUACUUUCAUAGGUACUGCAUGUAUAUUAUCUUAGUAUCAACAGGUGGUCUUAUGUGGACGAGAGAGAACAUUGAGGAAUUACAAAAUCUUCUUAGUGAAUUAAGCUUGCUUCAGCUCUGUUUGUCAUCCCUCUCAUUUUCUUUGUUAAGCCUUGGUUUUUUAUUAGGAGAUGAAUGCUUUUAUAUAUUGAUGUCGUAGUCAGUCUUCAACCACACUCCGUUUUUAGAAUUCGUUUAUGUUACUAGUGGAGUGCUGCUGUAUUUUAUAUUUCGUUCCUGUAAUGUUUGAUGUUUAGUUUGAGUAGUCUAGCUUAUCCAGUAGAUAACUCGUCCCCUGUUUUGUAAUGUUUUUGUUUCCUCUAAUGAAAGCAGGUUUUACUUAUCUUAAACUUUUAUUUUUAUUUUUAAAUAUCAGUAAUAACUGGGAAAGCUUGCAUCUCCUUAAAUUGCUCAUUCUUACAUCUUUUAUAGUUUGUCGAUCUUGGGCAAGUGGAGAGAGAGGCGUCAAGUGAUACACAACAACCAUUUUCUGUGAGCUAAUUUGAUAAUGAUAAAUGGUAUGCUUUCUUGUCUUAAGCUGUGUGUUCUGCAAUUAUUUAAAACAAAGAGUGCCGCGCUUCAAGUUCGAGGAAAACAGGUAUUUUAGGUUAGCUGUAUAAUUCGUGGUAAAUGCCUUUUUCUAAGGUUCAUUUAGACUCCUAUUACGAUUAAUUUGUUGUUUCUAAUUUGGACUUGUAGGAACAGACCAAAUAUGUUCACACGUGGCAUCGCUCAAGUCAUCAUCAUUUCCGACAGAAAAUCAGCCUUCAAGUGUCUGCUGAGUCAAUGAACCUUUCUAGAUAUAUCAAGUGCAAUGGAAAUUCAUGAGUUACAUAGAGAUUUGUAAACAUUUUGAAGAUUGCAACACCUGCAAGUGAGAUAGGUGGUGACGAAAUCAGAGCUGAUCUUGAAGCCUCUGAUGCCCCGGUUGUUGCAAGUUGCACCUGAGAACAUGUUUUUUUGGGGUAAAAAACUGGCAACAUGUUCGGAGCUGGCAAUUCAGUCAGUGAUGAAGUUGAGAAGCAAAGCUCCAGUAAGGAAAUUGGUCGAGGUCGCCACAGGGAUGAUUGAUGGUGAAAUGGAUGCUAUUUCUUAUUGCAGCCUGUUCUCAAAGUUCUUGUUGGCAAAUGCAAGAAAUGGAGUAUUUUGAUUGGAAGGAGAGAUAAUGACAUGUCUUGACAAUUCUAGAACAGCCCAUCUGAGUUCUUUUGUCAGGCUGCAUCAUUCAAUCCCGGCAAAUAUCCAGUUUCUGCUAAACAAUCACUUAUGGCAAGGCCAACUCUGGUAAACAAUUACAUUUUUUCUUUUGAGGAAUUUCACUUUGUCAUCAAACAGUAUUCUAAUGCAUUAUGGUAGCACUACACGCUUUUGUUGUAACAAAUUACAAUGAGGAAUUUGGAUUGAGGAAUUUGGAUUGAGUUUCUUUUAUGCUUUGUUUAGAUUAAAAAUAUCAGUUUCCUGUGUUAAUAACAUUACAGUUUUAUGGAAUGGUUUAUCUUGUUUUUCUGGACAAAAAUAUUUAGAGAAAUUUUCAGUAUAGCUUGUCCUUUAGAUUAAUUUCUCCUGUAGGGUGUUAAAGUUUGAUCUUUUUUUUUGUUUUUUGUUUUUUGUUUUUUGUUUUUGUUUUUUUUUGGUAAAUAAGUUUGAUCUAUUUAAAUUGAAUAGGGUGUGCAUGAGACAUUUUUCUUGGAAUAAUUUUUUAAUUGCAGUGGCAAAAAAAGGAAAAUAGUAGUCUUCAAAACGAAUCUUAAAUCCAGUUUCCUCUUCUUGGUCGUCACUCUUAGAAAUUGCUAACCAUAUAUAGCCUGGAGUAAGCACUGCACAAAACGGCAUACCAUCACAAAUCCUAAUUCCAUACAAUCUGUUGAAGGAAAAUGUGAUCCUCCUAAUAUAAUUUCACCACCACUAAUUAAAUAACGGGGUUUUAUUAUUUUAGGUUCGACCCAUUCGAGACGCAAGUCUCUUAAUUACAAUCCCUUGCUUCAAGGGAACACCCUUUGAUUCCAUCAUAAAGAAACAGAACGUUUGUGUUUGAUUUUGCAACUGCUCCCAAGUCCAACCUCAGGAUGCCUACGUAUCCCUUGCGGGAAUCAAGCCACUCGUAGUUCAAAGAAUCGCAAUGAAUAAAUGACUCAUUGCGAGGGAAAUUUGAUUUGAAUUGUACUGAGAAGUGUUUGAGUGAAUUUAGCUGAAUAAACCAGGGAUUCGAUAUGGGAUUGCAUUUGGGAUGGUUGCAUCUAGAUUGAAUCUCUAGAUUGCCUACGUACCCUUUCAAAGGGAUCAAACCAACGUAGUUCGGAAUUUGGAAAUCAACGGGCAAGUGUGGCCCACUAAUUGAGAAUUUCUGUUUAAGAGACUUGGAUUUAAUCUCAUUAGAGUUUUCAUGGGUAGAUGACCCAUGGAAAAUUGGAUGGUUUUGUACCACUUUCGUUGUUGUCCAUGUCCAAGAAAAAUAAUGAGUAAUUUUAAUUAUCCCAUUAAUUUUUCCUAAACAUUGACAAUUGCGUUUGGGGAUUUCCAUAGGUAGAUGACCUAUGGGAAAAUUUGGAAAUUAAUGGAUAAGUGUGGCCCACUAAUUAAGAAUUUGUAUUUGAGAGAUUUAGAAUUAAUCUCAAUGAAAUUUUGCAUGGGUAGAUGACCCAUGGGAAAUAUUAGAAAUUAAUGGGUAAGUGUAGCCCACUAAUUGAGAACUUGAAUUUGAGAGAUUUGAAUUUAAUCUCAAUGAAAUUUGUAUGGGUAGAUGACCCAUGAAAAAUUGAAUGGUUUUGUACCAUUUUUCUGGUUGUCAAUGUCCAAGAAAAAUAAUGAGUAAUUUUGAUUAUCCCAUUAAUUUUCCCUAAAAAAUUGACAAUUGCACUUGGGAAAGUGUUUUUUUUUGGCGAAAUCUGGUUAAGAUAAGCCAGAGAUUUAUACUUGAUUGCGGUUGCGUCUAUUGGGAUGUUAGACUGCCUACGUACCCUUGACGGGAUCAAACCGACGUAGUUCCAAAUUUAGGAAGUUAAUGGGUAACUGUGGCCCACUAAUUGAGAAUUUGUGUCUUUGGGACAAUUUGGAGAUUUUCAUAGGUAGAUGACCUAUGGAAAAAAUUGGAAAUUAACGGGUAAGUGUAGCCCACUAAUUAAGAAUUUGUGUUUGAGAUAUUUGAAUUUAAUCUCAUUUGGAAUUUGCAUGGGUAGAUGACCCAUGGAGAAAAUUGGAUGGUUUUAUACCAUUUUUCUUUUUGUCAAUGUCCAAGGAAAAUAAUGAGCAAUUUUGAUGAACCCACUAAUUCUCUACAAUUGACAUUUGCAUUUGUAUCCAUGCAUGAUUUGGAGGAUUUGAGAUUAAUGGGCUUUUUUGAUCAACAAAACCCAUUAAUCCAUAUUGAUGCUCCUUUAAAAUCUUUUGGGAGUUGAGCUUAAUGCUCCGCGUGUGACAAAUAAUUUAUUUGGACUGGAGUCACCGUCACAGCAUGGUUGAGUCACUUGGCACUCUUUUCUGAAUCGCUUCUUUGCCACAAUGGUUGAUUCCCACAUUUCUUAGUGUGGCUUUUGAAGUGGUUUUGUACCCCUUGACAUCUGGUGUGGUUUUGUACUACUUGAGUCUUCACUUGACGUUGAGUCUUCACUUGACGAUUUGAGAAUUAAUGGGCAUUUUUGGAAUUUAAGCCCAUAAUCCAUCAUUUGCGGACUUCAGGAAUUGGAGACUCAAAGGAAAUCUCAAACAAAGUGGCUGACGCCAUUUGACUUUUCUUCCCUUAUUUCGGUGCGAGUCUUCCUCUUCGUUUAUUUGUUGUUGCCAUGUGCAGCACCAAGCCAAUCCCUCUUUCGUCUUUCUUUGGUUUUGACUUGUUUUUUUUUUCUUUGUUUUUGGUUUGCUGCACAACACCAAGCUGCCAACAAGACGUGGCUAUCCUUUUUUCUUCAUUUUGUUUGUUUGUUGUUGCUAUGUGCAACAACACCAAGUUGCCAAAACGUGGCUGUCUUCAAUAACUUUUUUUUUUUUAGUUCACGUGUCUGUAUGGCAACAUCAGUGGUUUGAACAAGUUGGUUGUCUUGAGCCUUUCCUCCACCCCAUAUGACGAGCAGCAUUUCUUGACUUCCACAAGUCUGCAAAGGGAACUAGCCUUUUUCUUGAUGGUGGAUCAUUGUUAUCACAAAAAAAAUGAUAUUUGUGUGCCUUAUCCAGCUGGUUCUUUUCGGCUUGGUGCCAAAAGUAAAUGUCUUUUAAUUUGAUCAAGACACCCAAGGGAUAGAAAUUCUUCUCCAAGUGAAGUAUGGAUUAAACUCCUUAUUGAUUUGGAGCUGGUGGAUCAUCCAGUGAAGUAAACUUCUUGUCCACAUAGGAUUGGGUUGUCUUCCUUAUAAAAAGGAAAACAUGUGUGCACCAGCAAACAGCCACAAAACGAAAGUCUUAACAUUAUUCUUCGUUUGCUUCUCCAGACCAGCCCAUAGCUUUGCUCAAGCCACCUGUUGCACCAUCAAACAGAAGAGGAUUUCACGUGGUAACCCACAUGCCAUUCCUUAGUUCUUCUCUUUUAUUUUAUUUAUUGAUUGAACUAACUAGGAUUUUUUUGGCAUGGGCAGCAAUAGCUGUAGCAAUUGAAGAGCCUCCAAUUAAUUGGAUGCUUCCAGGCUGACUUGGAACCAAAAGAGACAAUUUCUCUUAUUGUCCUUUGUGUGCUGUAACCUUCCCAAGGUCAAUAACCCAAGACAAAGGGAAAGAGAAAUCAUCUUGCGUUUCACGUGGUAACCCACCCCUUGACAAAUGUCUUUUUUCUUUUGUCUGUUUCCAUGUUUCUGACCUCUUGUCUUCUCUUUUGUAUGUAGAGGCUGUGCUGCCAGCUUGAAGGCUUUGGAGUUUGGUGGAGGAAACCAUCUGUCAUUUUGCUUCAGAAACCCAAGAAAGAACUUGUGGUACUUGCUUUGCCAGCUCCUCUUUUUUUUUGUUUGCUAUUGCUGUACUUUUACCACUGCUCAUAUCCAUUUCUUUUACUCAAUUUCCAGUCAAAGAAACAUUCAAGAGGGGGAGGAGGGGCUGUGCGAUACAGCCCCCCUUUUUUUUUUAUUCCAUCACCUUUUUUUAUGUCCCUUGUUUUGUCUCUUUGCAUACAAAACACAAGAACAAAGUCAGCCACCAUUUUUUUACUCCAUUAUUUCUUCUUCCUUACUCCUUUUUUUCAAUCAAAGCAGACCAAUGGAACUAAUCUUUUUACCUUGAAAUGGCUCUUUCCUUUCUCAAGGCUGCUUGCUAAUUUUUCUUCUUGCUAUGACUGUUCUCCUUUCUGCUCUUUUUCUGUCCUCCUGCUGUUCUCCUCCCUUUCUUCCUUCUUUUUUUUUUCUCCUGCUGUUCUCCUCCCUGCGUUUUUUCUUUUUUUUUUUUUGUCCUCCCCUCGUGUCAUGCCUCUUAUAGAGGCUAUCUUAUGAUGAGUUUUAAUUCCAGCUGAUGACCACUUCUCAACUGAGAUACUUAUCUCUUGUUGUUUCAAAACCACUGAAAUACAUCUAUUUUAUUUUUAACUGUUUUUCUUGAUAAGAUUGCAGGGACAAAACAAAUUCAAUCCUAAACCAAGUCAAACUCUUGGCUAAUUAUUUUUUGUGAAAAUUUUCCGUUCAACAGAUGCCUUCUCAAGCGUUGUGCAUGAAAUGACUUUUUAUGUGCAACGCUUGAUAGCUUUUCCUUUGAACUGCGCAUCCCCUGACUUUUCUUGUAUUAAUUAAUUUUUUUUUUGGUUGAAAAAUUCAGGAAAUGGACGCGCAAGGUCGAUUCGGGUUUGAGCGAGUCUUUGAUUCGCAUGGUAGGGAAUUUGUCUCUGGCCCCCAAUAUGCGAGAUCACUGCCUUUGAGAUCUGUGAAGCUUAAUGUACCCCCUGAAGGCCGUGCAACCUGGUAUACCACCGCCUCCGUAAAUUCGGGGUAUCUUGAAUUCAAACCCCACGCAGAAGAUAAGGUGAUUUCAGUAUGCCAAACGCAUCGUGCUGUGUUUACCGCCCAUUGUUUGGAGGAUGUGAAUAAUGAAGUGGAUGGAGACAUGAAAUUCCAAAUCAAAGAUCUUCCCACACGUGAUGAUUUUUACCCCGCUUUGCAUAGAAUGAUCAAGAGUAAGUUGGAGUGGGGGCCCCAGUAUCAGUUCUAUGGCCGAGCCACUUUUGAAAUUGGCGUUGCGGAGUGGACAAAAUGCGUUAUGAGUGACUUUGGAGACAUAUUGCAUAAGGCAAAAAUAUAUUGUGCCGUAGCAAUUUCCCGAUAUCCUUACGAGUGUUGCCCAAAUAUAUGGAGAGCAUUUUGUGAAUUAUGGGGGCCCUUGUGCAACACCUUUCAUCAUGGCAAUGGUGAGAUGGGGAUUUCUCUCUAUGACAUGAAAGUCAUUUGUGGGUUGCCAAUCUUGGGAGAUGUCCAGUAUGAGGAAUUUAUUCCCCAAAAUAAAGACUUGCAACAAAAUGGAGCAUAUCCUCCGACUAUCACUGAACUUUUGAAGAUCCACUCCCAAUUAUGUAUUUAUCAUAAUCAGUCUACCGUCAGCUGGGCCCAAUGGAUUGGGCACUUUUAUCGGGCGAAGAUUAUUUAUAAGGCCUUUGGGAAUGGCAAGAGGAAACCUCAAGAUCAACUUUUAAGGGCUCCCGAAAUCACUUUACGUAUUUCAAAGGAAGGGGGGUUGGCUGCAUUCUUGGCACUUUGGUUGAGUAGAUUUGUGUUACCUUCCGUGGAUCGCAACGUCAGACCUGAAACUUUUCAUAUGGCAUGUUUGAUGGCACAAGGGGUCAGAGUUUCACUUGCACCACCUGUUUUGGGGUAUAUUUACCAUGGUCUUGGAGAAAUUGCCACUCACCCAGAAGGUCCCAGCUUGUCAAGUGCUUCCUUCCCAAUUCAUUAUGUUAUCGGUUGGUUAGGCGAACAUAUUCCAGGAUUGUACCUACCACAAACUGACAAGGAAUUUGUCAAAGACUACCCUUUUUUGGUGAGGUACGCGGGUGUUAAGCCAAAAGGUUUUAGGCUUAAUCAUGCCAGAAUUAUAUUCCGUAGUGACAAAGAAUUAAUCUAUCGCCCAACCACGUUUACUGAAGAUGAAGGCCGUUCCUUUGUUGACAAGAAGGCUCUAUCAGACAGAAAAUUUGAAUUUCUAGUUUGCACACGUUAUGCGCUUUUGCCGGUGAGGGUGAACAACAAUCUUUGGUUGGAACCAUACUACCCGAAUAGAUUCGCGCGUCAAUUUGGUUUUGACCAAGGUGUCCCUUCGAACAAGCUUUCCUUUAGCGUUCGUGACAGGUGCAAGUGUGGCAUGGAGGAUUUGGCCAUAGCACAAAUCACUUUACUUAGAAGAGAUACCACAGCUGGAUUUUAUAUCCCACGCUAUACUCGUGUUGGAGUUUGCACUUGGUGGUAUUGCAAAUGGUGGAUGGGGUCAUCAGCACCAUAUAUGGGAUUAUCUGUAGCUAGAAUUUUCUUGCCUUCUAGAAAACACCUCGAAAGGCACGAUAAUAUUUUUAUUGUUAGGCCGGAGAAUCAAGGCCCCACAAGUUGUCAAAAAGAGGUCUCCAACAAACGUCAUUCUUCGCGUAGUGACAACAACAAGAGUCCAAAACGAAUUCGAAGCCAGAAUCUUGACCAUCCAGUUGAUGAGGGAGUCAGUUCCUCCCAUGCCGAUGCUGCUACUCUUAUCAGAGACUUGGUUUUCCCCAUGAAUGACGGGCCAUCCGAACAAGGUAGUACCACGAACUUCCCAAGUGAAGCAGAUGAUGCUCAAGAAGUGAGCAAUGAACUGAAUGCUACAGUCGUUGCUCCUGAUGUGAGUAAUGAUCCAAAUGAGACAGACGAUAUUGUUGAAGAUGACUGCCCCUUGCCAUUGGUAGAAUACUUGCCCUCCUCACCUUAUGUGAAGAAUUUCAUUCACCGCAUUCUUGGUCCAAGUGUGGCUCCACGUAGGCGAAGGUUCAUUGCUGAGGAAAUGCAAGACAUCUUUGAUAGAAUUUCUUCUUCCAAAUCACCUAUAGACCUACUAGCUCACCGUGAUCAUAUUUUGGGGGCACUUGGUCUCUUGCGACCUAUGAUUAAUACCCUUGAAUCAGGCCAGGAUGAGUUUCAGGAAUUUGAAACGACUAUCCAACACAUUUUCGAGUUGGUCACUUCAUUUUCCAAGAACGUUGCCUUUGUGGGAGAACAUGCCCAUCUAGAUGUUGACCGCAUCAAUGCUUUGAUCACCCAAUAUGAGCAGUGCUUCGCUGCCAUAAAAACCAUGAGCGUGCAUCUAAUAGAACUUAAUAGUGAGCUUGCUGAUGUGAAUGCCACAGUGGUUGAUGUUGAAAAGGCAGAGAAGGAAGCUGAAGAGGCAGCAAGACGAGCUCAUGAAAUGCGACAACAGUUUGAAUCGAAGACAAGUGCCCUUAAAGAACGUGCAAACGAUUUGCAGCAAUCUUUAGACCAACAAUUCGAAAAGGAAAUUGGGCUUCGACAAGCUAGAAUUGAUGCCAAUGAAGCAAUGCUCCCAAAACUCAUAGAGGCACGGAACUUAGGCUUCACGCAAGAGAAAGAAAUUCGCCAGUUAGUUAGCUCAUUGAUUUCCCUUUGCAGUAGAGUGGAGUAGACUCCUUUUUCCAUUUUCUUUUCUUCUUCUUUUUUCCUUACCUCUUAGUUAUUGUAAACUCAUUCGUCCACCUUAACUAGUAUUGAAUGAAAAUUUUUUUAUUUUUUUAUUUUUUUAUUUUUUUAUUUUUUUAUUUUUUGUAUACAUACUCAUGCUAAUUUUUUGAGCACUUACAUCAUUUAGCAAAUUUGCCGCAUACAAAACUUGACUGGAUGAUAGGGUUUUUUUGGUGGUUUACGACUGCACUCAGCUUUUUUUACUUUUAAAAAAAAAGCUAAGUUGCCUACGUACCCUAUAAAGGGAUCAAGCCAUACGUAGUUCACCCCUUGAUUCUCAGGGGAAGAAAGGGACAAAUGGAUUUUGUGGCCGCAUCUAGUGGCAAGACUAGACUGCCUACGUACCCCUUUUGAGGGAUCAAGCCGCCGUAGUUCCUUUCCUUGGACUGCCCUCUCGGGUUUUCAGCCCACGAAGGUUUUUUUUUUUUUUUUUUUUUUUAGCUCUAACUUUUGCUUGGACCGCCCUUUUGGGUUUUCAGUCCAACGAGCCUUUUUUUUUUUUUUCUCCAUCAGGCAUAAAACUUCUUGACGAAUUUCCCAUUCACACAAGGGUAUACGCACUUGCCUUCGGCGUUUGACAACUCAUAGGCACCCCUGGAGAAAACCUUAGUAAUGACGUAGGGCCCCUCCCACUUGGGUUCAAACUUACCGUGCAUUUUCCUGGUAAUGACAAAUGGUCUUCGGACAGUUAAAACUAAAUCUCCAAUUGAGAAAGAUCUGAACUUAACUUUUCUAUUGAAUGCCCCUGCAACCUGAGCUUGAUAUAUUUCGAGCUUUUGUUGAGCUGCCAGUCUUUUCUCAUCGAGGGCUUCCAGCUCUGCCAGUCUCACAUAUGCGUUUUCGUCAGGUGUACAUCCUUAACGAUGGCAAUUGGACUUCUAACGGUAGAACAGCCUCGGAGCCAAACACCAAAUUGUAGGGUGUACAUCCUGUUGAAUUGCGUAUGGUCGUCCUAUAAGCCCAUAAUGCUUCAGGGAGGCGCUCAUGCCAGUCUCUUUUAUUUCCUGAGACCGCCUUCUUUAGGAUGUUGCACAGUACCUUAUUGAAAGCUUCAGCUUGACCGUUUGACGACGGAUUGUAACUCGCGGAAAACGAGUGUUGAAAUCUAUACUUCUCGCACAACUUGGUCAUGGACUUGCACUUGAAAUAUAAUGCAUUGUCGGAUAUUAUCUUCGAUGGAACCCCAUAACGGUAGAUGAUAUGAUUUCUUAUGAAGUUUGUGACAUCGUCUGCUCGUACCUCCUUUAAAGGAAUCGCUUCAGCCCAUUUAGAGAAGUAAUCGGUCGCGGCCAAGAUGUACUGAUGUUGACGUGAUGACUUAGGCUUUAUCAUGCCAAUAACAUCUAAUCCCCAAGCUUCAAAUGGCCAAGACAAAGUAGUCGGAUGUAAUUGUUGGGGUGGCUGGUGAAUAAAGUCUCCAUGUAACUGGCAAUCUUUGCAUGUGGUUGCAAAUUUUAUUGAGUCUUGGACCAUUGUUGGCCAGUAAUAACCCAAUCUCUUCAGUUGGUUUGAGAGUUUUGGACCAGCUUGAUGAGCACCGCAAGUGCCAGCAUGAGUAUCAUGAAAGGCCUUAGUUGAGUCUUGUUUCGACAGACACCUUAACAACAUACCAUCAAAUGAUCUUUUGUACAAGGUGUCAUUUAGGUACAGAAAUUGAGUGGCUCUGCGUCGGACUUCAGCCUUUUUCCUUGAGUCAUUUGGCAACUUGCCUUGUCGGAGAUACUCGAUUAUGGGAUGGCGCCAAUCAAGAUCAUCUGGUUCCCCCUCACAUUCGGAAGCCGUAAUGACGUUUGAAUCAACAACUUCCUCAAUUCUCUCUAUAGCUGGGAGUAGUAAGUGACGUUCCCCAACAGUGAUUUGGAUAUCCCUUUCAUCAGGUAGUGUUAACGAUGCAGCCAAAUUAGCUAGUGCAUCAGCUUUAUCAUUUUCCGACCUCGGGAUGUGACUAACAUGGAUGUCUUGGAACUGCGACAUGAGAUACUUUGCCCUUUCAUGGUAUGGGACGAGAGUAGUAUUCCUGACAGCGUAUUGGCCAUUCAACUGUCUAACGACUAACUGUGAAUCACCGUAUGCUUGCAAAUAAUCAAUAUGCAUCUCGAGAGCAAUUUCAAGGCCAAUGAUGAGUGCCUCGUAUUCUGCCACAUUAUUUGAACAUAAAGCUAGUAAAGAGAAUGAGUAUGGGAUUAAGCCCCCAGACGGCGUGAUGAAUACUACUCCUGCCCCAGCUCCUUUUCCUCUUGCUGCCCCAUCAAAAUAUAACUGCCAUAUAAGUGCUUCUGUCGUGAACACCUCUUCGUCGGGCAAAUCAUUAGAUAACUCCAUGUUGUCAGGAGUAGGAUGAGCAGCCAAGAAAUCAGCAAGAGCCUGCCCUUUGAUUGCCUUUUGUGGCACAAACUUUAUCUCGAACUCGGAGAGAAGGAGAGACCACUUGGCUAUUCGCCCAGAGAGCACAGGCUUGGACAUUAAAUAUCGGAGUGGAUCUGCCUUGGAAAUCAAAAUGACUCUAUGAGAGAGGAUGUAGUGUCGUAGUUUCUGUACAGCGAACACCAAAGCGAGGCAGACCUUUUCGAUCGGGGUGUAAUUUUGUUCUGCCCCUACGAGAGUUCUACUCAAGUAAUAUAACGCAUUUUCCUUUCCAUCCUCGUUGUGUUGGGCGAGCAAUGCACCUAAUGAGCGUUCUAAUGCCGCAAUGUAUAGGAUUAAAGGCUUCCCUUUGAUUGGCGCCAUUAGAACUGGCGGAUUUAACAGGUAUUGUUUAAUGCUUUCCAAAGCAUUUUGGCAUGCUUGAUCCCAUAUAAACGGAACAUCCUUCUUCAUUAGCCUUGAGAAUGGUUGACACCUUCCAGAGAGAUUUGAGAUGAAUCAUCGUAUGUAAGCUAGUCUUCCUUGCAGCCCCCGCAGCUCCCUUAAAUUUCGAGGGGGAGGCAUCUCACGGAUUGCCUUGAUUUUUGAGGGAUCAAUUUCAAUUCCACGAUGUCGGACGAUAAAGCCAAGGAAUCUACCAGAACUUACCCCAAAUGCACAUUUUAAGGGGUUCAUUUUCAACUGGUGCUUUCGGAGUCUAUCAAAAACUCGUUUUAAGUCCCUCAAAUGAUGUUCUCUUUUUCUGGUUUUGACAACCAAAUCAUCAACGUAGCAUUCAAUGGUAUUGUGAAGCAUGUCAUUGAAAAUUACCGUCAUGGCUCUUUGGUAAGUCGCCCCUGCAUUUUUCAACCCAAAAGGCAUCACAGUGUAGCAAUAUAUUCCUUUUGGAGUGCGGAAGGCAGUUUUCUCUUGAUCCUCUGGAGCCAUUUUUAUUUGGUUGUAACCUGAGAAUCCAUCCAUAAAUGAUAGAGCACCGAAACCGGUUGUUGCGUCUACCAAUAAUUCUGUAAUUGGGAGUGGAAACUCAUCUUUUGGGCAUGCAUCAUUGACGUCUCUAUAGUCCACACAUAUGCGUAGUGCCCCAGUUUUUUUGAGGACUGGGACGAUAUUGGACAACCAGGUGGGAUAUUGGACCUCUCUGAUAAAACCCGCGGCAAUAAGCUUGUCAAUCUCGAUUUCUAUUUGGAUUGUUAGCUCUGGCCGAAAACGGCGUGGAGCUUGCUUCACCCAUCGAGCCUCAUCCGGUAUCCCAAGUUUGUGAACUGCAACGUUUGGGUCUAAACCUGGCAUGUCUUGAUAACCCCAUGCAAAUACAUCUCGGUACUCUUGUAACAGUUGUGUGUAUUCUUCUAACUCUUGCGGUGUUAACAAAGCACUGACAAAGAUAGGCUUUGGGUUGUCAACCGUACCGAGAUUAAUUUCUUGCAGAUCAUCAAUUGUGGCUUGACCUCCCUCCUCCAUUUGUGGUGGAGCUGGUUGGACUAUGUCGAUGAAUUCCUCAAUAUCUUGAGGACUAUCAUCUUGGUCCACUGUUUCUUCGCAAGAGGUGCAAUUGACCUGGACAAGGUCAUCCUUUAUUUUCACCCUUUUGAUCGUUUCGAUCACAGCUUUCUCUUGACUCUUAACUUUCCAUUUCCUUUUAUUAUGGACCUUUCCUUGUUGAGAACUGGAAGGGUUCUCCAAGCGUUGAAAGACUGAGAUGCGGGGUGGUUGUCUGCCCCCUAGGCGUUUGAACACGGAGAUGCGAAUCGGCUUUAUAUUCACCUCAUCUUCUCUAAACAUGGCUUGUUCCAUAUUAGUGAGUAUCUCAGGCUCGGAGGCUUCUAGAUGUGGCCUUCGAAGAGCCACUUUGAGUCCACUACUCUCAUUUUGAACUGUGAGGCCAACAUUGCUUUUCUUUGCUUUUCGGCCUUUAAGUUCUAUCUUUAAUGGAGCAGAUGUUGUUUCUGACAAUGAUGCCUUUUUGUGAAAAACUACACGUUUACUUGGGCCAUCGUUUUUGCCAAAAGUAGUCUAAAUGACCAAACUGCCCCCAGGGAUAGACUGAUUGAUCUUACGAAGAGGACGAGUGUAACUUGCUGUUAUCAGUGACUCCAUUGUUUGUUUCAAUGAGCUUGUUUCCUUUUCACUAGGCUCCUUUUUUGAAGUCUUCACAAUUAUCUUUGGCUUGGGAGCCCUUGCAGUCGGGACUUCUCCCACUUUUGAGGAUGACGCACCACGAGGUUUUAGCUUCACUCGGAUUACUUUUGAAGGUUUAGAUACUUCUACAUUUUGGGCUUUUCCUGUUUCAACAGUCGCUCUUUUCUCUUUAUCAACCUUUGAUGGCUGUGUAAAUGAGAGACCAAGUGGGCUGUAAAACUUCGCAUCAGAGUAAUUUACCUCUUCCCCUUUGAACGGGUCCAUGUCAGCUGAAACACUCUUGACUUCCCCAUCCACCAAGUAUUUAAAGCACUGGUGAAGUGUAGAAGGGACUACGCCAUAUGUAUGGAGCCAUGGACGUCCUAGCAGGACGUUGUAUGAAGUAUCAGCCUCGAUCACAUGGAAUAGGGCGUCUGAAUAUAAGUCUCCUAUUUCCAUUUGCAAUGCGAUAGAGCCCAUGGCCUUUUGCCCAAGUUGAUUGAACCCUUGAAUAGUCAACAUAGAGGGAGACAACUGUCGGGCACUCAUCCCUAUAGCAUGGAGCGUCUUUAAUGGGAUAAUAUUCACGGCCGAACCACAAUCUAACAAGAUUCGAUUAAUGGUUGUGCCUCCAACUUCGCCAGUGACAUACAGAGGUCGAUUAUGGAAUUUGGACCCAAGUAAAAAGUCAUCUUCACCAAAGGUAAUUGCUGCCAGACAUGAUGCACAAAACUUCGAUGUUUCAGUUGUGUGGACAUCUGCUGAUUUGAAACAUGACUUAUACAAAUCUGGGUUCAUUAAAGCCAUUACAAGUGCCUCCCUAAGUUCCCUCGACAUUUGUAAAGCGUCGUAGACACUUAGAGGAGCGGGGAUGCGCUUAAGAUGAGCUAGAAUAUCAUACUUAACUAUAUGUGAUUGUGAUGGCUCCUUUGCUUUACUAGUAUCGGGCUUAGAAUCCUUUGCUUUUGGAGAGGAAGGUGGAACUUCCCCUGCAACAGUUUUUCCUGACAAGAAGACCUUAAUCUCUUUCGCCUUUGGCUUCUUCUCGGUUUUAGAGGGAUCAACUUCCUCAUUUUGUUGUGCUUUAUCAGCAGAUGGGAUGCUUCGACCGGAGCGGAGAUUAACCUCAUCAACUUCUGUGUCGACCUCAUAUUCCUCCAAAGAAACCAUGUUGCAUUGAAUGAUUUCUUCCUCACCUUCAGAUUCACUCGAGAAAAACUCAACUGGCAAAAACUCAGUGAGUGUGACAGGGACCCUUGCGGGUUGCUCAUAUUCAUCUUCUUGGGUGAUUUGAACUUUCUUUUGCACUCUCUUCUUCCUCCUCUUAUUUUUCAAGGGUGGCAUGCCUCGAAUCUUGACACCCGGACGAGUCGUAAAUCUGUGAUUGGGUGGGAGAUAUUUAGCCAUGUGCUUGGCCCUUUUAACAAAUGUCGUCCACCCCUCAGCAAAUUCGUCGGUUGAAGAAUCUUCCCAUAUUUCUAGACUAGGGGCAGCCACGAGCUCAUGAAGAGUAGGAAUUUGAAGAUCAUUAGACCAUGGUGCCUUCGGACAAGUAUGUACGAUUGUACCCCGAUGGUCGGUACUAAUACCUGCAAUUUUCGCUCCAUCUAGUAAUGCAGUGAUGGGUGUGAGCUUUUCUUCUAUCAUAUUUGCCGUAGCUGAAUGAUGUCGGGAAGAGGAGUCUAUCUCCAAGCCGCCAUUGUUGAGGAGCUCUUGGAUUUUAUCCUUCAGGAUAUAACAAUCCUUGAGCGUAUGACUGACAAGGCGAUGAUAUCGACAAUACCUAGGGUCAUCUGUCUUGUUGGCCUCAGCAGGACGUUUUGAUUCUGGCAGAGCAAUAGCAUUGGAGGCCAGAAGUUGGUCAAAGAUUGCUUCUACAUCAUCAUCAUCAAAAGAAUAUUUGACCUCUUUGCGUUCUUUAAGAGUUAGCCUUUUAGGUGGGUCUUUGUUUUGGCCUUUGUCAUUUUUCUUUUCAGUUUUGACGAAAGUGGCCAACGACUCUCCUUUCAUGGACUUCUUGUCAUUUUUCUUUUCCCCAAAUUGAAUUUUUUGGGACGCGGACUUUUGGCGAGCAAUUUGUCUUUCAACAUUGCUCGCCUUUGACACCAAAGCGUCAAAUGAUUAGGGUUCAGCAGUGGCGACAAAAGUCGCAAUGUCUGGCAUGAGGUUAUUGUAGCACAUUUGCACUGCUGAUAGCUCAGUAAUUUUCUCAGGGCAUUGAAGAUUGAGACUCCUCCAUCUCAUAAUAAAGUCAUUAGCACUUUCCCCUGGCUUUUGGGCAGUUUGAGCUAGGUCCAUGAUCGAGACCUUCUUUUUAGAACUGACAAAUUGUGCCAAAAAUGCUUUUUGCAUGUCGUCCCACGUCAAGAUAGAGCCUGGCGGUAGCUGUGUAUACCAAGUGAAAGCUGAUCCUUUUAGGGAUUGGACAAAUUGACGCACCAGGAGAGCGUCUGACUGAGAUGUCUCGCCACAUGCUAAGUAAAAAUGUGCCAGAUGUUCAUGGGGUGAGCUAUUUAUGCCAUCAAAUUUAUCAAAUAUGGGCCGUUGAUAACCCUUCGGGAAUGGUAUGGCGUCAUAGUGAGAAGGGAAGGGUUUUCGGUACCCUUGAACAGGAAGCGCUAUGGACAAUUGGAACUCACGAAUCCCCUCAGCAAUUAAUGCCUUCAUGUCGUUUGGGGAAAUUGUGCUUGUAGAGCUCUCUGCUUUUUCCUCUUUUGUUUGUUGUUCAUGGGUCAUCGAUUCAUUUGUUUUGCCCCUGUCUUGCUCUCCUAUGACGGCUUUCCCUUUCAACUUAGCUGAUAGUAACGCUAUUUCCGCGUCUUUCUCUGCUAACUUCUGCUGCAUUUCCUUUCGCAAGUCUUGCAUCAUCUCUUGGAUUAAGGGCAACUGGUCCUCAGUAUUAGAAGUACCAGUCAUCAUGACUUGCAUGCUUUCCACCCCGUCAUGAAGUUUGGCCCCUUGGGAUACUACACAAUCAUUCUCUUGAUUUUGAGAUACAGGAUCAUCAUAAAGAGGAUUCCAUUGCAAAUAAUCGUCCAAACGGGUUGAGUUUGGAGCGGAUAACUCGGGAAUAGUCAUCCCCAUCAUGUCUCGGGAUUUGGAACGAGUCAAUGGACCCAUGUAGGGCCUUGACAGCUCUUGAGAUUUCGGGACUCCCCCUUGUGAUACGGGAUUUUGAUCCCUUGAAGCAUCAGUUGUCGUCACCUUUUGCAUACGCCUUCUUUGUGGAUGAGGUAUAUUCACCACCUUCUUCUCCAUGAUGAUGGCUUUGUUUUUACCCUUAGAAGAGCACGGGUAAACCUCUUGUGAUAUGGAUUCCACAGCGUGGGUUUUUGGACUUGACGGAGGUUCGGCCCCCUGGGCCUCAGCGUUCUCCACAGAGUCGUCCUUUUGACCUUUCUCACUAGUUUCAUUGGUGGAAGUCAUCAGAACAGAAUCUGUAGGAUAUAGGUCGACCGGGAUUGAUCCAAUCAUGAUUUGGACCAAUUGGGUAGCAUUUGUCCUCUUGGAAGUCGGCACAGCCAGGGUGCUCGAGGUGUUCUUGCCUUCAGUCACAAACGGGCUUGUCCCCGAAAGCUCAACCAAAACUGCCUCAAUAGACUCCCUCUUUGCUUCUUUCUUUCCUAAAGCACGCGCAGCCCUCUUUCUUGCAUUUCGGAGAGCGUUCUUGGAAGGUGCUUUCUUCAAUUGGGUCUUGACAACCUUAGGAGUGACCUGAGGCUUGACCCUCUGAAUGGGCUUUGGAACGGCGCACUUGAUGAGGCUCUCACCAACAAUGAAAGUCUUUUUGAACCCCACUCGUUUGGUGCACGCAUUCCAGGUAGCUUCGAUCUUGUGGAAGAAAAUUGUAACUUGUGGUGCCAUCGAAUAUGGUUUUGUUAACCUGUGGCAUACACAAAAAUAAAAACAUUAGUCACUUUAUGAUUGGAGAUGAAAAGGUAAAUGGAUCCCACCGGGCGUGCCAAAAAUUAUGUUGAAGGAAAAUGUGAUCCUCCUAAUAUAAUUUCACCACCACUAAUUAAAUAACGGGGUUUUAUUAUUUUAGGUUCGACCCAUUCGAGACGCAAGUCUCUUAAUUACAAUCCCUUGCUUCAAGGGAACACCCUUUGAUUCCAUCAUAAAGAAACAGAACGUUUGUGUUUGAUUUUGCAACUGCUCCCAAGUCCAACCUCAGGAUGCCUACGUAUCCCUUGCGGGAAUCAAGCCACUCGUAGUUCAAAGAAUCGCAAUGAAUAAAUGACUCAUUGCGAGGGAAAUUUGAUUUGAAUUGUACUGAGAAGUGUUUGAGUGAAUUUAGCUGAAUAAACCAGGGAUUCGAUAUGGGAUUGCAUUUGGGAUGGUUGCAUCUAGAUUGAAUCUCUAGAUUGCCUACGUACCCUUUCAAAGGGAUCAAACCAACGUAGUUCGGAAUUUGGAAAUCAACGGGCAAGUGUGGCCCACUAAUUGAGAAUUUCUGUUUAAGAGACUUGGAUUUAAUCUCAUUAGAGUUUUCAUGGGUAGAUGACCCAUGGAAAAUUGGAUGGUUUUGUACCACUUUCGUUGUUGUCCAUGUCCAAGAAAAAUAAUGAGUAAUUUUAAUUAUCCCAUUAAUUUUUCCUAAACAUUGACAAUUGCGUUUGGGGAUUUCCAUAGGUAGAUGACCUAUGGGAAAAUUUGGAAAUUAAUGGAUAAGUGUGGCCCACUAAUUAAGAAUUUGUAUUUGAGAGAUUUAGAAUUACUCUCAAUGAAAUUUUGCAUGGGUAGAUGACCCAUGGGAAAUAUUAGAAAUUAAUGGGUAAGUGUAGCCCACUAAUUGAGAACUUGAAUUUGAGAGAUUUGAAUUUAAUCUCAAUGAAAUUUGUAUGGGUAGAUGACCCAUGAAAAAUUGAAUGGUUUUGUACCAUUUUUCUGGUUGUCAAUGUCCAAGAAAAAUAAUGAGUAAUUUUGAUUAUCCCAUUAAUUUUCCCUAAAAAAUUGACAAUUGCACUUGGGAAAGUGUUUUUUUUUGGCGAAAUCUGGUUAAGAUAAGCCAGAGAUUUAUACUUGAUUGCGGUUGCGUCUAUUGGGAUGUUAGACUGCCUACGUACCCUUGACGGGAUCAAACCGACGUAGUUCCAAAUUUAGGAAGUUAAUGGGUAACUGUGGCCCACUAAUUGAGAAUUUGUGUCUUUGGGACAAUUUGGAGAUUUUCAUAGGUAGAUGACCUAUGGAAAAAAUUGGAAAUUAACGGGUAAGUGUAGCCCACUAAUUAAGAAUUUGUGUUUGAGAUAUUUGAAUUUAAUCUCAUUUGGAAUUUGCAUGGGUAGAUGACCCAUGGAGAAAAUUGGAUGGUUUUAUACCAUUUUUCUUUUUGUCAAUGUCCAAGGAAAAUAAUGAGCAAUUUUGAUGAACCCACUAAUUCUCUACAAUUGACAUUUGCAUUUGUAUCCAUGCAUGAUUUGGAGGAUUUGAGAUUAAUGGGCUUUUUUGAUCAACAAAACCCAUUAAUCCAUAUUGAUGCUCCUUUAAAAUCUUUUGGGAGUUGAGCUUAAUGCUCCGCGUGUGACAAAUAAUUUAUUUGGACUGGAGUCACCGUCACAGCAUGGUUGAGUCACUUGGCACUCUUUUCUGAAUCGCUUCUUUGCCACAAUGGUUGAUUCCCACAUUUCUUAGUGUGGCUUUUGAAGUGGUUUUGUACCCCUUGACAUCUGGUGUGGUUUUGUACUACUUGAGUCUUCACUUGACGUUGAGUCUUCACUUGACGAUUUGAGAAUUAAUGGGCAUUUUUGGAAUUUAAGCCCAUAAUCCAUCAUUUGCGGACUUCAGGAAUUGGAGACUCAAAGGAAAUCUCAAACAAAGUGGCUGACGCCAUUUGACUUUUCUUCCCUUAUUUCGGUGCGAGUCUUCCUCUUCGUUUAUUUGUUGUUGCCAUGUGCAGCACCAAGCCAAUCCCUCUUUCGUCUUUCUUUGGUUUUGACUUGUUUUUUUUUUCUUUGUUUUUGGUUUGCUGCACAACACCAAGCUGCCAACAAGACGUGGCUAUCCUUUUUUCUUCAUUUUGUUUGUUUGUUGUUGCUAUGUGCAACAACACCAAGUUGCCAAAACGUGGCUGUCUUCAAUAACUUUUUUUUUUUUAGUUCACGUGUCUGUAUGGCAACAUCAGUGGUUUGAACAAGUUGGUUGUCUUGAGCCUUUCCUCCACCCCAUAUGACGAGCAGCAUUUCUUGACUUCCACAAGUCUGCAAAGGGAACUAGCCUUUUUCUUGAUGGUGGAUCAUUGUUAUCACAAAAAAAAUGAUAUUUGUGUGCCUUAUCCAGCUGGUUCUUUUCGGCUUGGUGCCAAAAGUAAAUGUCUUUUAAUUUGAUCAAGACACCCAAGGGAUAGAAAUUCUUCUCCAAGUGAAGUAUGGAUUAAACUCCUUAUUGAUUUGGAGCUGGUGGAUCAUCCAGUGAAGUAAACUUCUUGUCCACAUAGGAUUGGGUUGUCUUCCUUAUAAAAAGGAAAACAUGUGUGCACCAGCAAACAGCCACAAAACGAAAGUCUUAACAUUAUUCUUCGUUUGCUUCUCCAGACCAGCCCAUAGCUUUGCUCAAGCCACUUGUUGCACCAUCAAACAGAAGAGGAUUUCACGUGGUAACCCACAUGCCAUUCCUUAGUUCUUCUCUUUUAUUUUAUUUAUUGAUUGAACUAACUAGGAUUUUUUUGGCAUGGGCAGCAAUAGCUGUAGCAAUUGAAGAGCCUCCAAUUAAUUGGAUGCUUCCGGGCUGACUUGGAACCAAAAGAGACAAUUUCUCUUAUUGUCCUUUGUGUGCUGUAACCUUCCCAAGGUCAAUAACCCAAGACAAAGGGAAAGAGAAAUCAUCUUGCCUUUCACGUGGUAACCCACCCCUUGACAAAUGUCUUUUUUCUUUUGUCUGUUUCCAUGUUUCUGACCUCUUGUCUUCUCUUUUGUAUGUAGAGGCUGUGCUGCCAGCUUGAAGGCUUUGGAGUUUGGUGGAGGAAACCAUCUGUCAUUUUGCUUCAGAAACCCAAGAAAGAACUUGUGGUACUUGCUUUGCCAGCUCCUCUUUUUUUUUGUUUGCUAUUGCUGUACUUUUACCACUGCUCAUAUCCAUUUCUUUUACUCAAUUUCCAGUCAAAGAAACAUUCAAGAGGGGGAGGAGGGGCUGUGCGAUACAGCCCCCCUUUUUUUUUAUUCCAUCACCUUUUUUUAUGUCCCUUGUUUUGUCUCUUUGCAAACAAAACACAAGAACAAAGUCAGCCACCAUUUUUUUACUCCAUUAUUUCUUCUUCCUUACUCCUUUUUUUCAAUCAAAGCAGACCAACAGAGGGAGGGAGGGCUGUGCGUCACAGCCCCCCUUUUAUUUAUUUUUUUUUUCAACUCCUCUUUGCAGCAAAACACAAGAAGCAAACCCACCAUUUUCUUUUGCUCCAUUACCUCUCCCUCCGCUGGCUCUCUUCUCCUUCUCUUUUUGUCUUUUUUUCCUUCUUUGUUGACUUGCUGGCGGCAGCUGCCCAUAGGGAGGCAAUUCAAUUGCCGUGCGCCCCUUUUGGUUUCGGAUGCUUCAUACAAGCCUUCUCUCUUUUGAUUUUGAUCCCAUGGUGGGUUCAUCUCUACAUCCAUGAUUUGAGGGAUUCUUUGCUCCUGGAAGAGCUUAUUUGAUGGUGCAUGAUGGAAUAGACUAUGCCAUAAAACAUGAUGAUUGAAAUCAUCAUGUAAGGCAAACUUGAAAACACUGCUGGAGUUCUUUGAGCGGAGCCAAGCCUCGGAGAGAUUCUUCCUUGGUUAUGAUGAUUUCAAUCAUCAUAGCCAAGAAUUUAUGUGGACCUUUUUAUGAUGAUAGAAAUCAUCAUGGUCAGGAACCCUUGAGUUGAAUGGAACCUGAAAUCUUGAGCAAAAAAUCAGAACAUGGUGCCAUGGAACUAAUCUUUUUACCUUGAAAUGGCUCUUUCCUUUCUCAAGGCUGCUUGCUAAUUUUUCUUCUUGCUAUGACUGUUCUCCUUUCUGCUCUUUUUCUGUCCUCCUGCUGUUCUCCUCCCUUUCUUCCUUCUUUUUUUUUUCUCCUGCUGUUCUCCUCCCUGCGUUUUUUCUUUUUUUUUUUUUGUCCUCCCCUCGUGUCAUGCCUCUUAUAGAGGCUAUCUUAUGAUGAGUUUUAAUUCCAGCUGAUGACCACUUCUCAACUGAGAUACUUAUCUCUUGUUGUUUCAAAACCACUGAAAUACAUCUAUUUUAUUUUUAAAUGUUUUUCUUGAUAAGAUUGCAGGGACAAAACAAAUUCAAUCCUAAACCAAGUCAAACUCUUGGCUAAUUGUUUUUUGUGAAAAUUUUCCGUUCAACAGAUGCCUUCUCAAGCGUUGUGCAUGAAAUGACUUUUUAUGUGCAACGCUUGAUAGCUUUUCCUUUGAACUGCGCAUCCCCUGACUUUUCUUGUAUUAAUUAAUUUUUUUUUUGGUUGAAAAAUUCAGGAAAUGGACGCGCAAGGUCGAUUCGGGUUUGAGCGAGUCUUUGAUUCGCAUGGUAGGGAAUUUGUCUCUGGCCCCCAAUAUGCGAGAUCACUGCCUUUGAGAUCUGUGAAGCUUAAUGUACCCCCUGAAGGCCGUGCAACCUGGUAUACCACCGCCUCCGUAAAUUCGGGGUAUCUUGAAUUCAAACCCCACGCAGAAGAUAAGGUGAUUUCAGUAUGCCAAACGCAUCGUGCUGUGUUUACCGCCCAUUGUUUGGAGGAUGUGAAUAAUGAAGUGGAUGGAGACAUGAAAUUCCAAAUCAAAGAUCUUCCCACACGUGAUGAUUUUUACCCCGCUUUGCAUAGAAUGAUCAAGAGUAAGUUGGAGUGGGGGCCCCAGUAUCAGUUCUAUGGCCGAGCCACUUUUGAAAUUGGCGUUGCGGAGUGGACAAAAUGCGUUAUGAGUGACUUUGGAGACAUAUUGCAUAAGGCAAAAAUAUAUUGUGCCGUAGCAAUUUCCCGAUAUCCUUACGAGUGUUGCCCAAAUAUAUGGAGAGCAUUUUGUGAAUUAUGGGGGCCCUUGUGCAACACCUUUCAUCAUGGCAAUGGUGAGAUGGGGAUUUCUCUCUAUGACAUGAAAGUCAUUUGUGGGUUGCCAAUCUUGGGAGAUGUCCAGUAUGAGGAAUUUAUUCCCCAAAAUAAAGACUUGCAACAAAAUGGAGCAUAUCCUCCGACUAUCACUGAACUUUUGAAGAUCCACUCCCAAUUAUGUAUUUAUCAUAAUCAGUCUACCGUCAGCUGGGCCCAAUGGAUUGGGCACUUUUAUCGGGCGAAGAUUAUUUAUAAGGCCUUUGGGAAUGGCAAGAGGAAACCUCAAGAUCAACUUUUAAGGGCUCCCGAAAUCACUUUACGUAUUUCAAAGGAAGGGGGGUUGGCUGCAUUCUUGGCACUUUGGUUGAGUAGAUUUGUGUUACCUUCCGUGGAUCGCAACGUCAGACCUGAAACUUUUCAUAUGGCAUGUUUGAUGGCACAAGGGGUCAGAGUUUCACUUGCACCACCUGUUUUGGGGUAUAUUUACCAUGGUCUUGGAGAAAUUGCCACUCACCCAGAAGGUCCCAGCUUGUCAAGUGCUUCCUUCCCAAUUCAUUAUGUUAUCGGUUGGUUAGGCGAACAUAUUCCAGGAUUGUACCUACCACAAACUGACAAGGAAUUUGUCAAAGACUACCCUUUUUUGGUGAGGUACGCGGGUGUUAAGCCAAAAGGUUUUAGGCUUAAUCAUGCCAGAAUUAUAUUCCGUAGUGACAAAGAAUUAAUCUAUCGCCCAACCACGUUUACUGAAGAUGAAGGCCGUUCCUUUGUUGACAAGAAGGCUCUAUCAGACAGAAAAUUUGAAUUUCUAGUUUGCACACGUUAUGCGCUUUUGCCGGUGAGGGUGAACAACAAUCUUUGGUUGGAACCAUACUACCCGAAUAGAUUCGCGCGUCAAUUUGGUUUUGACCAAGGUGUCCCUUCGAACAAGCUUUCCUUUAGCGUUCGUGACAGGUGCAAGUGUGGCAUGGAGGAUUUGGCCAUAGCACAAAUCACUUUACUUAGAAGAGAUACCACAGCUGGAUUUUAUAUCCCACGCUAUACUCGUGUUGGAGUUUGCACUUGGUGGUAUUGCAAAUGGUGGAUGGGGUCAUCAGCACUAUAUAUGGGAUUAUCUGUAGCUAGAAUUUUCUUGCCUUCUAGAAAACACCUCGAAAGGCACGAUAAUAUUUUUAUUGUUAGGCCGGAGAAUCAAGGCCCCACAAGUUGUCAAAAAGAGGUCUCCAACAAACGUCAUUCUUCGCGUAGUGACAACAACAAGAGUCCAAAACGAAUUCGAAGCCAGAAUCUUGACCAUCCAGUUGAUGAGGGAGUCAGUUCCUCCCAUGCCGAUGCUGCUACUCUUAUCAGAGACUUGGUUUUCCCCAUGAAUGACGGGCCAUCCGAACAAGGUAGUACCACGAACUUCCCAAGUGAAGCAGAUGAUGCUCAAGAAGUGAGCAAUGAACUGAAUGCUACAGUCGUUGCUCCUGAUGUGAGUAAUGAUCCAAAUGAGACAGACGAUAUUGUUGAAGAUGACUGCCCCUUGCCAUUGGUAGAAUACUUGCCCUCCUCACCUUAUGUGAAGAAUUUCAUUCACCGCAUUCUUGGUCCAAGUGUGGCUCCACGUAGGCGAAGGUUCAUUGCUGAGGAAAUGCAAGACAUCUUUGAUAGAAUUUCUUCUUCCAAAUCACCUAUAGACCUACUAGCUCACCGUGAUCAUAUUUUGGGGGCACUUGGUCUCUUGCGACCUAUGAUUAAUACCCUUGAAUCAGGCCAGGAUGAGUUUCAGGAAUUUGAAACGACUAUCCAACACAUUUUCGAGUUGGUCACUUCAUUUUCCAAGAACGUUGCCUUUGUGGGAGAACAUGCCCAUCUAGAUGUUGACCGCAUCAAUGCUUUGAUCACCCAAUAUGAGCAGUGCUUCGCUGCCAUAAAAACCAUGAGCGUGCAUCUAAUAGAACUUAAUAGUGAGCUUGCUGAUGUGAAUGCCACAGUGGUUGAUGUUGAAAAGGCAGAGAAGGAAGCUGAAGAGGCAGCAAGACGAGCUCAUGAAAUGCGACAACAGUUUGAAUCGAAGACAAGUGCCCUUAAAGAACGUGCAAACGAUUUGCAGCAAUCUUUAGACCAACAAUUCGAAAAGGAAAUUGGGCUUCGACAAUAGUCGCAUUUUCUUAGAAUCCAAACGGAGCCAAAAUUAAAAGAAAAUCAAACAAAAACAAAAAUUAGGAGGAUGAUGACUGACUUGUUGAGGAGGCGCAUACUCGGACUGGUACUCUUCCUCGUUUCUGAGGAUUCUGAGGAUGUUAGCUUCCAUGGGCGACUUGGGAAGUGUCUCAGACGCGUAAGGUCUGUUUUGGAAGAAAAAGGCUGAGAUUGCUUUCCGCAGUUGCAGCGGAGGAUUUCGGUGGUGUUGAAUGCCAUUGGUUUCCUUUAACAAAUGGGUAAGUUUCUGAUUUUGUGCAGAGUUUGGUUCCCUAUCACCAAAAGAUCAACAUUCAAAGUCAAUCUCCCACCAUCUGCCACUGUCAUCCUUCCCUAAAUUAUCAUUCACUCCACCACCAACAAUGCCUUCAAUUUCCUCCUCUUCGCUUUCACCAUCAAUCUCAUCAUCCCAGUUAUGCACACUUUGGUCCUCAUCUGGCUUGUACGUCUACUCCAAUCUCUUCAACACAUCACGGUCUUUCCAUUUCCCCACAACCGACACUGCCUCCUUCUUCGCCUUCCCAAUUAGAAUUUCGUUCCAAGAAAACCCCGAAUCCGCAACCUUCUUCAGAGCCCCGUCGCCAAAUCCCCCAUAACCACCGUCUUGAGGCAUCUCAGCUUGGCCUCCAUCACAACAUCCACGAAAUCCAAAUCAUCCGACACAAGCAUCAAACACUCAGCUCUCCUGUGAUCCAUCAUAUCCACAAUGUGAUUCCUCAAUGCAGCAUCCGCCCUCUGAGGUUUAUCCACCACGCUCCGAACCCAAAACCAGCCCGCUUCACCUCAUCCGCCAAACCCCUCCCUGCCUUGGGUGUCAAAACAUCCCUUGCAGCAUUCUUAUACUUUUCCAUCUUCAUUGAAUACUUACCAACCAGCUUCACCCUCCUGCUCCCUCUAGCAGACUCAAUCUGGCUCAACCUCUUCAUAUGCUCUUUUUCAUGAAUCUUAAAGUGGUUCAAAAGCUUCUCAUUAGUAUAAAAUCUCCUCCCGCAAACCCUACAAACGUUCAGUUCACCAUCCCUAAUCACAACCCUGUUCCUCUCUUUCCUUUCCCUAACAACCUGUGGAACAUAAUCAAGUGCAUGGCGGUUUGCAUAUGCUAUCAUAUGCCGAACAAGCCUGAAAGACGAAGCUGCCGUCUUGAGCUUAACGGCAGCUUCGUAGGGCGAGACUGAUUUGGGUGGUUUGGUAUCCAAAUCCCAGAAAAUCGCAAUUUCUGGAAUUUUUUCGGGUGGCAAACACGAUGUUGGGCUCGAAGAAUUAAAACCCGGUUCUGAUUGGAAAUGGCAAUAUCUAAUCAACAGGGUAAAUGGGUUUAGGGUUUCUGACCUUUUGGAUUGAACUGUACAGAAAAUGUGGUGAAAUUUGAGAUGUUUAAGCAUUUCCACGGGUUUCAAGGUCGGUGUUUUUUAUUUUCGAUGAACUGCAAAAAGAAACAAGAGACCAAUAAACGAUAAUAGAGAAACCAGAGGAAACAGAGAGCCUUGUGAACUUGAAGCUUACGAGUAAGCAUUGAGUUUUCGCCGAGUUCGGCUCGUAUGAAUGUGACUUGGUUUUUUAGCGGGUUUUUCCUUUUUCUCGUAAAUUCGUUUUAAAACCCGAUUUUACAAAUUCGCUAAUUUUUCCUUCCUCUAUAAACUCAAAAUGGAAAAACAAUUUCACUAAACUCAACCAAAAAAAAAAAGAAGAAUUUAUCUUGCCUAUCCUCUCUCUAGAAUGCUAGGUAUGAUGAAUAUGGCUUUUUUUAUCUUUUUAAUUCUUUAAGUUUUAGUAACGAUUGUGAUGAAAAUUAUACUUAAAAAAUAGUAAAAGAUAACAGUGAACAAAGCCAAACAAUCCAAAUAGUAAUAUAAACCCAAAUAUUAAAUUGCACUGAAAUUUCGUACCUGGAGGCAACUGAGGAAUGGGAUCAGGCAGAGAGAAAGGUUCAGGCUCUGGAUCAGGCAAAAAUCAAAGCUUUUUACUCUGAAGGCGCUCACGAAGGCCAGAUACGCCGUGAGAGAAGGAGACUUGGGGCAAUUCCUUCAAAUUGUACACAUGUUUUCUUUGAGAAGCAAAGCUCUAGUAAUAAGGAAGUUGGUCGAGGUCGUGACAGGGAUGAUUGAUGGUGUGAAAUGGAUGCUAUUUCUUAUGGCAAGGCCAACUCUAUAAAUGAAAUUUGCUAUCCCUUCAAAUUGUACACAUGUUUUCUCUUUGAGGAAUCAAACAGUAUUCUGAUGACAUUAUUUACAAUGAGGAAUUUGGAAUUAGUUUCUAGAAUAAAUUGUUUG